rnacentral:lncRNA from 1 species
AGAAUGGAUUUCAUGGGAGGAUACCACAGAGGAAGCCACUGCUGUCCAGACAAAACAUUGCUGCACGUUUACAGUUUGCACAAGAGCACCUGGAUGUUCCACAGCAGUACUGGCAAAAUAUUCUGUGGACAGAUGAAACCAAAGUUGAGUUGUUUGGAAGAAACACACAACACUAUGUGUGGCGAAAAAAAGGCACAGCACACCAACAUCAAAACCUCAUCCCAACUGUGAAGUAUGGUGGUGGGGGCAUCAUGGUUUGGGGCUGCUUUGCUGCGUCAGGGCCUGGACGGAUUGCUAUCAUCGAAGGAAAAAUUAAUUCCCAAGUUUAUCAAGACAUUUUGCAGGAGAACUUAAGGCCAUCUGUCUACCAGCUGAAGCUCAACAGAAGAUGGAUGUUGCAACAGGACAAUGACCCAAAGCAUAGAAGUAAAUCAACAACAGAAUGGCUUAAACAGAAGAAAAUACGCCUUCUGAAGUGGCCCAGAGUACUGACCUUAAUCCAAUUGAGAUGCUGUGGCAUGACCUCAAGAAAGCGAUUUACACCAGACAUCCCAAGAAUAUUGCUGAACUGAAACAGUUCUGUAAAGAGGAAUGGUCAAGAAUUACUCCUGACCGUUGUGCACGUCUGAUCUGCAACUACAGGAAAUGUUUGGUUGAAGUUAGGAGCACUCUCCCCUGAGUGCUCCCUGUCCAGCUCCCUCACGCGCCGCGUACUGAUGCCGGAGCCGGAAGAUGAUGUCAUCUUCCGGCUCCUGCAUCAGUACGUAGCAUGAGGGAGCUGGACAGGGAGCACUCAGGGGAGAGUGCUCCCUCGCGCACCCGCCAGCCGGGUGAUACCAGGGCCAGCCUCGUGGGGGCCUGAGGUGGCCUGCUCCUGGGCCCCCCAGGAGAAGAGGCUGGUCACAGUGGGUACAUACCGGGUCGCAGGGUGGCCGGGCUCCCUGGUGGGCCUGGCCCGGUCACAGCUCCGACCCCUGUAUGUAUGCCAUCUCCUUGCUUUUAUUGUUUUUUCUUAAAAUGUAAACAUCAUCAGCCUGACUAAUAAAAUUGCAUUUGUUACAAAUACAAUGCAUUAAAUGGUGUCAAGAGCAACAUGUGCUUUUUUGUCUGGAACAGCCAUAAAGGAUAAAUACAUAUACAAAUGUUUGCAAACACGAACCCAAUUUAAAUGAAAACAUAGAAGCAUACAGUUGCAAGAAAAAGUAUGUGAACCAUUUGGAAUGAUAUGGAUUUCUGCACAAAUUGGUCAUAAAAUGUGAUCUGAUCAUCAUCUAAGUCACAACAAUAGACAAUCACAGUCUGCUUAAACUAAUAACACACAAAGAAUGAAAUGUUGCCAUGUUUUAUUGAACACACCAUGUAAACAUUCACGGUGCAGGUGGAAAAAGUAUGUGAACCCUUGGAUUUAAUAACUGGUUGAACCUCAUUUGGGGAGAGUGCUCCCUCGCGCGCCCGCAAACUGGCCGCCCAGCAGCACCAUUGGACCCCAUGAAAUCCCCUCAGCUCUCCCAAAAGGUAGGGAGGCUGGGGGAUGAAAUUUUUUUUUAAACGUGUGUGUGUGUGUUAGUGUGUGUCUGUGUUAGAGUGUGUGUGUGUGUUAGUGUUAGAGUGUGUGUUAGUGUGUGUGUGGUAGUGGUAGUUUUUGUGUCAGUGUGUGUGUUACUGUGUGUGUGUUACUGAGUGUGUUAGAUGUGUGCGUCUGUUAAUGAGUCUGUCUGGUGUCUGUUAGUGAGUGUGUAUGUAUGUCUGUCUGUCACUGAGUGUGUGUCUGUCAGUAAAUGUGUGUGUCUCUUAGCUAGUGUGUAUGCGUCUGUUCGUGAGAGUGUGUGUGUCUUCAGCACUUACUUUUCUCCAGCGCUGGACUCCCUUGGCGCUGGGGAUCCGCCUCUCAGCUAUGAAUGCGCAUGCGCGGCAAGACCCGUGCGCGCAUUCAAACUGCCCAAAGGAAAGCAUUACUCAAUGCUUUCCUAUGGACGUUCAGCGUCUUCUCAAUGAGACAGCCACUUGAGGCUGGAUUAACCCUCAGUGAAACAUAGCAGUUUCUCUGAAACUGCUAUGUUUUCAGCUACAGGGUUAAAACUAGAGGGACCUGGCACCCAGACCACUUCAUUGAGCUGAUGUGAUCUGGGUGUCUGUAGUGGUCCUUUAAGUGUAUGUGUAUCUGCAUGCACUGGCGUACAUGCGGCGGUCGCAGGGGUAUAUAUAUAUAGUUAAUAAAAUGGUAAACUAAAAUCUGCACACCAGUCAAGCUUUCCCACAGGAUUCACAAAUUUGAAGUGAUAUUACUACCGCAAAGGAUUCUGGAUGGGCAUAUGCAAAUUAGUUUAACAAAGUUUCACAUUUUUGCCUCAUUCUAUUUUAAACAUGAUUACUUAGAGUCUGUGUUUUUCUAUAUACAACAGCUUUGAAACACAACUUAGGAAAAGAAUCAAAGCCAGUGAACCACUCAUGCACAGCUUCUUUUCUAUUCUUUUCAUCUAAUCCCUUGGUACUGGGAUGCCUUCAGCAUCUAUCUGCAUCGUGGGCUCCGUCCACUAAACUGUGAUCCCAACAGAACAACUGAGCCAUAAAAUGGAGCUCACAGACGUGGCUGAAAUGUUUGAUACCCUAACAAGGCAAGUGUCCAACCUGACUCAAGCAGUCCAAGAAUUGCAAACACAAGCAAGGGCACCUAUGUCGGCUGUAACCACCCAUCUAGUGCCCCUUCCAGAAGAUACAGCUAUGGCACCUGAACCUCAGAUCAAGUAUCAGUCCUUCAUAAUGUCCUGUGAGCUGAUGUUCAAUCUACAACCAACCACUUACCACUCUGACUCCAUCAAAGUACAUACCUUGAUAUCCCUUUUACUCUGGCCCUCCACAAGAAUGGGCACAUGAACUAUUAAGGGAUAAGCUCAGACAGCCAUCAGAGCAUUACGUCAAGGACGCAUGAGCAGAAGAAGAAUAUAUUACCGAUUUCAAACGCUAUGCCAAAGAUACCCAGUGGAAUGAAACUGGAUGUAUCAACCAGUUCCACUUGGGCAUUUCAGACUCUCUCAAAGAUGACUUCACCCACUUUGGCAUUCCCGAUUUGCUGGAAGACUUUAUACAACAAGCCAUCCAGCUCGACAGAGGCUACGUGAGAGACGUCAUAAGAAAGCAACCUCUCUCACUCUACCUGCAAGAGCUUUUCCUCCUCCUCCCAGGUUCCAGUCACUCCCUGCUUCAUACAUGACUGAAAAACCAAUGCAAAUGGAUCCGACUCAAGGUUGUCUAUCCCCUGCUGAUAGACAACCUUGUGUUAUUUAGAUGAUGGGUUCUAUCCACUAAGCAUUGGGAUUCAUCAACUUUGCUAAGAACAUACAAUUAACGGUGAAAUAGCCAUUAUACAAAAAAAUGUAAUCUGAAUAAAACUUUCAAUAAGGACAAGUUAUCUGUAACAUUAUCUAUCACAACCUGACUCACAAUGUCUGUUUUGAUUACAGUUUGGGAUGGUUUGAAAAUGUCAUGAUUACUUACCUUUCUUUUGGGUGCCGACAUGGGCAGCUGCCUGCUGAACAUUCCUCUUUCUGUGUGUUUGUCAAUUCUGACCUCAUAUGUGUCAAAAUUAUUAUGCAAAUGAUGCAGCUCCUGCCAUUUUGGGUGAUUUUAAAGCUAUUUUAAAGUUGAAUACUAAAAAACUCUCUUUUGCUGUGAUUUUAAAUGAUGGAUCCAUAUUAGUGACAAUUGUCGGUAACAGCCAGGUCUUAAGAAUGACUGAUUUCAUGUAUGUUUCCAUUAAAAACAAUAUAUUUGUUAUGGAUUAUAUUAUUCACACCAGAGAUCUAAGUAAGAUGUAAUGGUAAAAGAGCAUGUUUCCAAAACCAAUAACAUUUGGUUGAGGGAACUAUUUAAAUAAUAGGGGAAGGAGCUGAUGUGCUAUGAUUGAGUUGGGCAGGAGUUUCAAUGUUUUCAAAACACUUAAAGGGACACUAUAGACACCCAGACCACUUAAUCUUAAUGUGUUCCAACCAUUUUAACCCUGCAGCUGAAAACAUUGCCGUUCUGUAGAACAGCAAUGUUUUCAUUGCUAGGUUUAAAUGCCACUAGUGGUUGUCAUCCUUUCCUAAUCAUAAAUUUCAAUGAUCUCUGCCACAGAUAUUAGUGCUGUGAGGGAGAAAAGGUCAGUAAACUACCUUUUUUUGCUCCCUACAGGUGAGGGACAGUCACCUAAAUGGCCAACAGGGCACUAUAUCAUUGGGAAUAAACAUUUGUUUUCCUAAUGCUAUAGUGUUCCUAUAAGACAUGUUAUUUUAUUCCAUUCUUGUAAACAGUUUUAAAACUUUUAUAUAUGUUUUCUUUUAAUAGAGUUGUGCUAUACUAUUUCGUCUCCCUGGUUAACCAGUUGUCACCCAGGGACCCAACACGCAGUGUAUACAUGAUAACAGUUUAGGCAAUGUUAGAAAGAGAAUGGUCAGGGGCAAGCCGAGUCAGGGAAGCCAGAAAUCAGGGAAGCAAAAAAAAAACGAUAGCCGGGUCACGGGAGAACAGAACAGAGAAUAGUCCAAAUAAAGCCAAGAUCGAAGUACCAGAAAAGACACAAAAUAUAACUCACUCUUUGGAACUGUAAACAGGAACCACAACAAGGAAAUGAUGCAUUACCUGAGUGCCCUUUUUAUAACCUAUGCCUUUCAUUUAUAGCCUCGACCCCAAAACGUUUUAAUUCGAAAGUUUUGGAGGGCCGUGAUGUCAUUAGCAUCAUGAUGUCGGCACGAAUGCACCACGUCAUAAAAAGGGGCGGAGCUAUAGUGGCUGAGUGUCUGAACCACUGGAGACAUGAGAGAGACUGUGAGCAGGUCCCCUCUCCCCUUUCUGGACCUCACCAGGCUGUUUCACAGCCUGGGCAACAUAAGGUAAUGUGACACCAGUUUAGUGAUAGAAAUGCCUGUCCCAUUUAUUUCCUUUUAUUGUUGGCACUGCAGAGUUUUCCCUGUGCCUGGAUUAUACAGAAUUACAGACAACUAUAUGUGGCCAUACUUUAUUCGUUAGAAAGAUAUACCAGCUUGCAUGGGAACUACUAUAUUCACCAUACGAACAAAGUACCGAACAACCGGACCACCCUGGUGGGAAGAAUAGAUGUGAUUUACCUCCCUGAUCCCUGGUUGCAUUCCCUUGAAUGCACGAACACUCUGCUAUAUUGCAUGGGUGGCCGCCAUUUCGGCAGCCGAACACGUGGUGGCGGCCAUCUUAAACCCGCGAACAGCGGUGUUUGGUCGUCGAGUGUCCAAACGGACACUCGACUAACCGAACACCGCUAAGACCUCCAGGGCUGCAGAAAGUACCAAGGGAAAUGCACGAACGGCCCGUCGUUUGGUAGGAUGAAUCCCACAAACUAGGUGAUUCUUCUGGUUAGCAACUUCACUAUGGAUGGUGUAGCCUUUCGGGACUUUUGAGGCACGAACGGAGACCGACCGCAGGGCCAAAUCUCAUGGAACUAUUUUCGGCUACUUUACCCAUGCGGUCGGUCAAAUCUUUACCUUCCCAUAACUCCCGAACCCCUGGUCUGAUCUGGGAGAUUUUUGGAUAUGUUCCUCACCCAGAUCAGGGCUACCAGGGGUACCAUAUUUAAAGGUGUAUCUCACAUAUUUGGGGUACAUCUAAGAAGUGGGGAAAAGUAUGUACUGUAUAAUUGUGUUAACUGUUAAUCUAAGGGGAGGAGAUGUGUGGGAGGUAACGUUUAUGGGAUUGGUUACUGUACUAAUUGUAGUGAAUCCCUCCCUUGCAUGGGAGAAUCUCAUAAAAGCAGGAAUGUUGCCAUUAAAGCUCAGUUCUACUCCUGAUACUGUGUGUCUUCCAGUGAUUGGGAAGGGUGAUGGGAUACUUUUGGAUUUUAUUGCUGAUUGUGCUGGAUACUCUCUUGGAUUUAUUACUUGUUCCUGCAUUCUUUUAAUAUAUGAGUGGAGUUAAGCUGUGGGAAAUCAGCUCUCCGCUACAAAAUGCAUGUUAAAAUUACAUUCUUAUUGUAUAUAUAUAUAUAUAUAUAUAUAUAUAUAUUAAUAAAUCAAGAAGCAUGUUAUUUUAGAGCUCAAGUUAAAUUGUGAGUGACAUCCAGUAAGAGUUUUCAAUCUCUUACCUGUGUUUAAAGUUGUUGAGCUUUAUGAUGUCUCUUUUCUUUACCAUGUUGGAGAAAACCUGAAGCAACAACUAGAUGAAAAAUGGACUUUGAAGUUUAAAAUAGUAUUAAUUUUGAGAUCAUGUGACUAAUAAUGACAUAUGAACAGAUUAAUUAUAACCUCCUAGGAUUUAACACAUUUGCAAGGUGCAAAAAAAAAAAAUUAAAGGCAGAAAUCCACAGCUCUAUUUUUUGCAAAUGGAUGUCUCCAUCUUAGUUCCCUAUCAGUCAAUGUUAUAAAUUCUUUGCACCUGGCAGUCAGCAUAUAGAAAGAGGAUGAUGAAUUAAACAAUGUUUCUAUUUCUCCUGUUCAUUUGCACAAUUUGCCCUGCCUUUGCCUUGUCUGAACUGGAUUAUUAUGUAAUUUGAAAAAGCUUGAAUAAAAAUGUAAGAGAAAAUUGAGAAUCUCAGGAAAAAAGUUUAAAGGGACACUCCAUUGCCCAAAUACAAAAUAAAUAAAUUAAAAAAACAAAACACUCUUUGGUAAAUAUACCACAAAUGAAAAUGUGCAUGCAUUUAAUUAUAUAUUUUUAUUAUAUUUCUAACUCCAGUAUUGUUACUGGCAGAAAAUAAAUAAAUUUUGGAGUGAAAACAGUCUAUGUCAGCUAAAAGUCAUAGAAUGUUAUUGUUGUGGAAAUAGGGUAUUGAUAUAUUUUCUAGUUAGUAAAAUGUCUAUUUACUCAUCUCACUAAAAUCAGCAUAUAAGCUAUACACGCAUGUUUAGACAAAAUGGCUACUAGAAGCUUCUAACCCCUCCCUCUCUAUAACACCGACUAACUACCUCGUGCAACAUGAUGGCGCUGGAACCCGUGGGAGACCCUCAUGGUUCCAGUGACAUCAUCUUUAGUAGGCAGAGCUUUAAGAAGACCACUUAACACUUAACCAAUUAUUGAUGUAUUAUUCCAUGUUAUCUCUGACAAUGCUUAUGAUGUAAUUUUGCUUUAAAAGGGACCUGCCGUCCCCUCUGAAUAAACAUUCCUCAAGUUAUUCAACAACCUGGAACCUGCGUCUGGUGUGAAUUACUUUAGGGAGCGUGCACGCAUUGUUUCAUUAAUUUGGCCAGGGGCAGAUACACAAAUAAAUAAUCAAUUCAUUGAUUGAUUUUUCCAUUUCAGUUAUUGACUGGAUAUUAUCAGAGGUUUCUAAUUUACUAAUUUAUGUUCUCAUUUAUUAUUUAAAUAACAUUUAUGCAAAGGGAAUGGGUAAAUUAGGGGUUAAUAUGCCCCGAUCGCCAAAUGCAUAGUGAAAUAUAUAUAUUUUCAAUUUAGAGGCAAACUUUCAGUGUUCAUUCAAUAAAAAAUAUCUUGUGUAUUUAAGUACUAAUUUUCAGGAUUCAGGACAAGAUGGAAAAUUAGAUAAUUAGGUGAAAUUAUCCAGUUCAUAUACUACAGCUCAAGAUUUGCAGCUUAAUUUCCAAUUCACAACAAUUUGAGUUCAGUUUAGUAGACAAAUCCCAUAGACUGAAACUCACACCAUGUGAUAUACAGUACUGUAUGUGCUACAGUAACAGACAGGCAAAAAAGCCAGUAGAAUGUUCUAAAACUAUGGGCAUAACUUGCAUUUCUACAUUGAACUAUAAUUACCAUAGUUCUAUGUCAGCUACAGCUAUAAUGCACCGGUGGGGGAAUCAUGGGUGCAUAGGCGUGUGCAUGGGGUGUGCCAGGUGUGCCUGGACACACCCUAAUCCCUGCGGCAUGCCUAUGGAUUGAGACCGGCAGGGGAAUCUCAGGAUCUCCCCUGUCGGCUCAUGCAGAGCUGGCACUAUCUGAGCACCGGUUCUGCUCUAAGCCUCCAUGGGCUAGUGGGGAGAUCAAAGAUCUACCUCACCGGCCCACAGCAGCAUGGAGGGAGGCAGGAGAGGACACGGGGAGCUCUAGCCAGCAGCUCCGCCGGGUUCCUCUCACGAGAUCUGAGCGUUGCCGUGGCACACAAACAGCACCCUCACACACAGCACACUAACAGCACCCUCACAAACACACACAAACACCCUCACCCAUAUAGCACACUACCAGCACCCUCACACACACACACAAAUCACACUAACAGCACCCUCACACGCAGCACCCUUGCACACACACACACAGCACCCUUACACACACAGCACCCUCACACCACCCUCACAGAGCACACUAACAGCACACACACACACACACACAGCAGUGUAUGUAUGUGUGUGUGUGUAUAUAUAUAUAUAUAUAUAUAUAUAUAUACAUAUAUAUAUAUAUAUAUACAUAUAUAUAUAUAUAUAUAUAUAUAUAUAUAUAUAUAAAUACAUACAUACAUAUACAUGCGACAUGUGUUUGUGCUUUAGGGUGCACACCCUAAUGCAAUAGGCUGCACACGCGUAUGCAUGGGUGUUGUAGUUUAUACAUAGCUGGGGUGACAGACUGCUUGCAGCAGCUUCAAAAUCCACUAGGUCUAAGUCACAGGCUGCAUAGCUUGUAUUUAACUGAUAUAAUUAGCAGUAUUUCCUAUCACCUUUAGUCAAACAGCAAUAGAUUGAGAGUGAUGUGCAUUACAGUCCAACAGUCAUUGCUUAGUUCCUAAUUGGCCUCCUCUGAAUUAAUAAUGUAUAAAAUAAGCGCGCUGGAGCAAUUACUUUUGCUGUAUCUCUAAUUAUGUGUAUAUGAUCUUUCUUCUUUAUGCUCUUAUGUCAAAUAAAGAUUUAGAUGUGGAUAAUUUGUUAAUGCACAAAACGCGCAUAAUUUCAUUUAACAUUGCUUAGUGGCUGGCCUUAGGAAAUCAGCGCAGGACGUGGGAGACAGGCCCAAAAUAUUUUCUCCCUCGACUGAAAGUAAUUAAGUUUCUUACUUCAAGGGAAAACUUAAAUACCCUACAAAAGAAGCUGAGUUAUUUGGUGAGAGAGAUAUACUUUUCUACGCAUCUCUCUUUUUACUCUAGAGAGAAGGAAAAUGGGAAUUAGCAACUUCUGUAAUUUAACAUUCGAGCAAAAAGACUGCCCACACUUGAAAUAAAAAAGCAAGGAAAAAAAGCACAAUAACUCCUCUGCUUUCUACAAACGCAAGAGUAAUUCAAAUGGAUUUUUUGUGUAACUUGCUUUGCUAUGAAUUAUAAUGAUAUAGCUUGAAGCAACAAGACAUGCUUCUGUAAUAAUGUGCCAUAGCCACUUCCCAUAUUGCAGUUGAAAAUCACAGUAAACCAGAUAGAGGGAGAAAGAAAUACACUCACUCGCUGUAAACAUAUAAUAUUGUGCAGGUUUAAGGUCUGUUAUUGAAAUUGAUUUUCUAACAUCUUGUUAAACAGUUUCUUAGAGGUUUUAGAAGUGGUUAGUGUGUUUUUUUUUCACCCUAACCUAUUGAAUUCAAUAUCUCUCAGUAAUGGUUUGCUAUUGACCUGUGAAUAGUUAUAGAACAGAGUUUAUACUUCAAAAGCCCACUGGAAAACAAAAGCUAAGAGAAAUGUCACUGGUUUGCGACAGACCCUAACGCUGUAGAUAAAAAGAAACUAAGACAAUUCUGAAAUAAAUGUGUUGAAACAUAUAACCCAUUGUUGCCUGUACCUAGAGGAAUAGUAGCUCAAAUUCAUGAUCGGUCUAUCAGGAGUUAAUCCAAAGCAAUUUAAAAAUUAGUCCAUGUAUACUGGCUAUUUGGAGGAAAGUAUAUAAUAUUGGGAAAACAACUGACAUACAACCAUUCACACACAUGCACACAAGCAAAUAAAUAAAUCCAAAGUUCUAGUUAUGUGUCAUUACAUCAGUGCUACAAUGAGGUUUAUAGUGCUUAAAGGAACACUCUGGGCACCACAACCACUUAAUCGCAAUAAAGCUCAAGUACCAAAGGAGAGGCAGCAGUAUGAGUGUCUGGGAACAUUGCGAUUAAAAAAAGGUUAACACUAGUAGGUAAGAUUUCACCAGGUGACUUUAAAGGGACACUUUAAAGGGAUGACUUUAAAGGGACACUGUAGGCACCCAGGCCACUUUAGCUCAUUGAAUAAUUCUUUCCUAUGGGGAGAUCCUAAAACGAGCGCGGCCAUGGCCGUGCAUGCACAUUCGGUCUCACCAUCAGCGGGGGAGGAGCAUAGGCAGAGCUGAGCCAGCGCCGAGGGACAUCAGUGCUGGAUCCAGGUGAGUGACUGAAGGGGCUAUUAAUCCCUUCAGUGCUGCGGGAGAAGGCCUUGACAUAGGGGGAAGCUAUAGGGCCAGGAAAACGAGUUUGUUUUCCUGGCACUAUAGUUUCCCUUUAACAAUAAUAGCUAGGAAGGUGUGUGUAAUUGGCAAAUUUUGCAAUGCAUUACAGUGUAUGCAUGUAUGUGUGUAACAUAGAGGAAAAGAAUUAUCAAUGUAAAAGCAGGUGCUUUUAGGGAGGCAAAUAGCUAAAUUAAGAGCAAUCAUCAAGGAAACCAAUAUUAUGUAUUUAGCACUUUGCUCCUAAACAAGCACCUGUUUUGCCUUUGAAAAUCUGACUCAAUAACAUAUAGACAUGCAUACCUACCACAUACAUGUAGGACAAAUUAGCAAUGUUCGAAUUUUUAGAAAGUUUAAAUCAUGAAAAUAGAAUAUUGUGUUUUCUAUUUUUUUUGCUCAUCCUUUACAGAAACCAAAUAGACAUAUUUUAUAAAUCAUUAUUUUUUUUUUCUUGUUCGCAAUUUUUCACACAGAAACAACAUAUUAUCACACUCAGUAAGAAUUGCAAAAAUAGAUGAAUAGAAACCGUAAAAUUCCUUGUUUGCAGUUAUUAGUAAGAAACUUUUCUUUAUUAUUUAGCUGCGCAAUUUUCUUAAAAUGACAACAGUAAAAAUCAUGUUUGUACAUAGAUCUAAUGCCCAUAAAAAAUGUACUUAUCGCAACCUGUUGUACUAUACAAGGGUAUGCAAGAUGCUUCAAAACAUCACAUGUAUUGCAUGUACUCAACAAUAAAUUAAUAAAAUGUAAUAAACAUACAGUUUCUAAUUGUAACUUUUACUUACUCAAAUAUAGUUUAUAAACCCAGCAAAACCAGUAUUUCCUGUAUGUGUUUUAUGUUGAGCAUAUUAGAAUUCGUAUGGUAUAAAGAUGAAAGUCAUAUGACCCAUAGAGAGAUAAGGGCAUAUAUAACAAAUAUACUGAGUUGUCUGUAAUAAGUUACACACACACACACACACACACACUACAUUGAGACUAAUUAGGGCUAGGUAAUCAGGGAUUUGGGACUGACCAAAAUAUGGUUAUUGUGAAAAGAUGAAGCAGGCCUGGAGGUAAAUUGAGAUGAUCAUAAUAAAAUCAGAACUAGCAGACAUUGUUACAAAGUAACGCAAAUAGCUGGAUAAACGGUGGCUCUGUCCCACACGUUUUAAACUGUAGUCCUGGGCAAUCAUGUACAGAUACUCUUCACUUACCGACCGGGUUCCGUUCUUAUGACCCGGUUGUAAAAAACAAAUUGUUCGGUAAGUGAGGAUGCGUGCAGGGCUGUGUUGAAAUUUCCCCGAACAUAGACAAGCACAGCAGAGCAGGGAAUCUCUCAAAUCUCUGUGCUGGGAACGUUCUGCGAACAUAGAUUGGAGGGAUUCCCUGCUCUGGUGCACUUGUCUAUGUUUGGGGAUUUUUACCCGAACGUAGACAUACGCACCAGAGCAGGGAAUAUUUCUAAUCUACGUUCUGAUAAAAUUCCUAGAACAUAGACAAGCUCUCUAAUAUGGGGAAUCCCUUGAAUCCCCAUGCUAGAGAACUGGUUAUAAGUGCGAGCCAUCAUAAAACAGGUAGGUCAUAGUGAGGACCACAUGUCAGGGGUGUACUUAGAGCAUUUGGCAUUUUGGGGGGAUCCUGUGUGUAAGAAUAUUAAAUAGUUAACUUGUUUAUAUGUAUUUUAUGCUUUUAUAAGGUUUAUAACAUGAUUAUUGCUGACUGAAGGAAUAUUGAAUACUCAAUAUACGACAUAAUGCUGACUGUGACAGACUAAGGUAUUUCUUCUAUAGGAUGUAAGACAAUGCUAAAAUUUCAGGAUGUCUUGCCCAUUCCGAUUUCAGGAUAUUCUUUUCCAGACGUAUGCAAAAGCUUAUCUUUCCAUUGUCAGAAUAACGUAAUAUAAGGAAGUAAUAAAUCUUAUAGUCUGUACUGUAUUUGCAUAUACCAUGGCUAAUGUAAGCAAACUAUGUAUAAAAGCCAGCUCUGGAAUACACUCAUUUGAGAGUCUUGUAAAGCUGUUGUCCGUGUGUUAUUGCUUACAAAUGAUUCUCCAUCAACGUUGAUUAUGGUGACCGAGGGAUCGAGAACCGAGGGGAUUAGAGUCCAUUACAACAUUAACCCUUUCAGCUUGGUGUCUAGAAGUGGGAUAGAUGAAGUGGAUCAGCAAAACCAUUUGCGGUGAGUAGCCUUUUUGUGUCUUAUUUGACGCUGAUUGUCUAUGACCCCCCUUUGGUUCAGUAAGACUGUAUCCAGUAGAUAGGAAAGGUGUAAGGACUCUAGUUAUAUUGAGACUAUAAGAGGUCUCCGGUUUAUUAGACAUUUGGUCUAAAUAUAUAUAGGGGUUCUUGGUAACCCAGGUUAGUAUCUAAGAUAGAUACAGGUUUUUGAGACCAUAAGAGGUCUCCGGUUUAUUAUAGGGUUUUGGUAACCCAGGUUAGUAUCUAAGAUAGAUACAGGGUAUCUCAGGUAGAUACAGGUUUUUGAGACCAUAAGAGGUCUCCGGUUUAUUAAGUCUAUAGGUGUUCUGAGCAGCACGGUUUGUAGAUCUAUAAGUAUAACCCAAACUUCUCUUUCUCCCGGUCACCUUUGUUUGUCUUAAGUGUUCUUUGUGGGUGAUUGUUUGUCUAUAUUGGGGACACACUUUGGUAAGUUAGUAGUGUCCCCACUCUGAGUCAGCAGUAUGGGAAAUGUGAGUUCAUGUCCUGAGUGACCAAUAUAUGUACAUGUAUAUGUGUGUGUAUGUAUAUAUGUGUAUAUGUAUGUAUAUAUGUGUGUGUAUAUGUAUAUGUGUAUAUAUAAGAUAGCAGUACUUUUAAACAAAUGGAGGUUUUAAAAAUACAUAGGGAUUAAGGAGAGAACGCAGGUAACUUGUUUUUCUUUGGUUUUUACCAUAUAUUGGGGCUGAUGUGUACUGUAGUCCUUGCUGCUGCCCAGUAGUGAUGGGAGUGAGCGCAGGACUUAUCUUUCUGCAAGAUAGCAGUACUGUAUAUUAGAAAAGAAAUGACUCAUAGGUUGUACCUGAUAGACCUACUUAAAUCUUUUUAACUUUAUUCUUUCUGUCGCAUAGAAAUAUAAGUUUAUUACUCUGUUUUAUUGUAAGUUAUUUCACAUGGGAACUGUGUGCCUGGAAUGAUUGUUGCUUUAAAAAUACUAUAAGCCCACUACACUUAUUAUGAGAGUGGGAUAGUGUAAAUGUGUUUGUACAUUGUUUGCAUGAUGAGCUCAGUAUAUUUUAUAACUGAGACAAAAAGUCACUUCAUUAGUAUUUGAAAGUUAAUUCCCCAUAUGGGAUUAAUUGUAUAGAAACACCAAUCAGCACAUCUUCCCUGCCCUGUGUGUUUGUUGCAGAGGAUCCAUACUGUAAAUAUAAUUUUUGUUUGAAAAUAACAGAGCAACAUUUACAUUUUCAGCGGUCCAACACAUGCUUUAUUUUGCACUGUAAACUAACCUUUUUAUUGCAACAGGUUCCUUUUCAGUGAUCCAGUGUAAUAACUACUGCUUGUGUCUUCUAUGUCUCACAUUAUGUGUUAUUUUAAAUUGUGGUAUAUAGCCUGAAUCAGACAUCAUGGACAAAGGUUUUUACCUGUAUUACAAAGGGCUCUUGGAGACUGACCGGUCUAAAGGUUUGCCAUGCCUUUAAAACAUGGUAUAGUAUAAAUUUUUUAAGUCUCUGAGAGUUCUGAAAGAUUCAGGUGAAACCAUGUCUGUUUAAUCUGGUCCAGAUGUUUGUUCAAUUUCUGUAAGAUUUAAGUUGAUGCAGCAUCAUCUCAGAUUAGUUAAUGGUAGUUUUAUACAAAUAGUUGAGUUAUGAGCGCGCUAUAUAAAUGGAUCCUUUCUUUAAAUACAAUACUAUAGUAGAUUAAAGUAAUGAAGUUAAUUAAGAAAAUGUACACAUAAGAAUCCCUAAAAUAAAUCUAAACUAAAAUUGGUAUACCUUCCAAUAAUAUGUUCUGAAUACAGCUGUUAACUUUUUAUUCUGUGUAAAUGGUGAUUGUGAUAAUGUGUGAUAAGUGUGCAGUUAAACUUGAAAGUGGUUUAAUUUAUAUGUUGCUGUAUUGUUUUAAAUUAUAUGUGAAUCAGUUUGUCACAGUCUAGUGAUACUGAUAAGAAUGACAGCCAAAUAACCUAGCAAAUAACUGUUUUAUUAGUUGUUGAAUACUAGCGUUUUGGCCAAGAAUAGUUGGAGAUUUGGAGGUGUUAGUUUAAGAUUGCUUUUAUAUUGUGUCUAUCCGUGUUUCCUAGGAGGGAGACAGAGUGUGUAGUUGUGUGCCCAUAAAUGUGAUUUCUGUAUUGGCAUAUCUGCUGGGUACCCAUUAUGUGUUUCUACAAAGAUAUUGCUUUGUGAGAUGACGUGUAAUAUUACAUUGGAUGCUGAGUAUGAGUUAUAUGGUUUGAAAUGAAUUGGUGAUUAUGAGCUUAGUACUUCAGUAAGAUGUGCUAAAAUUUGGAACAAGGUGGAAGCUGAAAUGUUGGGAUUAUGGAAGAAUAAGCAGUCUAUAUUCACUGCUUUGGCAUAUAAGCAAGAUGCAAAGGAAGAGAUUGGUAAUAUGAUUUUUGUAAAUAAAUUUUACAAGUGUUGGAAGGAUGAGGCAGGUUUGAUGUCUGGAGAUGAUAUAGAUCUCUUUAAAAUACAGUCAUGCCUUGGUAAUAUGUUGCCACAGUAUUCUUUGCUUGUGAAACAAUUGAUUUCAGACUGGGACAAUUUGGAUAGCUCAGAUUUUCUUACCAAGGUUAUAGAAAAGGAAAAUGCAGGUUGUUUUGAAUUAAGAAAAGAUUUAGGAAAGUAAGGUUGCUUAUUAUGCUCAGGGAUUGCCACCUACACAGGCUGAGAGCGAGGAUGGGAUGGAGCACAUAAAGCCCGUGGAAGGGGUGGUCAAAGAGGGGCAAGGGGAUGGAGACAGGGAAAUCAGGGUUAUAGGGGCAGGGGUAACCAAGGAGGAAUAGACAGGAACACUUGUUUCAACUGUGGCCAAUAUGGCCACUGGAGGAAUGAGUGUCCACACCCCAGGAAACCCCAGGAAACCACACACACCCCAACAACCCCACAAUUCUCAAAAUAUGCCCGGUAGGCAAGAACAACACCAGACCCACUCCCAACACCACUGGCCAGCAUAUCGCUUAGUUCAGGACUUUAGAGCCCUGAAUAGUUUAAUUGUGCCCAUUUCACCCAUUGUCCCUGAUGUGACAUCCCUCAUUACAGCCAUUCCACAUGAUGCCACUUGCUUCACUGUCAUUGAUUUAAGUAAUAAAUUUUUUUCUAUACCUAUUAAUCAAGAGACACAGCUACUUAUGGUUUUUAUUUUUUGAAGGCUGUCAGUUUACCUGGACACGCUUACCCAAGGCUAUGUGGAUUCCCCAGCUGUUUAUUCGUUGGUACUCUAACAUACUCUAAAAAACAUGGACCACCGGUCAUGGUUCCGUCCUUUUUGCAAAAUGUUGAUGAUUUGUUGUUAUGUAGCCCUAACUAUGAGGCAAGCACUGUGGAUACUGUCAGCAACUGUGGGUCACAAGGUUGUUAAACACAAAAUGCAAUUGUGUAAAUCAAAGGUUGAAUACUUAGGUUUUGUUCUGGCUUUAGGCACCAGACAAUUGAGUCCAAAAUGUAUUGAGGUCAUUCAGAGGAUUCCUACACCCACUACUCGGAAGGAGUUGCUCACCUUCCUCGGCAUGAUUAAUUACUGCCGCCAAUGGAUCCCUGAAUGCUCCCAUUAUAACUCAAUCCUAAGGGAGGCUGUACGUUCUGACAGCCCUGAAAAUGUCUGCUGGUCACCAGACAUGCUAGCUGCAUAUAUUGCCCUUACAGUUAUUAUUGUGCAAGCCCAGGCUUUAGGACUACCUGUGUAUUGUAAACCAUUUCAUUUGUAUGCUUGGGACAAUUGUAAAACCGUGGCCGCGGUCUGUGCACAAGAGCAAGGAGGCGGUAUGCGUCCCAUAGCAUUCUUUUCCAAAGUAGUUCGAGCUCCGGUAAAGGGUAUGCCGGCGUGUCUCAGAGCAUUGAUAGCAUGUGCAAUGGCUGUUGAAACUGCUACUACUAUCACACUAGGGCAUCAUACAAUACUUCAUGCCAGUCACCAGGUCACUCAGCUGACAAAUCUCACCACACAACACAUGACAGCCCAGCGCUUCAGUGGUUAUGAGAUUCUUUUUUUAAAUACCCAGAAUCUGUCUUUUGGAUUAAACAAGGUUUAGAGAAAGAUCAAAAUGAUCUGUUCUCUAAAGAGGGGAGAAUAGGCAUACUUGAAGAAUAGGCAUACUUGAAGCAAGCUGAUUUAUUUUCAUCAGUCAGGCACAUAGCAAGCACCAUUCAAUUCUUCAUGAAUUCAUUUUAUAUUAGGAAUCUCAGGCAGCAUGUACAGUCUUUUGUAAGAUCGUGUGAACGCUGCUCUUUUUACACACUUACAGAUUGAUUUUAUUCAUGUAUCCAAAAUUGGUAAGAAACAGCAAUACUUACUGGUCAUAGUUAAUCAGUUUAGUAGAUGGCAUGAGGCCUUUGUGAUAUCUAGGGAAGAUUCUAGUGAAGAUUAUUGUUACUGAAAUUAUUCCCCGGUAUUGCUGCCCUCUGCAGAUUGGCUCUGAUAAUGGCCCGGUUUUUGCAAGUGGGGUUGCCCAGGAACUUGCUAAAUUCUUGCAAAUUACCUGGCAGUUUCAUAUACCCUAUCAUCCACAGAAUACAGGGGUAGUUGAAAGGAUGAAUAGGACUAUUAAGGAAAAGCCCAGAAUUUACCCAGGAACAUGGGUAAAUUGGACAAGAUAUCUACCAGCUAUUUUAGCUGAGAUAAGAAUGAAUCCCCACAAGGUGAAUUGUUGAUAAAACCGAAUGUUAUGUAUGACAAUGUUUCUUCGCAGUUUUCCCUUACCUUCACAGGAACCUACUCAUUCAUACCAGCCCGGUGACAAGGUGUAUAUCCGUCAGUUGAACAGGACCAAGAAAGGAGGAUACCCUUUUGGACCACCUGCUACUGUGAUUGCUGUACCCAGAACCGCUGUCCACAGAUUCCCACGACAUCUGGAUUCACGCAUCCCGAGUGAAGCUGUGUCCAAAGAGGGGAACCAAGGAAGACAACACCACUCCUCGCUCGGAAACAGAAGAAUUUCUCCUCAGCGAAGCAUCAUGGCUUUUACACCAUAUCGUAGAUUGAGAGGAUCAUACGUACCUGAGACCAAGAUUAUGUUGUGCGCUAUGCUUUCUGGAGUUGUUAUACUCCCUCUGAUAUUGUUCCUUGAAUGCCAUUAUGAGUACAAGUCAAUGGCAAGUUUGAAACCUGUUUGUUUCUGGAAAAAAGACUCUGACAUGAUGAACAAUUCUUCAAUACCCCCAGCCCAAUUAGGCCUUAGCCCCUCAUCUAGCAUUCGUCACACACGCCCCCUCAAGAACCUUUUUCCACCACCUUUCUAUCAGCAUGCAAUAUGCAAUCAUUCAUUGACUGAACGCAUUUGGAUGAAUUGGACAAAUAGUAACCCUUAUAAGUACCAGUUACCCAUAUGAAAUGUGUCUACAGCUAAUGAAACCGAUGCAUUAUGUUUGUUUAAAGGUUCACAGAAAAUUGUUAGAUCUUAUAACGCAGAAAUGUGCACAGUUAAGGUUACAUAUCAAUGUAAACAGACAGGCCUUAUUACUUUUAAUAAUGAUUAUAUAACUGGUAUCAUUAAUUGGAGAAGGGGACAAAUGUUAGUCAUUAUGAACAACACUACAAUUGAGAACUAUACACUACCUUAUAUGUUUACACCUUAUUACUGUCCUUUAUCCUCUACCAUAGAACCAAAAGUCAACAACGACACACACACACCUAUUCCGUCCACAUGUAUUAAUACAACUGCCUUCUUACAAGCUGUACAUGUGUCAUUAAAAAUCACUACUCUUGUUGUAACAUUAUGUAACACAGCAAACAAAAGGCAGAAAAGGGAAUGGUAUGACACACUGUUAGGAGGUGCUGGAACCACUAUGGGUAUACUAAAUAGUUAUAGAUAUGGAGACCCUCAAGAAUAAGUUAAACACAGCCAGCAUGCAUAUAGGGACUGGUUUUCAUGCUACUGCAAAUUGGGCUCCAACUGUUGUUAAAUCACAGGUUAGAGGAUUGGAUUUAGAUAAAUCAAUGUAUAAUUAUUUAGAUAAUUUAACUGUUGCAACUAUGAAAUUCACUACAGGUCUAAGUAACUGGAGUACUUGUGCCAUCAGGUAUUUAUGGAUACAACAACAAGGAUUGGCAUUAGAAAACACACUAAUGAUUCCUAAACUAGAGAAGAUUAGAGGAAUGUGUAACCUCACAGAUAAUGAUUGGUUACUUCUAAAACCCCAAUCCAGUAAAUGCAAUGGAUGGUUAACUGGUAAUGUUUCACAUUUUUCAUGCUCUUGCUAUUUUACAUUAUAUCAUACAUCAUCAAAGGAUGUUAAAUUAGCUUGUCAAUUUAACACAUUACCAGUACCAGUUUAUGAUCUUUUUGCCAAGAAUUUAACCUGGUGGGCACCCACAUACACAGGGGACUAUAUUUUUCCCAAAGAUAACAUACACAGGUAGCCACACAUAUCCUAAAAGGAGAACUCCUUAAGGUGAGUUCACAAAUUCAGAAUGAUUUAGCCCAUCAUUGGUACGAUGCUUCACUGGUUGGUCCCCUACUGGAUCUCAGAUAAUGAAAUCAUUCUUCUAUCAUUUUGUUAUUAUAGUCCUGAUUUUAUUGUGUAUGGUUUUAUAUAACUGUCACCUUACUUGUACAUUGAGGAAGAGAGUACAGAAAUGAAUCCAUAAUGCAGAACAGAAACAAUUAGAAAUUCUCCUCUCUGCCACUGGAGGGUAUCAACCCAUCUUUAAACUUGGCCUUAGGAAUUACCACAUGGGAAUCGAGGUGAAGAAAUUAAUGAAAGUCCCGCAGGGAGUGACUAGCACCCCUGAAAAUACCAUGUGGAAGUUUCUCUGUCCUGAUAAGAUUUUAUCGAUAAGAUGAGCAAUUGUUUUAUUGCUCAAAGAGGGGAAUGUAAGAAUAUUAAAUAGUUAACUUGUUUAUAUGUAUUUUAUGCUUUUAUAAGGUUUAUAACAUGAUUAUUGCUGACUGAAGGAAUAUUGAAUACUUAAACGACAUAAUAUGCUGACUGUGACAGACUAAGGUAUUUCUUCUAUAGGAUGUAAGACAAUGCUAAAAUUUCAGGAUGUCUUGCCCAUUCCGAUUUCAGGAUAUUCUUUUCCAGACGUAUGCAAAAGCUUAUCUUUCCAUUGUCAGAAUAACGUAAUAUAAGGAAGUAAUAAAUCUUAUAGUCUGUACUGUAUUUGCAUAUACCAUGGCUAAUGUAAGCAAACUAUGUAUAAAAGCCAGCUCUGGAAUACACUCAUUUGAGAGUCUUGUAAAGCUGUUGUCCGUGUGUUAUUGCUUACAAAUGAUUCUCCAUCAACGUUGAUUAUGGUGACCGAGGGAUCGAGAACCGAGGGGAUUAGAGUCCAUUACAACAUUAACCCUUUCACUGUGUUUGGCACCUCCUCCCCUCCCACCUCCCAAAAAUAAAAACCCUGCAAUUUUUUUUAUUUUAUUUUAUAUUUUUAAAUGUAUCGCACAAAUUUGUAAACUUUGUCAACCCACUUCUACAAAAUCCCUGUCCAGGCUCCUUCUACAAACCCCUGUCCCAAUACAAAACCCCUGCCCCCUUCUACAAAAUCACUGCACCCCCUCACACACAGUUACAGGCAGACAGUCACACACAGUUACAGGCACAUAGUCAUACACAUACACAGGAAUAGGCAGACAGGCACACACACACACACACACACACACACACUCUGUAACAGGCAGACAGUCACACACAGUUAGUCACACACAGGCAGACAGUCAAGCAGCCAGACAGGAAAGCAGACAGACAGCCAUGCAGGCACAAAGACAGACAGUCAGACAGACAGGCACAAAGACAGGCACACAGAAAGGCAGGCACGCAGACAGGCAGGCACAAACACAGACAAUUACCUCUUUCCAUUUUGGCUGGAAUGAGUUAGUGGAGGCAGUGCAGCUCCUGUAUCAAGUUGGUGGGGAAGCAGGGACUCCUUCUCGCUUCCCACUUCCUGUGCAGCAGUUACCAGGGGCUUUUGAUAGACUUAAACCCCACCUCUGCUACCAUUGUAGCUCCACCUCCCACUAAGCUCUGCCCCUGCUGUUUUUUUUUAAUAGACCCGGGUGGAAAAUAAUGAAAUCUGUCAGUGUGUCUGUCAGUGAAUGUGUGCAUGUAUGUGUGUCUGAGUGAUUGUGUAUGCAUGUGUGUCUGUUCGUGGGUGUGUGUGUCUGUCAGUGAGUGAGUGUGUAUCUGCGUCAUUUUGUGUGUAUGUCAGUGAGUGUGUGCGUGUCUGUCAUUAAUUGUGUGUGUCUGUCAGAUUGUGUCAAAUCAGUGAGUGUGUGUGUUUGUAUGUCAGUGUAUCUGAGAGUGUGUGUCUGUCAGUCAAAGUGUCUGUUAGUCUUUAACAGGAAGAGAUGCGGCUUUGACAGGAAGGGGUGGGGCAAAUUUAAAUUAGGGGGUGCCUGAGUUCUGUCAUGCCUAGGGGCAGGGCUGCACAGCUCCAAAAUACACCACUGGACUCACACAAUCACUCACUGACAGACAUACACUCACUCACAGAUAGACACAUACUCACAGAUACAGACACACAUUGACAGGUACACACACACUCGUUCACACACUGACAGAUAUACACACACACACAUUCGCUAUUGCUGCCCAGUCACUAGUGCAAUAAGGGAGACCUGGCCCGGCUUAAAUCCUGCCGCAUGCCCCUACCUGUGUCAGGUCCCCCAGUGUAGCAGGGGCAUGUCACUUAAACAUCACAUUUACAUAGAAGAGAUCAACAAUAUAGCAGGAUAUUCUGUGUUGUCAGGCGUUUAAAUUAAAUAAUAACAAGUGCUCUUAUAGUACAGCAGCUCUCACACAGGAAAAUAGGUACUCUUCAAUCCUAUGGUGAUUACAUGUGAAAUAAACACUAAUUUACAUAACCAGUAUGUAAAAGUGGUAGUGUGUAGCGCUAAAUGAUAUUAACUUACAUCAUAAAAAACUUUAGGGGUAUGGAAUACAUAUAUAUCCUCCAGAAUCUUUGAGGGUAUAGGAGAUAUAUAUACUGUGAAGAAAAUAGAAAAAUAUAUAGUGCACUCUGUGCAAACAGACGUAGUUGUAGACCAUAUAAUAGGAAGCACUCACGUGGUUCAGAGCCUAUUAAGGAUUGGCUCUUAAUCACUCUUGCCUUGUGUCCUUUAGGUGACACACACCUUCAACUCCAGACUAAGGAUAACCCUCAAAAUAAGAGAAAAACAGGGGGAAAUUCGCCCUUGUGUUAAAAUCCUUAAAAACAACAAUAUGCAAACAUAUGUGUGCAGGUGAAGGUUGCUUCUCACCUGAACAAGAGCCUGUAACCUGGCUCUAAGUAGAAAGGCAUAUGAGUCCUUUUUUGGGAUGACUCCUUCCCUCUUUAGUGGAUGGAAAAUGCACCAAGUAUACUUUUAAAGAAUAAAAUAGUAUUUAUUACAUUCACUUAAAAUCAAUCUUGAUACAUACAGUAUAUUGGUGUCCAAAACGCGUUUUGUCGAUUCCGUUCGGCUUUCUCAAUUGGUAAUUUCCAUCCAGUUCUCUUCCUGUUUAUAAAUCCCGCCUCCUGUCCUGAUUGGUGGUCAGAGAUCGAAAACCAUCCAAUCACGGACGUUUCUGCGGGGGAGGGUAAAGUGCUCCAGCUGUAUUGCUUUAUCCCUUAGCGGUGAUGUCAUCACGCACGUACAUAUGAUCGUGCGGACGGCGUCACUUCCGGGAAUGUGAAAGAGCAGUAUUCAUAACAUAACUAAUGUCCUCAAUAUCCGAUCCUCAUUUCCUCAAUUUAGUUGACAUCACUUCCUUUUCUCUCAAAGCACUCCCCUCCAGUUCGUCAUUCCUCCAUUUUGAUUAAUGGCAAAAGUGUUGAAAAAAUCGUAAAAGAAAGUUCAUGAUGAUAUUUUCCAAUCCUAAGGCGGAUAUGCUCAUAUUUGAGCAUUUAGGCAUAAAGAACAAUAAAGUGCAUCAAUUAGUUAUGAUUUUACAAAGAAAGACAUACUUAAAGGAGAACAUAUAUAUUUUCUAAGUAGGAGAUGUAUGUGCAAGGUCUUAAUGAUGGUCUAGCCACUAGAAAUAAAAGAAUUCUUCAAUAAAAUUUCCAUUUAAACAGUAAAAAUAGAAUAUAAAAAUAGAAUAUAAAAAUUACUGUAAAAAAUAGCUAAAAAAUAGCUAAAAAAUUAUAAAAAGUGGCAUAAUUCAAAAUCAUCAUUAAGACCAUAAGGUUGCAUGGUGUUUAAAUUAAAAAUCCAUCUCAUCUCUAUUUGUCCAAUUAAUUUCAUAGGGUCACCACCUCUCCAAUUUCCAACUAUUUUCUGAAUUCCCAUAAAUUCCAUCAAUUGGGGGUUACUAUUAUGUUGGUUUUUAAAGUGCAAGGACACACUAUGAUUGAGGAAUCCUUUUUUUAUGUUCCUAAUAUGUUCCUGGAUUCUGGUAUUUAAAGUCCUAUUGGUCCUUCCUAUGUAAGCUAAACCGCAAGGACAAGUGAUCAUAUAUAUUACUUUAGUUGUGUGGCAAGUGAUAAUUUGUUUAAUUUUAUAACAUUUGUAAAAACAUAACUAAUUGAUGCACUUUAUUGUUCUUUAUGCCUAAAUGCUCAAAUAUGAGCAUAUCUGCCUUAGGAUUGGAAAAUAUCAUCAUGAACUUUCUUUUACGAUUUUUUUCAACACUUUUGCCAUUAAUCAAAAUGGAGGAAUGACGAACUGGAGGGGAGUGCUUUGAGAGAAAAGGAAGUGAUGUCAACUAAAUUGAGGAAAUGAGGAUCGGAUAUUGAGGACUAAUGUUAUGAAUACUGCUCUUUCACAUUCCCGGAAGUGACGCCGUCCGCACGAUCAUAUGUACGUGCGUGAUGACGUCACCGCUAAGGGAUAAAGCAAUACAGCUGGAGCACUUUACCCUCCCCCGCAGAAAGAAAGUGAUUGGAUGGUUUUCGAUCUCUGACCACCAAUCAGGACGGGAGGCGGGAUUUAUAAACAGGAAGAGAACUGGAUGGAAAUUACCAAUUGAGAAAACCGAACGGAAUCGGCGAAACGCGUUUUGGACACCAAUAUACUGUAUGUAUCAAGAUUGAUUUUAAGUGAAUGUAAUAAAUACUAUUUUAUUCUUUAAAAGUAUACUUGGUGCAUUUUCCAUCCACUAAAGAGGGAAGGAGUCAUCCCAAAAAAGGACUCAUAUGCCUUUCUACUUAGAGCCAGGUUACAGGCUCUUGUUCAGGUGAGAAGCAACCUUCACCUGCACACAUAUGUUUGCAUAUUGUUGUUUUUAAGGAUUUCAACACUAGGGCGAAUUUCCCCCUGUUUUUCUCUUAUUUUGAGGGUUAUCCUUUAUCUGGAGUUGAAGGUGUGUGUCACCUAAAGGACACAAGGCAAGAGUGAUUAAGAGCCAAUCCUUAAUAGGCUCUGAACCACGUGAGUGCUUCCUAUUAUAUGGUCUACAACUACGUCUGUUUGCACAGAGUGCACUAUAUAUUUUUCUAUUUUCUUCACAGUAUAUAUAUCUCCUAUACCCUCAAAGAUUCUGGAGGAUAUAUAUGUAUUCCAUACCCCUAAAGUUUUUUAUGAUGUAAGUUAAUAUCAUUUAGCGCUACACACUACCACUUUUACAUACUGGUUAUGUAAAUUAGUGUUUAUUUCACAUAGAAGAGAUAGCUACGGAAAGAGUUUAACCAAUAGUUAUAGCAAAAACUAUAACAAUGUUGAAAUAUAAAAAAGUUGUUAUUUAGAUAUAAAUAGCUAUUUUUUACACGUACUCUUACUGUGGCUCUAACACUUCUAUAUAAGAUAGCAUAACAUUAGGUCCCCUAAUUAUUAUUUAUUUAAUUAGGGUCCCCACCUGCCGCUCAUGGGCGGGGACCAGGUGGACAUUAAGUCCCCCCAUUUAUAUUAAUAGCCCCCACCUGUGGGUAACAGAUAGGGACACAGGGAGGGCACUAUGUCCCCCCCCCCAUUUUAGUUAUUAUUGUUCCCCACCUGUGCCAAGUCACCUCUUAUUGCACUAGUGACUGGACAGCAAUAGCUACGCAGUCAUUAGUACUUUUAAAUUUUUUUAGGUGACAUGCCCCUACUCGUGCGAUAAUUUAACCUCCCUUUUAACAAUAUGGGGUCAGAGUGACCGCCAUACUGAUUUAUAUUUAGUUUAAAAUGACAGAGUGGCUGCUCGCUGUUUAGGUAACAUGCCCCUACUCACUGCAUACCGAGAGUUGGGGCAUGCAGGGGGAUUUAACCUCCCUUUUAUUAAUAUUGGUGUCUUAGUGACCAUAAUAGGUUUAAUGCGGGGGGAGGGGGAUAGGAAUAAUUAUUUAUUACAAGGAGGCAGCUGGUAGCUCUGCCGGUUCACUCCUUGCUGUGUAGUGUUGGCAAGAUGCUGAGAUGUAUGCACAUCUUUCAGGACACCAAAUAAGGGACCUUUCUGCCAAACAGCACCCAAAUUUGGUAUCUUUACAUAUGGAAUCUCACAUAAGGGCACCAGUUUAGGUAAUUAUCCGCUAAACAAAUAAAAGAUCACAAUUUAAAAAGCCUUUUUCGUAAUUUUAAUCUUUCAGUUGUUUAGUAGAUAACUCCCUUAUGUGGGAAUCACAUAUUUAAGUACCCAAAUUAGGGAGCCAUCUACUAAACACACACAUUUACAUACACACACAGACAUAUGUCUGUGUGUGUACAUAUGUGGUUGUGUGUGUAUAUAUAAAUACACACACAAUUACAGACAUACAUACACAUAUUCACAAACACUCACAAUCACAAUAAACACACACUUAACAACAGAGAUACACAUAAUCACAGACACUCACAAUCACAAUAAACACACACUUACUGACAAAGUUACACAUAAUCACAGACAUACACAAACACAAUCACAUACACAUAUGAUUACUGACACACACAGAAAUCACAUUCUUAAACACACAUUUAAUAAUUAAGAGGUACACCCAACCUCUCUUCUUUGCUCUAGGAGAGCUGGAGUGGAUCCUCCCCCUGGGGACUAGUGGUUGCUGCUGGGCUGGGAUCAAUGUGCUCUUCCUGCACAGCUCACUUGCGCGCCCAGUAGUGAUUUUGAUGUCAUAUCCCGGCUGCUGGCUCACUGCGGGUCGCACACAAUCUCCUUUGCAGUCCAUGAAGGUGAUAUUGAGAGGUGGGAUAGAUGGUGAAGGAGGGGGGUGAUAUUGAGAGGUGGGGGGAUGGUGAAGGAGGGGGGUGAUAUUGAGAGGUGAGGGUGAUGGUGAGGAGGGGUGAUAUUGAGAGGUGGGUGGAUGGUGAAGGAGGGGGGGUGAUAUUGAGAGGUGGGGGGGUUGAUGAGGGAGAGGGGUGGUGUAAGAGGGGGGGUUAGUGUUACCUUUAUUCCCUGGUGGUCCGAUGGGCAUUUCUUCUGGUCUGCAGCUCCGCAGAGCUGCAGACCAUGAAUCUCGCAAGACCAUGGUAACCCGCGGCAACGCUCUGAUUGGCCAGUUCUCGAGAGACUAGUAUCUGCGGUGGCUGGCCGGGCAGCCAGGAGGGGCCUCGCACCCAGCGUCAUACAGAACAAGUCGCCGGGCCCCCUCCUGGUGUCGGGUCUUCAGUCACUGACUGAGGACCUGACACAGUCUGCCCUCAGUCAGUUUAAGCGGCCGCGAGGCCCCAGCAAGCGCAAGGCCUUAGGCGGCUGCCUAAACCACCUAAUUAGAGAGCCGCCUCUGCAUCUAUCCCCAUCUACCAAUAUUCACUGUGCACUCUGGAAUGCCUGCCCCAUCUGCAGCAAUAUAAAAUCAACAGCCACACAUGACCUCUUCAUCUCAAAUUCUUUCACGCUUCUUGCAUUCACUGAGACCUUGCUGUCCCCCUCUGAUACUGCUGCCCCUGCUUCCUUAUGUUAUGAUGGGCUACAAUUCUCCCACACUCCUAGGCCAAAAAAAUUUAAAGGCAUAUCUUUCCCCUCAAUGUACCUUUCAACCUAUCCUCCCUGCCCCUGCCCUAUCCUUUACCUUCUUUGAAGUUCACUCUGUCUGUCUAUUUAAACCCACUCCUCUAAGAACUGCCAUAAUUUAUUGCCCCCCACCUCCUGGUCAUCCUAGGCUACUGAUUGAACACUUUUCUUCCUGGCUACCCCAUUUCCUCUCCUCUUGCACUCCUUCCCUCAUUAUUGGGGACUUUAAUAUCCCAAUCAACAACCCUAACUGCCCUGAUGCCAUUCGUCUGCUCUCUGUAACCUCCUCCGUUGGACUCACACAGUGGUUUAAUUCAUCANNNNNNNNNNNNNNNNNNNNNNNNNNNNNNNNNNNNNNNNNNNNNNNNNNNNNNNNNNNNNNNNNNNNNNNNNNNNNNNNNNNNNNNNNNNNNNNNNNNNACUCAUAGAGCAGGAAACACUCUUGACCUCAUCUUCACAAAUCUCUGUACCACCUCUAAUCUCUCUAAUAUUCCAUUUCCUCUAUCUGACCACCAUCUGCUAUCCAUUGACAUCCACAUACCCUGUACCCAAAGUACACCAUCCUCACCACAUCAGUCUUGCAGAAACCUCCAUUGCCUUGACCUUCAGCAAUUCUCCACCAACCUCCAAAGUCUCCUUUCAUCCAUCUCAAAUAUCACCAGCCCUAACACUGCAACCUACUUCUACAACUCCACUCUCUCCUNNNNNNNNNNNNNNNNNNNNNNNNNNNNNNNNNNNNNNNNNNNNNNNNNNNNNNNNNNNNNNNNNNNNNNNNNNNNNNNNNNNNNNNNNNNNNNNNNNNNCUCAACUCUAGAUCAUGGCAACUCCUAUACUUAAACACACUAAACACCCCCAAUUACAAGCCUGGCCCACCAAGCUGACCCGAUACCUCCAAAAAUGUUCCAGAACUGCUGAACGUUGCUGAGAAAGUCUCACUCUGCAUCUAACUUCCUCCACUAUAAAUUUAUGCUGCGCUCCUACAGACCGGCUCUUUCCUCUUCAAAAGAAAUCUACUACAAUAAACUCAUAACCACACUCUUCCGCAAGCCCAAACGACUGUUUCAUGCUUUUAACUCUCUUCUGCGCCCUCCUCCUCCUACCAACUUGACCGCCACAAACUUUGCAACUCACUUCACUGAGAUGAUUUCUACAAUCAGGGAAGAGAUCUCUCAUCACUCUCUAUCCACUACCUAACAAAACUCCCUCAGCUGUCUUAUGCUCAUUUGCACCCGCUAUAGCAGAAGAGGUUUCUGCUCUGCUCCAUUCCUCCCACCCCACCGCCUGUUCUCUUGAUCCUAUUCCCUCAUAUCUCAUCCACACUUUGUCUCCUUCUCUUGCUCUGCCUCUCACUAACAUUUUCAAUCUCUCCCUCUCCUCGGGCACAUUACCUCUACCAUUCAAACAUGCAACCAUAACCCCGAUUCUGAAAAAGCCCAAUCUUGACCCUAAUUUCCCAUCCAACUACCGCGCUCUCUCGCUACUGCCGUUUGUCUCCAAGGUCCACAAGAGAGUUGUGUAUGUGAGAUUGACAGACUUCCUCGAAUCCAACUCUCUGCUUGACCUUGAUUCCAUGCUCGUCACUCAGUUGAAACAGCUGUGACCAAAGUAUCCAAUGAUCUUAUCACUGCAAAAUCCCAUGGCCACUAGUAUCCUAAUUCUUCUUGACCUUUCUGCUGCUUUUGACACUGUUGAUAUUUAACAGCUUCUUCUCAUCCUCCGUAAUCUUGGUCUAUGAGAUACUGCUCUGCUUUAUACUCUGGCUCUGCCUCUUCUCCCCAAUUCCUCUCUGUUGGUGUUCCCCAAGGGUUUGUCCUUGGUCCUCUAUUGUUCUCAAUCUACACAGCCUCCCUUGGUAAACUCAUCACCUCCUUCGGCUUCCAAUAUCAUUUAUAUGCAGAUGAAACACAAAUUUCCCUGUCCUCCACUGUUUUCUAACCAACCCUCUUGACUCGUGUCUCUGACUUCCUCUAUGCUAUUUCCAACUGGAUGGCUGCUCAUUUCCUUAAUCUAAACCUGUCCAAAACAGAACUUCUGGUCUUUACUCCCUCAAGUGCUGUCUGUCCCUCCAAGUCAAUGGUGCUACCAUCUGCUCUACCUCUUAGGCUUGCUGCCUAGGUGUUGUCUUUGACUCCGACCUUUCCUUUACACCUCAUGUCCAAUCAAUUGCCAAAUCCUGUCUCUUCCAUCUCAAAAAUAUUGCGUGCAACAGAUGUGGCUAAGGUGCUGGUCCAUGCCACUGUCCUCUCUCGCCUUGACUUCUGUAAUCCUCUUCUCAGUGUUCUUACGUUUUGCCCCGUUACAGUAUAUAAUGAAUGUAGGGGCGAGGCUCAUCUUCCUGUUCACCUUCACCUCCCACGCCUCAUACGCCUCCCCCUUUGUCAUUGGCUUCCCGUAAGAUAUAGGUCUCAAUUUAAGAUCCUGAUACUUGCUUACAAAUCUCUAAACAAUGCUGCUCCGACCUACUUGUUCUCACUAUUACACAAAUAUGUCCCAUCUAGGCCCCUAUGCUCUGCCUGAAACCUACGCCUAACAUCUAUUCGUACUCCUACCUCUGAUGUUCACCCUAAAGACUUCUCUAAGGCUGCACCGUUCCUAUGGAACGCCAUUUCCCUCUAUGUUAGACUUUCACCCAAUCUCCACACCUUCAAAAAAUCUUUGAAAACUUACUUCUUUAGGAAAGCAUAUCAAUUAACCUGUGAACAGCUUUCUCUCCCCGCACCCUGAUUCCUUUCCUGCAACUGCCAUCAAAACAGCAACCUACGUUCUAUCCUACCCUUACCUUUUGUGUCACAUUACUCCCACUCUCUCUACCAUGUAAACUCACUGAGCAGGGCCCUCAAUCCCUCUGUUCCUGUGUGCCCAACUUGUCUGGUUAAAAAUACGUGUCUGUUAGUCCACCCAUUGUACAGUGCUAAGGAACUUGUUGGCGCUUUAUAAAUAAUAAUAAUAUAUGACAGGGAGGGUGAUGGGAUAUAUGGCAGGGAGGGUAGGGGGAUAUUUGACAAGGUGGGGAUUUGGGCAUAAUGGCAGGGAAGGUGGGGGUAUAAUGGCAGGGAGAGUGGGUGAUAUAUGGCAGAAUGGUGGGGUAUAAUGACAGGGAGGGUGGGUGUAUAUUUGCAGGAAGGGUAGGGGGAUAUAUGGCAAGGAGGUUGGGGGUAUAUGGCAGUUAGGGUGGGGGGAUAUACAGGGCUGUAUUUACCACAAGACAAACAAGUCAUUUGCCUAGGGCGGCACUUUCAGGGGAGUGAAAAAAAAACGCUGCCUCAAUUGCUCAGGCAAAUGCCUUGUUUGCCUCGUGUCACAGGGCGAGUUUACAAAUACUGUAUAUUAACUCACCAUUUAGGAAGGUGCAGGAGCAGCAGGGGCUGUUUCUCACCAUGUGGUGGCUGCUCUUUCAGCCACCAAGCAGCUCUAUUCUAUGGUCAAGCAGUGCAGCAGGUAAGGACUCUGGAUCCAAGGGGCAGGGGAUCUAGAGAGGCUGAUUCUGAUUCCCUGCAUGUUCAGAGUGGCCACGGGGGAGCAACCUGACUCUGCGCCCCCUGCUGGUACACUCCAAAAUAACCUCCCUGCUGCUCAAUGUGAGUCAGAGCAUAGGCUGGGAAUCCCCUCCCUGUGCUCUGACUCCCUGACUAAGCGUCGGAGACACGAGGGAGAGAUUCGUACAUGUGAACCAGUGGGAGGUACAGAGUGUGGCACCGCGGCCCACCAUCCCUCCCCACCCUCCCUAAGUACGCUACUGUGUACAGGCCCAUUUGAAGUUUGCCAAUGAGCAUCUGAAUGAUUCAGAGGAGAACUAGGGGAAAGUGUUAUGGUCAGAUGAGACCAAAAUCAAGCUUUUGGCAUCAACUCAACUCGCCGUGUUUAGCGAAGGAGCAAUGCUGCCUAUGACCCCAAGAACACCAUCCCCACCCACAUUAAAGGACCACUAUAGGCACCCAGACCACUUCUGCUUAAUGAAGUGGUCUGGGUGCCAGGUCCAACUAGGAUUAACUCUGCCUGCUGUAAACAUAGCAGUUUCAGAGAAACUGCUAUGUUUACAAAUGGGUUAAUCCAGCCUCUAGUGGCUGUCUCAUUGACAGCCGCUAGAGGUGCUUCCGCGCUUCUCACUGUGAUUUUCACAGUGAGAAGACGCCAGCAUCCAUAGGAAAACAUUGAGAAUGCUUUCCUAUGAGACUGGCUGAAUCCACGCAUGCGGAUGUUUACAAAUGGGUUAAUCCAGCCUCUAGUGGCUGUCUCAUUGACAGCCGCUAGAGGUGCUUCCGCGCUUCUCACUGUGAUUUUCACAGUGAGAAGACGCCAGCAUCCAUAGGAAAACAUUGAGAAUGCUUUCCUAUGAGACUGGCUGAAUCUGCGCAUGCGCAUUCAACCGAUGACGUCUGAAGGGGGAGGAGAGUCCCCAGUGCCGAGGGAGCCCAGUGCUGGAAAAAGGUAGGAAUUUAACCCCUUCCUCCCACUAGAGCCUGACGGGAGGGGGGCCCAGAGGGUGAGGGGGGCCCAAGGACCCUAUAGAGCCAGAAAAACGAGUAUGUUUUCCUGGCACUAUUGUGGUCCUUUAAGGUCCUAGAGUGGCCUAGCCAGUCUCCAGACCUUUAGUCCCAUAGAAAAUCUCUGGAGGGAGCUGAAGGUUUGAGUUUCCAAACGUCAGCCUCAAAACCAAACAUCAGCCUCAAAAACAAAAAUGACUUAGAGAGGAUCUGCAAAGAGGAGUGAGAAAAAAAUCCCUCCUGAGAUGUGUGCAAACCUGGUGGCUAACUACAAGAAAUAUCUGACCUCUGUAAUUGUCAACAAGGGUUUUACCACCAAGUACUAAGUCGAAGGGGUCAAAUACUUAUUUCACUCAUUGACAUGCAAAUCAAUUUAUAACUUUUUUGACAUGCAUUUUUCUGGAUUUUUGUUUUUUGUUUUUGUUAUUCUGUCUCUCACUGUUAAAAUACACCUACCAUUAAAAUUAUAGACUGAACAUUUAUUUGUCAGUGGGCAAAUGUUUAAAAUCAGCAGGGGAUCAAAUAUUUAUUUUUCCUCACUAGAACAAAAGCAAAAAUAGAAAAGAAAAGAUAGUAACCAGCAUACUAUUCCAAACCCCUAUGCAUAUUUAUAUAACCUUCUGUUACAUAGUCGCAUAGCUGAAAAGAGACUUGCAUCCAUCAUGUUCAGCCUUCCUCACAUUUGUUUUUUGCUGUUGCUCCAAAAGAAGGCAAAAAAACCCAGUUUAUAGCACUUUCAAUUUUGCAACAAACUAGGAAAAAAAUUCCUUCUUGACCCCAGAAUGGCAGUCAGAUUAAUCCUUGGAUCAAGAAGCUAUUACCCUACACUGAAAAAUUAUAUCCUUGAAUAUUCUGUUUUUGCAAGUAUGCAUCUAGUUGCUGUUUGAACAUCUGUAUGGACUCUGAUAAAACCACUUCUUCGGGCAGAGAAUUCCACGUCCUUAUUGUUCUUACAGUAAAAAAAAAAUCAUUUCUUUGCCUUAGACAAAAUCGUCUUUCUUCCAGUCUGAAAGCAUGACCUUGUAUCCUAUGGAAAGUUCGGUUUGUGAAUAGAUUUCCACACAAUGGUUUGUUUUGGACAGAAUCGUUUGUAUCUGUUAUUUAAAUGUGCAUAGGGAUUUGGAUUGUGUGCAGAUAACCUGUUUUUCUUGCUAUUGUUCCAUAUGGAAUAUACCUUCAAACAGAAGGUUAUCGGAGUGAUUCAUUUGAAUUUGGUCUUUUAAAUAAGGUUAAAUGGGGAAAAGAAAGAAAAUUUGUAAAGAUUGAUAAAAAUAUGUUUGAACAACAAAUCAUAAAAAAAUAAAUAAAAUUACAAUACUUUGAAUGUUAGCUGAAGUGUUAUUUGUUCUGAUGUAUGAGCCAUCUAGCCAAUUGCCAGUUCACAAAGGGGCUACGAUCAAUUCACUUAGAGUUAAGACUAAUUAUUGCAAUUCGUUGCACCAUGGAUGAUGGUAUCAUCCAGUUCCCAUUAUGCACAGCAAUUCUGUAGAUUGAGUAUAAUGUGUACUGUUUGCAACAUAUGCACUGACCAUGAAAUAAAAAACAUAUAAAUAAAUUACAGACUUGAAAAAUAUCAAGUUUUAUUGGAGGAUAUUGAUUUCUGAUUGGUGGCAUGUUUUUUCAGGCUUGCAGCUAAAGAGGUAUACGAAUAUUUUGUGGGAGGAAUCUUCAUAGAAGUAGAACAGUUAGCAGUGUUCCAAAUGUGUGAGUGGCAGGUGUGUACAGCUUCUUUUUAGCAGCCUCUUCUGUACUGGUAUUUUAAAGAUAAGAGUGUGUGUUCUGUUAUUGCUCUGUGUUUGGCUGGUACCUGCACAAGAUGAUGUGAUGCAGUGUGCUUAUAGCAGAUGCAGAGUGUGUGUAUAAAUAAUGCAGCGAGAUGCAGAGAGUGUUUAUAGUUCAUGCAGUGUCUGUGGAGUGGAUGAAGUGUGUGUAAUCGAUGCAGUGUGUGUGCAGUGUGAGUAGGAUAGGUGCUGCAAUGUGUGGGUAAAAAAGCAUUUUUUUAUUUUUUUUAAAUAAAAUGUUUCUUUUGUUUACCCUUCCCUAUGUCUUACCUGUGGUCAUGCAGGGGGGACAUUACACUCCCUGUGGUCCAGUGGUGUUGUGCAGGCUGCUCUCACAAGCCCGACAUUCAUGGUGCGUUGGAGUGUUGCCAUGGUAACCCUCAACAACACUAGGACGACCAGGCUCGCGAUAGUUGGAGUGGACCUAACCUACUGGGAAGAUGGCAGCCCUGUCUGUGAUACAGAUACAUAUUUCUGCUGUGUGUAUGUGAUGUUCCACGUGUACGUCUGUAACUGAAGUAUAUAGUCAUUGCAUCUGUACCUUAAUCACCUUUCAUUAAGUAGGGAAAGUUAUGCUAUUUCCAUUGUCUAUUUUUGGGAAGGGGGUUAUUUAAAAAAUGGAGUGAAUGGCUGGCACAUAAAUGCAGGAAAAAUAACAAUUACACGUUGGGGCCCUUAGUUGUAAGUAGCGCUACCCAGAAAGUUGUUUAUUUAAAUGUUACAGAUGAAAGCGAGAUUCCUGAAGCAAUCUCUGGAGACAUUUACUGGAUGAUUCCUUUAACUGCAUAUAUUUCCACUUCUAACAAAAAUGAAUAGCUGGCUGUGUGUAGAUUACAUCGCUUACUGACAAGACUGUAAGUGCUCCUUACUCACUGCAGAAACAUCCAGAAAUUCAGAAGAAUGUAAGACAGAAGCAGAACAGAAAUUCCAAUUCUUUCUCCUCUUUCUGGUGACAGGAUGCAAAAGCUCAUUCAUACAACUACAGAGACUUCCAGAAUCUGGAGGUAGCUGAAUACAAGCAAACCAGAAAUUAAAGUCUUAUAAUGCUUGUAACAAAGCAGUCUCCAACUUGUUGUAGCUGCAGUGUACUAGACUCCCACUGCUUUUCUUUUAAUGUCCCACCUGGAGUAGGGAACUAAAAAAAAAUUUCUAUAGCAGCAUGAUAAUAAAUCUGAACAGUUACAUAGUUGCAUAGUUACAUUGGCUUAAAAGAGACAGGUGUAGAUCAAUUUCAGUCUUCAGUUAUUAUUAUUAAGCGUACACCUGCCAAUUUGAUGUUUAUUAGAAUAGAAACUCUGGACAUUUAAGAUUGUUUUAAGAUAACAUGUAAAGAAUGGAUAGCUUAAACAGGCUAAGUGGAAAGUCACAUUUCGAAAUCUGCAAUUGUAUAAAUUAUAUAAUUCACAAUUGUGUAAAUUAAAUAUAAUCUUCUAACUCAGGGUUUUGAUCAAGGCAUGAAAAAAACAAAUGACAUUUUAUAGUGCAUCAUGAUAUAUAAAUUGUACAAAACAGAUAUCCUCAGGUUCACAAAGUCAUACUUAUAUUUCUUAGAUUCCCCUGUAAUGUCUCUGAUCCUAGAGCUUUUCCAUUAAAUUUUUAUUGAUUUUUGAUGUUUUCAUUAUUGUCUAUUUUGAUGACAUACUGGUGUUCUCCUCUUAACUGAAGACUCACUGAGAACAUAUAACAAUUUCAGAGAAGCUAAUUAAAUUAAAUUAGUUUGUGUUCAAAACACAAGAGGUACAGGUCCUAAAAGUAUGAUAACCUCUGGUAGAAUGCAGAUGGAUAGUAACACAAUUAAACCGCUCUGUUACAGAAAAUAAAAUAAUGUGACAUUUUGUUGACUUUUAUUAGAUAGUUUAUGCAGUUUCUCAAGUCAUUUAAUCACUGCUCUAAAUGAAGAUUGAGAGUUUCUAUCGGAUUCUACCAGUUCAAUGGGCUUUCAAAGUCUUGGGGGGAAAAAAAAAUCACAACUGCCACCAUUCUAGUAUAUAACCCCUCAGAACCCUACUUUAUGGAGAUGAAUGUGCCAGUGAUUGAUGCUAACAUUAUAUGUAACGGACCGUUUUGCACACAAGGGGUAAAAAACAUUUAGGCGAUCGUCCCCUUCCAGAGACACAGGCACAGCUACUGCAGAACACCAAUCCGCCGAACAGGAAACCAUGUGAAUGCCGUAAACAGCCGAAUAGGAAAAACCAUACGAAUAGGUUUACACUCCUAGCAGUCAAACUGGAACAGCAUACAAUAAAUCCCCCCAAGAACGAGACAAAGCUCUGUGUUGAGGGUCAAGCAGUGAACAGUCAGAGCUGUGGGUUUAUUGUGCUUAUGUACACAUUCUUACAUAUUAGUACCACCCACAGGGUUUUGGAACACAACCAAUAAACACAUACAAUACACUCAGACACUCCCACACAAAUUCCUGCCCUCUGCAUGUGAUUCAAUUACCUUACACAAUGGGUAAUGUAAUUUAGCACAAGCAGAGAAAUACAAUUUUUCCACAUUAUUCAUAACUUGAAAAGUAUGCAUCACGUUCACAUAAAGCAUACAUUUUCAGAAUCAGCAUACUCCAAAUACAAACAUACAUCAAAAUCAUACAAAUUGGUCCAGUGGUUCAAAAGAUAGAUCGUAGUCCUUUGUGACCACAGGAAGCAUGGCUUUUCUGCCCAAAACCAGUUCCACAGAGUCUUCCAUCCAGGAGAUAAUUGUGAAGUAAUCCAAUUAUCUCCAAAGACAGAGGCAAAACUCCACUGAACACAUGGCAGCAAAAAGACAGUAACAUACAAUAAAAUACACAAGGUUACAUUUAUGUCAUAAAAUACAGACAUGCAACAUAUGCCCAGAUAGCUUAGGUCUGAGCGCACAUUAUUACUGAAUGGCGCUCAGAGCACACACAUACAGUUCAAUUGCCAUGGAGCCAAAGUCUUUCCCAUAGUCUUUCAUUAUACGAAUGGGCUCCAUGGCAUAGCUAUCUGGGGUAUCACUGCUCAAACAGGGCAAGCACCAAAUGACCCGGCUUUCUUGUCUUUGCAGGGGAAAAUCAAGCCUUUUAACAUGGGGCCAUAAUCCAAAGGCAACAGGCGAGCAACCAGGCUUCUCCAUUGCAAUGUGGCGAGAUUGCUCUCGUCACAUACUAUAAAAAUGCAUAGGAAAAAAGCUAAUGCGUUGGUGCACUGUAUUUGCUUAAACAAUGCUGGGAGCAGAUAUUAUGUUGGUGACCUGGAAUCCCCAUUAUACUUGUCCUUGAUUAGUAGAGACAAUUGCUGACCUCUGAUCUCAGAUUGGAUAUUUCAACAAUCUUACCACAGGAUACACUUCAUAUUAUAUUAACUCCUACCUCUCACCCUAUACCCUCUCAAUAGAUACUAUUUCUGUUGUGAUAGAAACUUUGCUUUUUUGAUUGUGUUUUUUUGUGAUAUCAAUCUUGUAACUUUGCAAAAACACUCCAUUGGCUGUUUAUAUAUAUAUAUAUAUAUAUAUAUAUAUAUAUAUAUAUAUAUAUAUAUAUAAUCUAUAUAUAUAUAUAGGUGCUCAUGAUAGUACAGAGUAAAAUACCAUAAUUAAAUGUAGGAUAGUAAAAAGGGCAAGUCGGUUGUGGUGUGCCGGAACCGACGAUGAGGUAGGCCUGAGAAAGAAGAGGGCCUACCCAGGAAAAAGAAAUAGAAAGGAAAUAAAUGUUAAAAUGUGGUGUGGUGGGAGGGUCAUUCAACGCUGACCUCGAACGGUAAGGAGCAAGGUAAGGGGUGUGCCUUAAGUAGGCUAGGAGUGGAUACCAAGCACCUCCCACAAAUCCAGGCAAAUUGCCUUAAUACUUGUGUUAGGUGCUUAUGAUAGUACAGUGUGAAAUACCAUAAAUAAAUGUAGGAUAGUAAAAAGAGCAUAUAAAUGACACACACUAUAUAUAUAUAUAUAUAUAUAUAUAUAUAUAUAUAUAUAUAUAUAUAUUUGUGGUCAGGGCAUAAGCCGUAGUAUAACUUAUAUAAAUAGGACAAACCAUGAAAGGAAAUGUCAGUUGUGGUGUGCCGGAACUGACGAGGAAGUAGGCCUGAAAUAAAAGAGGGCCUACCUUAUAAAAUGCUUAUGAAAGCGGUGUGGUGGGUGGGAGAAUCCGUCGCACCUAACAGGGAUUUUGAGUGACCUUUGUUGAUGAUGUGACAGGUUGUCUGGUUGUCUAAGUAACAACGAACUAGCAUGUUUGCCCAUAAAUGACCCCAUGCUACGGCAGCCGCCACAAUGGGAUAGAUCUCAAAGUGAGCUGAGGUAGUGGAAAAACCUUCCAAAUCCUGAACUGCUGUAGGCCAGCUGCCCCAAAGCCAUUUGUUCCCAAAAAUUGCUGCAAAACCUGUGGUAGAUGCUGCAUCUGACCAAAUAGUAGGUGAUGAGUCAGUCAAUUGAGGGAGGAACAUACUUUUACCAUUCCAAGUGGUUAAAAAUUCCUUCCACAUGCGUAGGUCUGCCGUAGCUUGGUUAUCUAAGGACAACCUGUGUGUGUCGUGUAGGAAGUGUGGAAAAUGAUACAAGAGUCGUGAUAUGAAGGAGCGGCCUUGAGGUAUGAUACGCAUGGCAAAAUUUAGUGACCCCAGCAGGGACUGUAGCUCUUUGCGGUUGCAAGUACCGAGCUGAAGUUGCGGUUGAUAUAAGUAAGAAUGUUCUCUAUCUUGUCGUGUGGUAGGCUUGCUUGCAUUGUGGUUGAGUCUAAUUGAAUACCCAGGAAAGUGAUAAUCGUGUCUGGCCCCUCCGUUUUCUUAGGGGAGAUUGGUACACGUAGUCGCUCGAAUAGCUUGGUGGUAGCAUUGAGGCUACUAGGAGAGGAAGUAUUUUCCUCGACCAGUAAGAAGUCGUCCAGGUAAUGUAAUACCAUAGGGCAUCUGGCUAUGUUUAAUAGUAACCAGCACAAUGCUUCGGCAAAUGUGUCGAAAGUAGCUGGGCUACUUUUGGACCCAAAAGUUAAACGGGAGAAAAAAAAUAGUAGUUCCCGGCCCACUUGAUUCCAUGCAGGUGCCACAGUGUGGGGUGGAUUAGUAGCAAUUUAAAGGCGUUAGUGGUAUCAGUCUUACUAAACCAGGCCCUGCUUGUAUGAUUGCUGUAAUGGCGUGAUCUGUGGUGGUGUAUUGCAGGGAGAAUUCCUCGGAGGGUAUGAGGGAAUUAAGACUGGGGUUGGCCGAUGAGUGUGGUGCAGACAAGUCAAUGAUGAGUCUCUGUUUAAGGGAAGAUUUCCCUGUGACAAUACCAAUGGGGUUAGUACGCCAUUCUUUGAAUGGAGGAGCUUUGAAAGGCCCCAAUACGAAACCCUCAGUGACUUCUUGGGCUAAGAGAAUGUCAACAGCUGUGGGAUUAUGUUGUGCGGAUUGUAGAUUUAGGGCAUUCCAGAGUCCCAGAUGGUAUCUGUAGAAUACCUGUGUGGAAGCCUUCUGUUAAAUCAGAGAUAAGAAAGUCCACUAAGUGUUUAGACGGGUGAUGUGACAUAAAUGCAGUAAACACCGGCAUAUUAAUGGACGUGAGGUAAGGUUUAGAAUACAUUUUAUUUGGACACAUGGUUUUUGCAUGUGCCCUAAAACAUUUUAAACAGAUAUGCAAUAAUCUGCAACCGCUAUAAUUACAAGACCCAACAUUGAAAUUAUUUCAUAUCUGAGACUUGCCCAGGAACUUGAUCAGGCGUCCCAGUUUGUCUCUGGUCACUUUCUCUGGGACACCAGAGGAACUAGCUCCUUGCGUGGAGGCAUGUUCGUCAGCCGUGUUGGGACAGAAGUUUGUCGUAUGGGCUGUAGAGGAGCAGUAUGCACAAGCCGGUGUUCUCAGACCUGCAAAGUGUCUUCAAAAUAUGACGGUAUCUAUCCUUCCCCAGUAGGAUCUUUUCCAUACUGGGAGAACGCUGCAGACACUUUUGCAGAAAAAUACCUAUGGUAGUCAUAAAAGGCUGAACCACCAUAUUUAUUGCCCAGGUCUACCAGCUUGUGCAUAUAAAGAUCAAACUCCUCUCUUCUAUUGGGAUAGACCGCACAGAUGACAUCCCGGUAAAUACCAAAGGCCAGUACAAACUCGGAGUUUCCUGUUUAGGCGGGCGUCCCUAGAUCUGAUAACAACAGACACAUUAUCAUAAGCAUGUCUUAUUUUCCACAAUAUCCUGGGAGGCAAUCAGCAGGGAAGCUAGGUUGACGUCUUUACCUUCCAGGAUAUCUCUUUUUAUGUGCUCAGGGAUCAUAUGAGCAGGGCUAACUUCCUGGUCAUCCGAGGUGAUGGUUGGAGGAACCAAUAGCAAGUUGGCUGGUGCUUGUGAAGCAGCAGCGGGUGGCCCUGCUAGAGUAAGGGCCGUGGUGACCAACUCAAGUUUCUCCAACCUGGAGUUGACCUUGCUCGUGGACGUCAUGAGUGAGGAUAACAUAGAAUGUAUGUCUCCUGGGUUGGACUGGCUAGGUCCUUCACCAGGAUCCAUGUUAUUUGAUGUACGUAAUAGUUUGNNNNNNNNNNNNNNNNNNNNNNNNNNNNNNNNNNNNNNNNNNNNNNNNNNNNNNNNNNNNNNNNNNNNNNNNNNNNNNNNNNNNNNNNNNNNNNNNNNNNCCCAGGUGUACGGUUCCUAAAAUGGCUGCCAUAUACACGUCCACUGAUAGGAGACGCGGAAGGUAUUAAACUGAUCAGAACAAUACUAACACACCACAAAUAAGGUUUCUCUCCUGUAUGGCUCCUCAAAUGAUGCUUAAGAUUAGAAGCGGCUGAAAAGCAUUUCUCACACUCCGAACAAAAAUAUAUUUUUUAACAUUCUCUCCACUUUGAACGAAAUGACGUUUGGGAAGAGAUUAACAUAAUUAAACACAGGCAGUAAAAAUACAGUUUUUAGCCAUACCCUGUAACUUUUAAACUACACAUCCCAUCUUCAUAAUUACAUAUUUGGAAUCAGCACACUUAAAACAUAAACAUAACCAAAAAUCAGCCAAAUCCAUCCAGGGGUUAAAAAGUUAGCUGGAGGUCCCUUUUAUGACCGACCGCAAGCACAUUUUCCUGCCCAAAACAGUUCCAUAGAUUUGGGCUGUGAGGUCGGGUUCAUUUCGUUGAGGGAACGACCAAGUCCCAUCACACACCCUAGUCUCUGCAGCUGAAAUACAAGGCUGAAAAACGGUUGAAAAGAUCCAAGUCCCAUCACGUAAUGGGACUUAGUCUCUGGGUAGCUGAAAUAAAUAAUUUCCCAUUUACUGAACCAAGUGGAAAUAGCAAGGCAGGCACAAAGGGUUUGCACCCAGGUCUGGGGACACAGGGGACACCGUCUUAAAGGGGCAGUGUCCCCAACAAGUCUGGGGACACUGUCUUAAAGGGGCAGUGUCCCAAUCUUCCUGAUGUCCCAAAAAGGUGCUUAAAGGGCCAGCACCAGUCACAUAAAGAGUCCAUAAGCCCCAAUAUGCCCACCGACAGUCUUAAAGGGCCAUACACACCAAAUAAAAGUGCACACAUUUUCACAAUCUCCCAGGGGCCAUAGUCAUGCGGGAGGAGGCUGGCAAAUAGGCUUCUCCACAACCCAGGGAAGCAGGGCAAUUUGCCAUUUAAAGGGCCAGUUAUAAAUAGCAGUUUGUAACAAGGUGUCAAUCCAUAUCUGCUAAGUGACCUCGGCUGGGGACCAGUCCCUAUUCUGCUCUGUGUCAGUGUGUAUCAGGAACCUUUAGGACAGGUGUCAAUCCAUAUCUGCCAAGUGACCCGAUGUUGGGGUAACAUUCCCUAUUCUGAUCUGUGUCAGUGUGUAUCAGGGAUCCUUAGGACAGGCGCUUCAUCCAUAUCUGCCAAGUGACCCGACAUGUUGGGGUAACAUUCCCUAUUCUGAUCUGUGUCAGUGUAUCAGGGUCCUUAGACAGGUGUCAAUCCAUAUCUGCCAAGUGACCAUGUUGGGGUAACAUUCCCUAUUCUGCUCUGUGUCAGUGUGUAUCAGACCACUGAUAGGAGACGCGGAAGGUAUUAAACUGAUAAAAAUAGUACUAAACACACCACUCCUAUCUGGUGUCACAUUAGCUUGACCGCGCAGUGCCUCAAAUUUGCAGUAAGAGGACCAACCAAGCCUCUUCUUCCAUCUCCCUGUUACAAAAAUCAAUGCCGUGUACACGUCCACUGAUAGGAGACGCGGAAGGUAUUAAACUGAUAAAAAUAGUACUAAACACACCACUCCUAUCUGGUGUCACAUUAGCUGGAGCGCGCAGUGCCACAAAUUUGCAGUGAGAGGACCGACCAAGCCUCUUCUUCCAUCUCCCUGUUACAAAAAUCAAUGCCGUGUACACGACCACUGAUAGGAGACGCGGAAGGUAUUAAACUGAUCAGAACAAUACUAAACACACCACUUCUAUCUGGUGGCACAUUAGCUUGACCGCGCAGUGCCCCAAAUUUGAAUUAAGAGGACCGACCAAGCAUCUUCUUCCAUCUCCCUGUUACAGAAAUCACUGCCAUAUCCAUACAAAUUGUACAGAAUGCCCAGGAUAGUUUUCCAGGGACAAAUGUUGUCGCCUGUUGAACGAGGUGACCUUGCUCGGGUCCCAGGUGUACGGUUCCUAAAAUGGUUGCCAUAUACACGUCCACUGAUAGGAGACGCGGAAGGUAUUAAACUGAUCAGAACAAUACUAAACACACCACAAAUAAGGUUUCUCUCCUGUAUGGCUCCUCAAAUGAUGCUUAAGAUUAGAAGCGGCUGAAAAGCAUUUCUCACACUCCGAACAAAAAUAUAUUUUUUUAACAUUCUCUCCACUUUGAACGAAAUGACGUUUGGGAAGAGAUUAACAUAAUUAAAACACAGGCAGUAAAAAUACAGUUUUUAGCCAUACCCCGUAACUUUUUAAAACUACACAUCCCAUCUUCAUAAUUACAUUUGGAAUCAGCACACCCUUAAAACAUAAACAUAACCAAAAAUCAGCCAAAUCCAUCCAGGGGUUAAAAAGUUAAUGGAGGUCCUUUAUGACCUAAUUUGCAAGUUACAUUUUCCUGCCCAAAACAGUUCCAUAGAUUUGGGCUGUGAGGUCGGUCUAUUUCAGGUUGAAAAUUUACCAAGUCCCAUCACAAUGGGCCUUGGGGCCCUGCAGCUGAAAUAAGGCUGAAAAAAGUUGAAAGACUAAGUCCCAUCACUGCACGUGGGACUUAGUCUCUGCAGCUGAAAUAAUUUCCCAUUUACUGACCCAAGUGGGAAAUAGCAAGGCAGGCACAAAGGGUUUGCACCAGGUCUGGGGACACAGGGGACACCGUCUUAAAGGGGCCGUGUCCCCAACAAGUCUGGGGACACGGCCUUUAAAGGGCAGUGUCCCAAUCUUCCUGAUGUCCCAAAAAAGGUGUUUAAAGGGCCAGCACCAGUCACAUAAAGAGUCCAUAAGCCCCAAUAUGCCCACCGACAGUCUUAAAGGGCCACACACACCAAAUAAAAGUGCAUACAUUUUCACAAUCUCCCAGGGGCCAUAGUCAUGCGGGAGGAGGCUGGCAAAUAGGCUUCUCCACAACCCAGGGAAGCAGGGCAAUUUGCCAUUUAAAAGGCCCGUUACAAAUAGCAGUUUGUAACAAGGUGUCAAUCCAUAUCUGCCAAGUGACCCGAUGUUGGGGGACCAGUCCCUAUUCUGCUCUGUGUCAGUGUGUAUCAGGGAACCUUAGGACAGGUGUCAAUCCAUAUUUCUGCUAAGUGACCCAUGUAGGGGAAAUUGUAGUCCCUAUUCUGCUCUGUGUCAGUGUGUAUCAGGGAUCCUUAGGACAGGUGUCAAUCCAUAUCUGCCAAGUGACCCUAUGUAGGGGACCAGUCUCUAUUCUGCUCUGUGUCCGUGUGCAUCAGGGGCUCUGAGGACAGGUGUCAAUCCAUAUGUCAAGGUGUCAAUAUGUCAUAUGUCAGGUGUCAAUCCAUAUUGAUUGUGAUUUAGGAAUGCUAGGUGAUUUCUGCCCUUUAUGGAUUAAAACCAGACUCUGUAUCAACUGUGUAAUUUUCCAUGGGAGUUUUGCCAUGGAUCCCCCUCCGGCAUGCCACAGUCCAGGUGUUAGUCCCCUUGAAACAACUUUUCCAUCCCUAUUGUGGCCAGAAAGAGCCCCUGUGUGUUUUAAAAUUCGCCUCCCCAUUGAAGUCAAUGGCGUUUCGGGCGGUUCGCCGGUUCGCGAACAUUUGCGGAAGUUCGCGUUCGCCGUUCGCGAACCGAAAAUUUCGGGUUCGCGACAUCACUAAUAUACACACAGACAUCCAUACACAUACACGGCUAUACACCUAUACACACAGACAACCAUACAUAUAGACAGCCAUACACCUAUACACACAGACAGCCAUACAAACACACAUACACACACAGCCAAACACAGACUGGGUUGGUUUCUUACCUGAGGUCUAGUGGGGCUGUUGGGCAGGCAGGCAGGGGGGCGGACAAGCAGUGAGGGAGUGCUGAGUACAGGGCCGGCCUUAGGGGUGUGCGAGCUGUGAGGCCACACAGGGCGUCAUGCCAACAGGGGCGUCAGGCAACCGACACAGCUCGCACAACCAGGUCCUGUCCUACCUCAGAGCGCCCUGGUGGGUGAAAGAUUGCACCCCGGCCAGCCGACCCUUAGAGAGUGAGCUCGUCUUUUGUAUUGGCCGGUGAGGAGAUUGGGGACCUCCCUCACUGGCCCGCUGUUUGCAUAAUGGGGAGGAGCGAGCAGUGAGCACUUUGAUUCUGCCCUCCUCUCGCGAGCUCGGCAUUCUGAGUCUUGCCGCGUUGUUACCGUGGCAGCGCUCUCAUACUAUCAACACGGAGCUCGCAAGAGGAGGGCUCCUGUUCUGCAAGGUGCAGAACUUCAAGAGCUGUCAGAGACCGCUGGGCCACCACGUCAUCAGUAUUUCCCCAUCCCUGCCCAAAGGUAUGCAAGAGGGAGGGGGGCAGAAGGGGGGAAUCAACAUUAAUUAAUUUAAGAAAACAAAACCUCAAAUUGCUCUCCCACAUCCUCAUUUAAAGCCUUAUGUCACCCCUCCUACCCACAAAUCAUCACUAUCCCACCCUAACUUUGUUACCUACACACACUCCAAAACACGCACACUACAUAAUCUACUCACACACACGCACACUACAUAAUCUACUCACAUACACACACACACACACCACAUAAUCUACUCACACACUACAUAAUCUACUCACACACAACAUCCCCUAUAAACACACUAUGUUCUCUACACACAUACACACUAGAUAACUCACAAACACUACAAAACGAACAGAUACACUUUGCUCCCUAUACAUACCUACGUAACUACGUAACUUACACCCAUACACACUACAUUCCUUAUACACACAUACUAUUUUCCCUAAACACAUACACCCUACAUCCCCUAUACACACACUGUUUCCUACACACAUACACAUUACAUCCCUUUCACACACACAUUACAUAACCUACACACACACAGACACACAUCACAUACCCUACACAGAUACACACUACAUCCCCUAUACACACAUACACACAUCCCUAUCCCACACCACACUGUUUUCCCUACACACACUGCAUCCCUAUUCCACACACAACAUAAUGGCAUGGCAACUUCAGGGAGACAGGACACUCUUGUUAGAAAUACAUUUUUACUCCUACUGCUAGAGUGUCCAUUCACAUAGGUUUGUUUUUCCCAAAUCUAUACAGGGAGUGCAGAAUUAUUAGGCAAGUUGUAUUUUUGAGGAUUAAUUUUAUUAUUGAACAACAACCAUGUUCUCAAUGAACCCAAAAAACUCAUUAAUAUCAAAGCUGAAUAUUUUUGGAAGUAGUUUUUAGUUUGUUUUUAGUUAUAGCUAUGUUAGGGGGAUAUCUGUGUGUGCAGGUGACUAUUACUGUGCAUAAUUAUUAGGCAACUUAACAAAAAACAAAUAUAUACCCAUUUCAAUUAUUUAUUAUUACCAGUGAAACCAAUAUAACAUCUCAACAUUCACAAAUAUACAUUUCUGACAUUCAAAAACAAAACAAAAACAAAUCAGUGACCAAUAUAGCCACCUUUAUUUGCAAGGACACUCAAAAGCCUGCCAUCCAUGGAUUCUGUCAGUGUUUUGAUCUGUUCACCAUCAACAUUGCGUGCAGCAGCAACCACAGCCUCCCAGACACUGUUCAGAGAGGUGUACUGUUUUCCCUCCUUGUAAAUCUCACAUUUGAUGAUGGACCACAGGUUCUCAAUGGGGUUCAGAUCAGGUGAACAAGGAGGCCAUGUCAUUAGAUUUUCUUCUUUUAUACCCUUUCUUGCCAGCCACGCUGUGGAGUACUUGGACGCGUGUGAUGGAACAUUGUCCUGCAUGAAAAUCAUGUUUUUCUUGAAGGAUGCAGACUUCUUCCUGUACCACUGCUUGAAGAAGGUGUCUUCCAGGAACUGGCAGUAGGACUGGGAGUUGAGCUUGACUCCAUCCUCAACCCGAAAAGGCCCCACAAGCUCAUCUUUGAUGAUACCAGCCCAAACCAGUACUCCACCUCCACCUUGCUGGCGUCUGAGUCGGACUGGAGCUCUCUGCCCUUUACCAAUCCAGCCACGGGCCCAUCCAUCUGGCCCAUCAAGACUCACUCUCAUUUCAUCAGUCCAUAAAACCUUAGAAAAAUCAGUCUUGAGAUAUUUCUUGGCCCAGUCUUGACGUUUCAGCUUGUGUGUCUUGUUCAGUGGUGGUCGUCUUUCAGCCUUUCUUACCUUGGCCAUGUCUCUGAGUAUUGCACACCUUGUGCUUUUGGGCACUCCAGUGAUGUUGCAGCUCUGAAAUAUGGCCAAACUGGUGGCAAGUGGCAUCGUGGCAGCUGCACGCUUGACUUUUCUCAGUUCAUGGGCAGUUAUUUUGCGCCUUGGUUUUUCCACACGCUUCUUGCGACCCUGUUGACUAUUUUGAAUGAAACGCUUGAUUGUUCGAUGAUCACGCUUCAGAAGCUUUGCAAUUUUAAGAGUGCUGCAUCCCUCUGCAAGAUAUCUCACUAUUUUUGACUUUUCUGAGCCUGUCAAGUCCUUCUUUUGACCCAUUUUGCCAAAGGAAAGGAAGUUGCCUAAUAAUUAUGCACACCUGAUAUAGGGUGUUGAUGUCAUUAGACCACACCCCUUCUCAUUACAGAGAUGCACAUCACCUAAUAUGCUUAAUUGGUAGUAGGCUUUCGAGCCUAUACAGCUUGGAGUAAGACAACAUGCAUAAAGAGGAUGAUGUGGUCAAAAUACUCAUUUGCCUAAUAAUUCUGCACUCCCUGUACACGUGGGAGGAAUUCUUCUAGACCAGAAAUUGUGUGUACCAUAAUAAGUACAAUUUAACAUGAUUUCCAAGAGUAAUAUUUAUAUAUACAUGUAUAUUACUAUUGGUGUAUUAUUAUUAUUAUUAUUAUAUGUGUUAUUACACCUAUAAUAUUUACAAAUGUAUGUGUAUAUGCAUGAUAUGCCCAGAAAUCACAUUAAUACAUAACACCUAUGUAAUGGAGGCUUAGCACUUUUAAGAAGAUGGACGAGGGCAUGUGACCGUGGAGGGGCGCUGUGAAUAUUUUUCGCACAGGGCGCCUUAAGGCCUAAGGCCGGCCCUGGCUGAGUGUAAGUUCUCCCUGCUCAGCUCCCUUGUGCGCCGCAGUGAUCCGGAGUGAUGUCAUAUUCUGGCUCCCGGCAUCACUUCCGGUUAGCUGAGCGGGGAAAGCUUACACUCAGCGCUCCCUCGCCGCAGCACGCGACCCACAUAAAUAUUAGUUGUGGGCCGCGAGUUUGAUGUGGCUGGUCUAAAUGUUGAAAUUUUUAAUAACAAUAUUAUAGUUUUAAAAUGUUUGAUUUGUUGAAAUUGUUGAUGGGGUGCUUUUUAAGUUGUUGUUUUUGUUACCGUACUGAUGCUUCCAAUAGACUGUAUGCUAUCUCCCUAGCCAAAAUCAGACUGCAUUCUAUACAACUGAUAUACAUGCUGCUUUCUAUACAAUGGAAUUUAAAUGUUAAAAUAGAAAUAUUCAGGGUGAGCCUAAACAUCUCAAUGGAUUAUUAUCACAGCAUUCACUUUCAUAUCUAUUCAUAAACAUCGUUAAACAUAGGACACAAUGUCACACAUUUAGACUGAAAGAAAGGAGAUUUAGUCUAAGGCAAAGGAAAGGUUUUUUUUUAAAGUAAAAACAAUAAGAAUGUGUAAUUAUCUGCCUUAAGAUGCGGUUUUAUCAGAGUCUACAGUCAAGUUCAUAAAUAUUGAGACAUCGACACAAUUCUAAUCUUUUUGGCUCUAUACACCACCACAAUGGAUUUGAAGUGAAAUGAACAAGAUGUGCUUUAACUGCAGACUUUCAGCUUUAAUUUGAGGGUAUUUACAUCCAAAUCAGGUGAACGGUGUAGGAAUUACAACAGUUUGUAUAUGUGCCUCCCACUUUUCAAGGUAGGUAUAAAACACCGCCUUUGUCUGAAAGCAGUGUCAGUUCAUUGACUCUGGUUCCUGUAUUUGUGUUCUUGAUCCAGUGUUCUCCAGACGGCUCCUGACCUUGGUUUAUCUCAUUGUUUAUCCUGACCUCUGGCAUCCUCUGACUUUGGCUUAUUCUCGUUUAUCAUGACCUUUGGCAUCCUCUGAAUUUGGCUUAUCCUCGACUAUGCCCCUGCUUUUGUCCUUGCCGAUACUGCGACUUGGAGCUAUAUCCUGCACAGCCCCCAUGCACAGACUCACAGCCCAGGUGGCUUCUUAUCUGGUCACCUUGGUCUGUGUUUAUUUGCAAGGGUGAGUGUAUAACUGUGCAUGCCGGACUCCACAUCAGGUAAGAUCCUGACAUAAUGAACUGACCAUUAAGUUCGAGAGAUAUACAAGCUGCUCACCUCCCUUGAUCAGCAAAUGACCAACCUGUUUCAGACUGGUUAGGAGGUGCAGAACAGCACACCCAACCCUCGAACCUGCAAAUCCAGAACCCUUUGUAAUAAUGCCUGACAGGUCAUUUAUAAACCACGAUAGACUCUCGGUGCCUCACCUCCAAGAAAGCUACUCCCAAGCCUGCUCCAGGUUCCCGCAGAUCUGUUUCAGUAUGAGCCCACCUUCAGCAGCCGGCCUUGUCACCCUGAAUGUACCCAAGUAAGCUGUUAAACUUCAGUGGACAGGGAGCAACCCAUGGAGAUCGGAUUCAUCUGCACCAGAUUGCCUCCUGAGGAAAGAAACCGUAGGAGAGUCCAUGGCCAGUCCAUGGCCUGUGUUUUUAUCUCUCUACCCAACGUCCACGUAGGGCAAAAGCAACCUUGCAAACCCGUCCUGUCAUCCCAGCAACACAAACUAGAAACUGCCAAGGUUGCUGUCAGAUUCCAUGACACAAAAGGGUACCCAGACUAUGGUAAACAACAUACCCAGUACUCCUGAGAAUUCUCCACCUUCUCUUCCUGAGACAUCUGCACCUCAUCCUGUAAAUACUUCUAUUGACACCAUCACUACUUCCUGCCAGCCCAAAGAGAACCUACUUUUGGAUUGUGCCUUUGCUUCUAAUGGUACUAUAGUUCAUACUAAAGAUUUACUACAGUUCAAGAAGGCAUUGCAAUCCGCAAACUCCGCUCCUGUGGAGGUAUGAGAAGUACUUACCACCUGCAUCAAAGACCUUGACUUCUCUUAAGCUGUACUAGAAUCUCACAUUGAUAAGGGACUCCACUCUGGGGACAUUGACUUUUUUUAUUUGGAUAGUGAAACUGAAAUGGAAAAAUCAACCAAUAAAUUGAUUAUUUCUUUGUGUAUCUGCCCCUGGCCAAAUUAAUGAAACAAUGUGUGCACGCUCCCUGAAGUAAUUCAUACCAGACACAGGUUCCAGGUUGUUGAAUAACUUGAGGAAUGUUUAUUCAGAGGGGACAGCAAGUCCAUUUUAAAGCAAAAUUACAUCAUAGGUACUGUCAGAGAUAACAUGGAAUAAUACAUCAAUAAUUGGUUAGGUGUUAAGUGGUCUUUCUAAUGCUCUGCCUACUGUGGGUGAUGUCAGCGGGACCAUGAGGGUCUCCCACGGUUUCCCGGCGCCAUCUUGCUGCACGAGGUAGUUAGUCGAUGUUAUUGGGGGAGGAGGGGUUAGAAGCUUCUAGCAGCCAUUUUGACUAAAUUAUGCGUGUAUAGCUUAUAUACUGGUUUUUGUGAGAUGACUAAAUAGACAUUUUACUAACUAGGAAAUAUAUGAAGACCUUAUUUCCACAACAGAAACCAAUGUGGAGUACUGCCAUUAUAAAGAACCUGUUCAUGCCCAAAUGGUGUUCUUAAAGGGAGGUCCUGUUAUGGUACUCACCGUGACAUCCAGACGGCUAGACGUGGUCGCCCCAGAGGUGCCCAACAGGGAUUUGAACCUGGGUACUUUAAGGUCCUGGGCCUGCUUUACUNNNNNNNNNNNNNNNNNNNNNNNNNNNNNNNNNNNNNNNNNNNNNNNNNNNNNNNNNNNNNNNNNNNNNNNNNNNNNNNNNNNNNNNNNNNNNNNNNNNNUAUAGCCAUAUUGGAGAAUACUUCUAGAUCAGCUAUUUUGGCCUAUAUUUGGCAAUAUGGUUUUCAGUUAGGUCUGCCUAUAAAAACACACAUACUGCUUAAUGCGUACAUCCAUAAACACACACUGCCUAAUACCUACAUCCAUACACACAUACUGCCUAAGACAUGUAUCUAUACACACAUACUGCCUAAUACCUACAGUGUAAACAUAAUUUAUAUCUGUGAUAAAUGAUGUAUUCAAUGCAUUUGGUGAAUUUAAUUCAUAAUAAGACAAGCAUAGAAGAGCACACACACUAACAGACACACACUCACUGUCAGACACAUAGUCACUGACACAGACAGACAUACACUCACUGACAGUCAAACACUCUCUGGGGUCUAGUGUGGGGCAACUCCUCACUCCUCCAGGUCGCUGUUUAAGUCAUAUUCUGGCUCCCCCACCUUCGGGCACCAGGAGAAUCGGCCCGGCGCUGGGAGGGUGGCCCAAGACAGGGGCAUCCUGGUGGGCACCCCCAGCAGGCUGGCGCCCUAGGCGAAUGCGCCGGCCCUGCAUACAGGCAAAAUGUACUGUGACAGAGUCUAUGGGAGGGUAAUAGAAGGAAGGUAUCUAGGACCCAGAAUCCUCCAUUGCCUGUACUCAUUCACCUUCCCAACUAGCAACUGCUGAGGCUUUAAUUAGCCGGUCUCAGAGCAGAAAGGGGAGAGAUACAAUCUGACCUGCAGAGAGCAGGUCUGUGCAGAGCAGAACCAGAAAAAGUGUUAAAGGUUGGUGAAACCAAUGUUUAUUUUGUUGAUUUGUUUAGAUUAUUACCCUGGUUUAGUAAGGGACAUUACUUUAUGUUUAGUAAGUGCUCGAAUUUGAGCUAGGAUUUUGUUUUGUAGACUUUCCUUUCUGUUUUGCUGCAGUUUUGAACAAACUAAUUGCUGCAUGGAUUUUUGUGCACAAUGUAAAUAAACCACACCCUUUUUUUUGCAUAAGAGACUGUUGUUCUAUACCUGUUACCCUAGAGUUGGCUGGCUGAGGCUGUUGGGAGUCAGAUGUUCUUCCAGUCCACGCAUCUCCUUUUUCCCUCUUUCCCACACAGAUCUGUAGUGAGGGGAGUAAGGUUAACCCUACACAAGUGUUUUGAGCUGCAAAUUAGUAUUUAGUAUACACCUUUGUUGUUUACAUUUUGGAAUAAAUCCUACUGUGUUUUUGUAUAUCACAUAGUACAAUGAUUUAAAUAAUAAAAAAAAAAACUUUGUGAUAUUGUAUUAAUUUAGUCCUACCUAGGUAAUCCCAUCCACCCUAAUUUAUUACUUAUUAUUACAGUAGUGUAAACAACUUGAACUCAUUGCACCAUUUACACAACUUUUUCGAAGAAUGCCUGCUACAAUUUCAGGACACAGAGAAAUUGUAUUUGCUUGCCCUUAUUCCUAAAUCUAGACAGCAAUUAUUGUUCCAUCAUUAGUGUUCACUGAAGUAGAAAACCAAAGUAUUCUUUUCCUGAAAAGAGAGAAGUUGCCAGGUUGCUGCAUUUACAAAUUAUGUAUUAUUAUUAAAAUAAUAUUUAUAACAGAAUUAUUAAAGUAUAUGGUCUCUGGAAGAUGAAUUAAUCUGUACUGGAUAUGCAUAUAAUGCAUCUCAUUCUAUCAUACAAUAUAAAGGAUUAGACAGAUCAUUCUGCUCCCCUUUUUUUUUUUUUUUCAUAAAAAGAGUUAUUGCACACAGGGUGAUGGUAUUCAUUACACUGUUACUGUUAAAUGUAUUUGUAAAAUAAGGUGGAUGCUGCUGGAAUGUGUGCAUUCCUUAACACAUCAAGGAGCCUAAUAAAUCACCUUGCUUAACUUGAUCUGCAGACAUACUAUUGCCUCUUGAAGAGGUGAAAUUACCCCUGACGUAACUUCCUUCUCAAAUAAAGCAAGACACCAAAGCAAUUAUAUUGGACUUGUGCAAGGACCUACAAGAAUGGGGAGAAAGAUCAGAUACAUUAGAAAUGAACAUGGACAUCCUUGCAAUAAAUUCACCAUCUAUCAUAUGCAUUUUAAACUAAAAAGCAUUCAAACUAAACUAAUGGACUUUGAAUACUGCUCAAGGCGGAAUAAUGUAUUGCUAAGAGGCAAUACAGAAACUGUAAUAUCAGAGGGCCUAGCAGAUUAUUUACAUCAUUAUCUCUUCACUCUUCUACCACGUGUUUUAGUGGACUUUUUACUUUUCGAUAGAACACAUCAUCUUGCUAAAUCUAGAUCAGCCCUGAGAAGCUCCCACUACACUAUAACUCGGAUCCAUUUUUUCACCAUUAACCAUUUUUCUCCAAGCUCUUAGGUAGAAUCCUAACCUACCUGAUGAAUUUUAAGAAAUAUGCAUUUUCCCUGUAUUAUCUGCACUCAUGUUAUAGAAAAUAUGUGAGUUACAGCAGUGCCAACAUGGGAUAUAGUACCUAAUUAAUUACAAGGAAUGGUGCCAUAACCAUAAUUUCUUCUGUGGAAGAUGGACUCCAAGCACAUCGGGUCUGAGCUCUAACCAUCAUCCCUUCUUUCAAGCAAUCCAUACCCACUUGACCGCCAAAGUUAAAGAAAGACAUAAUUUCAUCCACUGGCAGAGAAUUUUAUCUUUGGCUGACUUAUGCAAAAAAAUUUGAAAGCAGUCCAGCGCCCCUGGUGUGCACUUCCUGUCAGACCAGGGUAGAGGUUACUAAAGCUCGGUUCAGCCACGCUACAUAGGAGUGACUGGCUGUAGCUGUAGUGUGUGGGUUUUUUUUUUUUUUUUUCAUUCUUUUUUUCUUCAGUGCAUUGUAUGACAGGCAAGCUUGUAUAAACAUUCAACAAGAUGACAUACAACAAUACAGGAAUUCAGCAACAAUAUGAAAUGGCUAGAGAUAACCACUGCUUUUUUAUAAGAAACAAGAAAAGUCAUCAGGAGCACAAUCCUAUUAGAUUAAACAGUAAGAGUAAGAAAUGCUGUACAGUAGAACUAUAGAUAUAAGCAAGAGAUGAAUACCACUGGGUAAGUAGAUCUAACUGUUGCAGAUGGUUAAUUAGUGCACAGAAGUUGCAGAAGUAAAAAAAUCUGAUUCUGAGACGCUCCAGCCAUGUGUGACCUACUCGCCCCAUGACUUAUGCAUGUAUGGACGUAGCGGGGAAUUUUGAUGCAAAUAAGAUAACAUAGCCUACCCCAAAUAUCCCCCCCAAUAACAACAGACAACGAAUUUGGAUGAAACAGGCCACAGGAUUUAUUAAACAUUAGACUGUAGGACUCAUCCAACCUUUUAUAAACUUUAUCACUUAAUUAUAACCAGAGAUAAUACCUAAAUAAUCCAUAACUUAACAUAUAAAUUAACACCUAGGCCCUACAGACUUUACAUAAACGUCCUUGUCAAUGAACGAGACCACAUGCCUAUGCACCAACUUGCCCACUGGGUUCUCGCCUUCCCCCUAGUCCAAACCAAAUUCCCCUUUUCCUUUUAAUGUUUACCACCAGCCGGCUUUUAGCUCGGUGGGCACGUCCAAGUCAGUAACUGAAAAAUUUACCCUACAGAGCAGGGGAGGUUGAGACCCACCUUGUCCAUCUUCUGACAUUCCAUGUGAUGGCCCCCCAACACCUAUUGGCAAGGACACGCCCCCGCAAGCUGUGACAGACAAUAACAAAACAGAAAAAACAGAAAAGAGGGUGGGUGGGAAGGAAGUUGUUUGUUGGCCCGUCUCACAAGAGGCACUGAGGUAAGAUGGUCCUUACCCCAUUCCCAAACCCCUAACCACUCCCAUACACCCAUAAAACCAAUCACAAGCAUCCAUCCCCACACUCAUACAUGGACCCUUGUCUGCUUAGCUGUGCUAUCUCCCCAAGGCCUAAAUUAGCAUAAGAAUGCCUUGUUAAGAUCUAAAAUAUAAAUUGAUCAAGCUACUAACUACUUCAUAUACCAUUGGUGUUUCCACUGAUGUUCAGAUAUAUUAUUUCCUGAUAUAUUACACUGUGGUUUGCACGUUAAAUUUAUGGCUGUUAGGUCAUUUCUCUAUUACUUGCCACCUUCCCCCAAAUUACAUAUUAACUGGGUAAUUCUCCUUCUUUCUUUAAUAUGGCGAGUUCGAGUCCCUUUCUUUGGUCUUGGCUGCAUUUCAACCCUGCAUUAGGAUACUACGCAUGCCAUUAUUAUGAUUUUCUGCCACCAAGGUAUAGCCAAGAUGGAUAUAUAUUCUGUAAAUACCUUUUUGUUACUUUAUGCUUGUGUCCUGCCACACACACUCUCUAGGGUCAUUACUAUCCAUACAAGGCUAAACAUUUAACACCUUACUGCAUGUAUUUAAGUUGUUUGAUAACUGGAGAGUCAUAAAUAUAAUCCAAUGGGACGACACUUUCUUUACAUGUGCUUCUGUAUUGAUAGCUAUCUAAUUGACAAUUCUUCUCUCCAACAAGGACUCUCCUCUUGAAUAGCUAUUUUUGAAUUGUCUGUUCAUGCUCCUGUCCUAAAAGAACUGAUGGAGAGGUUAUUUGCUGCUGGUUUGGGUAUUUGGAGUUUGAAUAUAUCUCUACUUUAUUCAUCUCUAAACAGACCAUACAUAGCAGAUUACCUAUUUAAUUACUUUGAACUUAACAGAAACUCCUAAAACAUUUUCCUAAAUUACCCCACCAAAACAAGAAAUUAGGAGGUGGUGUCAUUUCAAACACAACUGAAAGUCUAUGGCAUCAAUCCAAUAUUUUUCGCCAAUGAUUCAGUACUGUUAGAAAAAUGUCCACAUGAUUUAGCUACAAAAAUUCCAUAGACAUUGCAAUAGUCUUGGGAAAAAAGAAAAAAAGGUUGAUAGGAAAAAAAAAAUUAGUUACACAAACCAUGUGAAAAAUGAGCAAUAGAGGGGGGAAAAGAAGCAGCAAUAAAAAAAAUAAUCUUUUAUAAAUGUAUACAGUAUAUAUUUAAUGAUUAUAUAUAUUUUUUUUAAACUCCUCCUGUUUUUCCCAAUUAUGGACUACUAAAAUAUUUAUAUAUUGUAUGUAUUUUGCAGUACAUUGAUUGGUCCAUUCUUGCGCCCUUAUGGUUUGUUUGAUUUGUUUUCAGAAUCAGUUUUUUUGUUAUAGUAUUUGUCUGUCGAACCAAACCAACAUAUUGCUGAAACUCAUCCAUCCUGAUUUUUUUUUUUUUUUUUUUUUUUAGAUUUUUGUGAAAAAUGGCUUGUCCAAAACCUAAUUUUCUUGCUGUGCACAAGUCUUAAAUAUUUUGCUACAAAGUUGAUUUAAUUUUUUUAAUUUGCAUAGCAAAGACUAAAAAAAAAUAAGUCCUACGGGGUGUGGUUUAGUAGCUCACCAAGAUGGCCGCGUGAGUGGUGUGCUCCCCAUGAGGGAUUAACCUACAGCGACAAACACAUCAAUUACAAGCCCACAAACGACAAGUAAUGGGGUCCCACAGUACCCUCACACAUCAUGGCACAAAAAAAGCAGAAAUCUACUCUGCAAAUCGCGGCUCUGUCCUCGUCACGCUCCCAAGAUGGUGCCCAUGGCAUUUCAUUGCCUAACCAAGCUCCAGCAACAGACUCCUCGGUUCAAAAGAUGCUACAUGAUCUGCAAACCUCCAUGCAGGCUGAAUUUGCCAAACUGGCCAGAGAUGUGAGGUCAGAUAUCCAAGCCAUCGCAGAGAGAACCAACCAAAUAAUUGAAGCUCAUAAUACACUGGCAAACUCAUAUUUAGAGCUACUCGCCAGAAUGGGUAAGCUGGAAAACCAAGUGGCUGACCACAAAGAUCGGGACAGGUGAAGCAACAUCUGCCUGAGGGGCAUUCCAGAAGAAAUCCUUCCUCAAGAUCUGGCCACAUAUACUAUGGAGCUUUUUCAAAUGCUAUCCCCAGAGCUCUCACAUAGAGACCUUCUCCUAGACAGCAUCCACAGGCUACCUAGACCACAAAACCUGCUGCAAUCACUGCCUAGGGAUGUGAUAACCAAGGUACAUUACUUCAUGGCAAAAGAAAAUAUCAUGCAGGCCUCACGCCGCUACCCAGACAUGACAGGCAAAUAUGCAGCAGUGAAGUUAUUCACCAACCUGUUGGCCUGAAAUGGAAAAGCUUUGCUCUGAUCACGCCUUGUGAGCAAAAAAUCUAAAAUAUAAAUGGGGUUCCCAGCAUGCAUUAUUGUCAACCACAACGGCAUGACGAGACAGAGAACAACGUUGGAGGAAGGCAGCAGAACACUCAAGGAAUGGAAGACACAGGUGGCUAUGCCGAGAAGCCAAGCAACGUAAUAAAAGCAGCAGCACUCACCAUCAAAAAUCACCACAGACUGGCACACGGCAGCAGCAGUGAAAUGACUGUGUCCCAACACUUUAUCGGAAGAAAUUUCACACUCUGCCUUCCACAUCUUUAUAACAGAUAAGAGGCAUUGAUUUGAUAUUUUCAUUUUAUUAAGUUUUACUGCAUACAGGGUUGAUGUUUACUAAAAAAUGCAGUACAUUGAAAAUCACGGGCCCUGUACCCCCUUCCAAACUGAUAAGCCUAACAAUACAGAAAGCACCUUCUAGGGCCUAGCAAACUGCUCCCAAUCGUGGGGCAUGAAAUCUCUUAACGGCAGUUCCACCCUCCGUAGGCUCUAAGAGCCAUGUUUUUUUAACCUGUCUGUGCAUCCUUGCACUCCCUUAGACGGACCAUUCUAUAUAGUUCUUAGUUUUCUUUUAUAUUGCUUACCAUUUCUCCACUGUUUCACUAAGUCAACCCUUGGUCUGAACUGCUACAGCAAUGCUCCUACAGUAUGGCACAGGCUGGAGCUUGACAAAGGUAUCAGAGCACUGUUUAAUCUGUACUGAAGCUCAAAAAGCAUAAAAUCAUCCAACACACAGAAAGGUUUAUAAAUGUAUGGCAGGGAGGUAUGGUUUAUAAUGAUGUGGGUUAUGGGACUGAAUAAGAAGCUGGGGUCAAUGUUGACGAGGGGGCAAGCUGCGCCACAGGCUCCCAACACCCCCACAACAAUGACUCCCUCCCCGAGAUCCUGUGGGAUACUACUGUUCACGAAUUGCAAGUUCAUGGUCCUACCAGACCCGAUAAAGAACUGGAUAAAAUACUACAAAAAACCCCCCACAAAAAUCACCAAAAAAACACACAAAAUAAUACCAAAAAACAAGUUCAACAGAAAAGGUUAGUCCCCACGUUUGGGGGCACCAUAGAUCACCCAUCACUUCAGCGCCCAUUUGAAGGGCGAGAAUUGCAUCCUUUCCACCCAUAAAAAUGACGUUAAAUAUUGUAGCUAUCAAUGUAAAGGGGCUAAACUCCCCCAACAAGUGUAGGUUAGCUUUAACAGAAGCAAAAAAGCUUAAUGCCCAGGUGUUUUAUUGCCAGGAAACACAUUUUAAAUGGGGCAACAGGCCAAAAGUUAACUCCAAACAUUUCCCCCAUGACUUCCACUGCUGCUUUAGGACUAAAAAAGGGGGGUGUGGGUGCUAAUAAGUGGAGCUGUUUCUUUCUCACUGGUUAAGAAAAUUGGAAACAAAGAGGGUAGAUAUUAAAUAGAAAAGAGUAACUGUGUCCAAAUCUCACAAAAAGUGAAGAAUCGGAUGUAUGGUGGUUCCAGAUCCACUGAAUGACGGGCUUAAACACAAAAUCUAANNNNNNNNNNNNNNNNNNNNNNNNNNNNNNNNNNNNNNNNNNNNNNNNNNNNNNNNNNNNNNNNNNNNNNNNNNNNNNNNNNNNNNNNNNNNNNNNNNNNCAGCAUACUCUAAAUAUAAACAUAACCAAAAUUCAGACAAAUCCGUCCAGUACUUAAAAAGGAAGUCCUUUAUGACCGACGGCAAGCACAUUUUCGUGCCCAAAACAGUUCCAUAGAUUUGGGCUGUGCGGUCAGUCUAUUUUACACAGAAAAAUGAGUAAGUCCCAUUAGAAUGCAGGAACGGGACCGUUCGUGNNNNNNNNNNNNNNNNNNNNNNNNNNNNNNNNNNNNNNNNNNNNNNNNNNNNNNNNNNNNNNNNNNNNNNNNNNNNNNNNNNNNNNNNNNNNNNNNNNNNCAUUUUGCUCAGUAUAUCAGUACAUUCAAACUGCCUAACGGGACUUAGUCUCUGUAGCUGAAAACAGAGUGUAGGAGAAGGUAAGGGUCAGCGGUGUUCGUUGAAAUGUGUAGCCGAUUUCAGUUCAAUGAAUUUGGCUACACAUACCGCUGACCUCGUUCGAAUGAACAAAGAUGGCCGCCGCCACGUGUUGGUUUGCAUGAACUGCGGCCACCCAGCGGUCGGCAAUUUACCUACAGCAGGCUCCCAGCCUGGGAGGUAAAUUGCGUGCACGCUUCCACUUCUGGGUGGUCCGCCUGUGUGGUACUUAGUUCAGUAAGCCCAAUUUACUGAACCAAGUGUAAAGAAGCCAUGAAUAAAGUACUUUAACCAAGCCUGUGGACACUGGGUACACCGUCCUAAAGAGGGCAGUGUCGCAAACAUGUCUGGGGACACCGUCUUAAAGGGGUAGUGUCCCAAUUUUCCCCAUGUCCCUAAAAUGUGCUUAAAGGGCCAUACACAGUCCAAUACAAGUCCAUAGGCCCAAAUAGCAUUCUUAAAGGGCCAUACACCCCAGGGUCAUAGUCACAGGGGAGGAGGCUGGCAAGCAAGCCUCUCCAGGACCAAGUGGCUUGCUUGCCAGCCUCACCAGAAUUGGCAGAUUCCUCCUCCCAUUCCCUCUCAUGGCUAAAGUAAUGAACACAACAAUUGGCACAAUAUAAUGGUCCGAACAUGACCUGAUAACUUUCUCUAAAAGAACAAUUCUCCACCCAAGGCUCCUGACCUUGAAGAAUCAACAAUACACUUUUACACAAUGAGGCCACUGUUGAUUCGAUUAGGAAAGAUAUUCAAGACUACUUUACCCUUAAUAACUGCACAGAUACAAACAUAAGAAACAUGUGGAAAGCCCACAAAGCAGUACUUAGGGGCAGCUUCAUAAAAGCAACCAGCUAUGCCAAAAAACAGAGGACUAAAUUGUACACAGAGACAUUCUAAGAACUCUCAGACAUGACACACAAAAAAAAAUUCGACCCAUUACCAGAGACACUGACCAAACUGAUAUUACUUCAAACUAAAUUAAGGGAAAUAGAUUUAACCAAAACCACUUAUAUCCUCAGGAAAUGCAAACACAAAUUCUUUGCAUAUGCAAUAGAGCUGGGGCACAACUAACUUCCUAACUAAAAGCAUGUAUGACCAAGUCCAAAAUAGCAAACAUUGACUCCCCCACCAAGGGCAAACGCCUCAACCCACAGGAUAUUGUCAAUGAAUUUGCCACAUAUUAAAGCAACCUAUACACUCACCCCACACCCAAGCACAGAGGCCAUACAGGAAUUUUUUAACUCCGUAGAUCUCCCACAAUUGUAACAAGACAAACUGUGCCACAUUUCCACACCCUUCACACCCCCGCUGAAAUAAGAAACAAGAGGCUAUUAAAAACCUCCCAGCACAUAAAGCUCUGGGCAGCCAGUGGCGUACUAAGGGGGUGGGGGGUGCAGUCUGCCCUGGGUGCCACUCACUAGGGGGGUGCCCGGGGCAGACUGUGUUGGGUCCUGGGUCACUGACCGAGGACCCGAUACCAGGAGGAGGCCCAGCGGCUUGCUUGAUAUGCCACCGGGUGAGAUGCCCCUCCUGCGCCUAUCACACCAUCACCACCCUCUCCCUCUUACAUCACUCCCGCUACCUCUCACCAUCAACUCCCCCUAACAUCACCCCCCUCUCAUCAUCACCCCCCCUUCCUCUCACCAUCACCCCAAAUCUUUAAUGGACAAUAGUAGGUAGGUCUGUUGUUCACCACAAUCUACUGAUCAUCAAGAGGGCAGCUAUGAGUAUGUGAUAGAUUAGAUAUUUGCGGUCUUUCGAGAGACCCUUUGGGAAGAGAUCCGUUUCUGGCAGUCUAAGUAGGUGUAUGCCUGAGCAUUUGCUGAUGAGCUGCUUAAUGUCGGACCAGAAUUUAAUUAUUUGUGUACACGACCACCAAAUACGUGUCAUCGUGCCUGGUUCUCAUAAGCAUUGACUUUCUGGGAGUGUGAGGCCCAAUUCCUGUUCCCAUGCUUUAACAAAGGUGAACUGCUUCAGGUUUGGUUUGGCAUAUUUUUUGGCAUAUAUGAUAGAGAUCAACCUAGUGGUUGGUUGCAAUCUUAGGCAUAUCUUUUGGACAUCCGUCAGCUGUAAACCAUUUAUAGUAUUGUAGGAGAUCACAUUUUGUUUCUUUGACCAAGAUAGCAUUUGCGUAUAUGAAAAUUUUGCCGAAUUGGGUAACCCAUAUUGUUUCUGGACAUCAUUAAAGCAUUUCAUGUUAGACCCUUGGUAAAUGGGAUAGAGGUGUGUGACACUGUGUCUUUGUCACAUUUACAGUUAAAAUCCAAGAUAAGGGAGGUCAAGGCCUUCAAUGGUAGGGCUGGGGAGGUCAGUUAAGACGUGCCUGUCUUUGAAUUUAUCCCAUAAAUUGAGUGUGAGUUUGGUGGUGGGGAAUAUAUCCUUGUAUUUUGGUCUCAGUUUCCUAGACAUCCAUGCAAGCGCAGUGAUAGUGAAGUAAUUGGUAUAGACUGAUUCAAUAUAAACCCAUUGGGGGGGCCUAGAGUGAACACUUGCCGAUAGGAUUGGGCUAAUAAGUGCUGCCUUGUAAUACCCUGCUACGUCUGGUAACCCCUGUAAUGGAGCUCCCUGUACCCCUGGCUGGGUACCUUCACCAAGGACUGCUUCCUAGCUGGAACAAGGGGCAAACGGCAGCACUUCUGCCCACAGUCGCCGUGGCUUGACUGGAGCCCUGGAACGGAAUGGGGAAUUAGCUCUAGUCCUUACAAGGGCUUUCCCCAUUGAAUCCCUUGCAAGCUGGAACAGCAGACACAUGAGUAAAUCUUCUUUCCCUCCAAUAACAGGACAACACACAGCUUUGGAGUGUAAGUUGGAAUAUAAUUUUAAUGGAGGCACAAUGGACUUUUAUGCAAGUUUCCCAACAAGGUUGACACCCAGGUGGACCUUGUUGGGCACAGGGACACAAAGUGAAUAAACCAAUAAAAACAAAAUCAUACAGUGAGACACUCCCAUACACAAACAAUAGAAUCCCUCCUCUGUGCUUGGGAGACAAUUGAAUCAGGAACUGUACUAAUCUAACCCAAUUAUUUCCAUGCACAGAAAAACAUACAAUUUUAUAAAACCCCCAAAAAGUACAUUAACAACACAUAAAACCCCAUAAAAGUUACAAAUCCAAAAAUCACCUAGAUCAGUUCAGGGGUUCUGGAAUUUCCUGGAAGUCAUAUUUUUGACUGACUGUGCACAUGGCCCUAUGGCCAAAACAAUUCCAGUGCUAAGAAUCGGUCAAGUUUGGUCUUUUACAGGUUUCCCUGCAGGGCCCAUAGUCUGUGGGCAGGAGGCUGACAAGCAGGCUCCUCCAGGAGAGGGGAGUUUAUCACAUAUCUUCCCCCUUCCCGGGAGACUAUCCAGACCCCAGACCUUUUGGCUCUGGUGGCCUUUCCCAAAAGGCGUAGUUGUCCAGACGGCCUACUGCCACAAGUGCCCAUUUGUACAUCUGGUGUCCUGUGUGGAAACAACCUGGAUGCACUUCCCCCUGGUUGGACCAAGUACUCACUGGGGAUCAAGGUUGCAGUUUCCCUCAUCCGUGCCUGGUGGGCAGAGGCCAGUCGCGCUCUGUCCCGUAGCCAGCGGUUCAGCUGGUUUGGUUGGUGGGUCAUAAGGUCCCAGAACAAAGGGGUAAGUAGGGAAAAGGCCAGCUGCGCUCUGCCCAGAUGCCAACUCUUCUGCUGGAAGGAAGUCAGUAGAGGCAGUAGUUCCCUCUCCUGCACCUGGACCAUGGCUAGGAAUGGGCAGCUGUGGAUCUGGGUAGGCUGCCCAGCAUCCCUGUAGGGCUGGUGCAGAGACCUCUGUCCCAUCUGCACCAUUCAAGCUAGAGGGCCUGUCUCUGGGCGACAGCCCCAGCCACUGGGGAGUGGGACUGACCGUCUCCACUCGCUAUAACACACACUGCUGCUGGGGAGAGAGACCGACCGUCUCCUCUCACAAUAAUACACUCUGCUACUGGGGAGGAAGGGCAACACCAUUCUCUCCCUGGAAUACACACUGUCGCUGGGAGUGAGACCAGUUGUCUCCACUUUCUGUAACACCCUUGGCUGCUGGAGAUGGAGGACGAUACUCUCCUCUCCCUGAGUUGCACACUGCCACUGGGGAGUGAGACCAACUGUCUCCACUCCCUGCAACUCCCUCUGCUGCUGGGGAUGGAGGAUGAUACUUUUCUCUCCCUGUAACUUUGUCUGCCGCUGGGGAGAAAGACCAACCGUCAACCUCUCCCAAUGAUACACUCUGCCGCUGGGGAGUGCGACCGACAUUCUCCACUCUGAAUAACACAUUCUGCCGCUGGGGAGGAAGGGCGAUACACUCUACUCCGUGUUGGAUACACUGCCGCUCAGGAGGAAGGACGGAACACUUCUCUCCCUGGGACGCACACUGCUGCUGGGGAACAAGACCAGGGGUCUCUGUUCCCUGUACCUCACACUGCCGCUGGGGAGUGAGACCGACCGUCUCCACUCCCAAUAACUCUGUCUGCCACUGGAGUGAGACAAACUGUCCCCACUCCUAACAUCUCCAUCUGGGCUUGGAUAUCUGGGCCAGCUGCCCAGCAUCCCUGUAGGGCUGGUGGAGAGACCUCGGCGCCAUGUCCACCUGCCAACUGGGGGUCUUCCCAGGUCGAUAAGGUCUUCUAUCUCUGGGGCUGGUUGGGUAGUAGGUGGUACGGUGCCCUGGUCUCCUGAUGACAGGCUUAAUUGCUGGGAGGAAUUACCCAUUGGAAUAGGCAAACAUAAACCUGUUCUAGUUCCCACUCCCGGUUGGCAAGAAAAGAUAGGCAUGGCUGAAUGGCAGCGAUCUCAGUAAGGUCCCAGUUGUCUGCCCGCUCAGCUUGGAUGGACCAGAAGCGAGCAAUGUCGAUUUCUCCGAACCAGCCAGAGACUGUCUCCCCUUAAUACACUUGUACCCCAUCAGCCACGGGUGGAGGUGGUAAGCAUGCCACCGCAGGGCCCGGUAGGAAACAUCCAGCCACACCUCGGUCUCAACUAGCAUCUCCAGUUUGCUUACCCAUUCCUCUGAGGGCUGGAUUCCCAGGAAUGGCAUCCGUAGCUUUAGCUGUUCCGCUUGGCGCUGGUUGGUGGUCAGGAUUUCCUCACUUCGGAAGGGUUGAAUUUCAUCAAGGUCCUCCUUCCAGAGAUCUGUUCUAAGUGCCAGCCUCCACUCUGUCUCUCUAUCCUCUGGGAUAGGGUACUCCAUAUUGUGCAGCCCAUCCUGUAGUCGCUGCUGGAGUCUGGCGUCAAAGCCGUAUACUGCCCGGCAGUACGUGCCUUCCAUACUGCAGUAGUGCUGGUUUUCCCAGGACUAGGAAGCCAUCUUACCACUUGCCACCAAAUGUGAUGGACCACCUGGCAGCCCCACCAGGUGCCUCUGUCAUUCGAUGCUCAAAAGAGACUUCUAUGAAUUUCCUGAAUCCUGCUCUGAUCUGGGUGAUUUUUGGAUAUGUUGUUCACCCAGAUCAGGGCUAUCCAGAAAUGUAUAAUUUAUGGGGAUAUGUUGGAGUUUUGGGGUGUUUCUGUACUUUGGAUAAAAUGUGUGUUUUUCUGCCUGUGGAUAAUUAAGUUAUUGUAUACCUUAAUUGUAUCACAGGCAGAGGGAAGGGAUUUUGACUGUAUGUUGGAGUGUUACAGUGUUAAUUAUUGUUCCCAUUAUUAUUAUUAUUAUUAUUAUGGUAUUUAUAUAGCUCUUUACAAAGGGUGGACGAACAGACAUGUAGUUGUAACCAGACAAGUUGGACACACAGGAACAGAGGAAUUGAGGGCCCUGCUCAAUGAGCUUACAUGCUAGAGGGAGUGGGGUAAAAUGACACAAAAAGGUAAGGAUAGUAUUAGACUAGUGACAGUUGCAGAAGAGGAAUCAGUCAGGAGCUAUUAACAGUUUAAUUGAAAUGCUUUUAUGAAGAAGUGUGCACUUCCUGUUAGUCCGGCCGGGUACAGGAGACAGAUUCUCCCUGUACCCGCGGACCAAUAGAGGGCUCGGCCACGCUGCAGUGAGGGAGUGACAGGAGGGAGCGCUGAGCGCUUCCCUCCUGUAAGCCCCUCCCCUCAUGCUGCGCCCAGGCGGUGCACCCUCAUGGACGCACCAGCCCGGGCAAAGCUGCAGCCGCCUGAGGCUCUCUACAGAGCGCUCAGGCGGCUGCAGCAUGAGGGGGGCCGGCGCUCCUGGCGGCACCCCUUCCCAAGACCGCCUUACAGGUAGCACCGGCCCGGCCCCUCGUGCCUCCUCGAGGAGGAUGCAGCGCUUAUACGGGUGGUUUAACCCCCUUGUGUUAUGUGAUUGUAUUUUCCCGGGCAUGACAUACCUCUCGCCAGGCACCUGGGAGUCCAGAGCACAUCUCACCGAAUCACCAAGAACUUCUUUUGGCCGGGACUCUCGGGGGAUGUACGACAAUACUGCAGGACCUGCGAUGUGUGUCGAGUAGGGAAAAGAGGAGACCACCCCAAAGCCCAUCUCUCAUCUAUGCCCAUUAUUGAUGAACUCUUUAGUCGAGUAGCCGUAGACCUUGUAGGUCCACUACCGAAAGCCAGCCCAUCCGGUAAAAAGUAUAUCCUUACCGUGGUGGACUAUGCCACUCGCUAUCCUUUNNNNNNNNNNNNNNNNNNNNNNNNNNNNNNNNNNNNNNNNNNNNNNNNNNNNNNNNNNNNNNNNNNNNNNNNNNNNNNNNNNNNNNNNNNNNNNNNNNNNAAAAGUUCUGCUUUCCUUGCUGUAGCGGGGUAGGGGAUUUGUCAUCUCCUUAAUUCGGUAGUUAUACGAGGGAUCGUCCAGGAUCUGAUCGAUGCCGGACUAUUUACCUCUCCUCCUUGUGUAGGNNNNNNNNNNNNNNNNNNNNNNNNNNNNNNNNNNNNNNNNNNNNNNNNNNNNNNNNNNNNNNNNNNNNNNNNNNNNNNNNNNNNNNNNNNNNNNNNNNNNAGUGAUAGCUCUAGCCGGAGUGCUAGGCAGGGAGAAAUCCUCUACCCCUUCCUGAGACAUACUAUAACCAAAACAAUUAAUUCGUGUAUGAAAACCACACAAAAUCGUACUGGCAGGCUAGCUAAGCCAGAUGGGGAAACAUUACACUUUUUUGGUGACAGGUGAGGCCCUACUAGUUGCCAAGUGGCUUGAGAGGCUCUAUCUAUGCGUUGGCGCGAGGGGAUUUGAGGCCACCCGUCGUAGUGGCAGGAAUUUUAGGCCUCUCGGUGACUGUAACAUAGAAAACAGGGAGAGGGAGUGACAGGUGAGGCCCUCUCUAUGCAACAUGCGAGGCGGCUAGCUAACGUGUGGCCCGAUGGGUUAUUGCCUCUGAAACGUUGAGGCGGGGUGUUGGCCUCGCGGGACCACUAACUGAUGGCAAUGCCAAGAGGGGUAAAUACCUAUUGGGAAGCCUAUGACCCUAUUGCCAGUACUCUAACCUAGGGGGGAGAAAUGAAAUGUAUGGCAGAAUACCAUAUGAGCAGGUGUACGUACCUGGUAGUAUGAAUAUCUCACAGGAAACCGUGUGGUGAAAUAUCUAUUUAAACUUGGACAGCCUGAAAAUGGGUAAAAGAGAGUAGUAUAGUGAGUGUGGAAAUGAAGUAGACUGUGUAGCCCGUACCAGUGAUGUUUUUUAAGGCUUGAUUUGGCGUGUUACUUGGUAAAAAAGUGUAGUGAUAUACCAUGAGAGUAUAAAUGUGUUACUAAGGCAUAGUGAUGCCGUGUCUUAAGCACAUUUCUGUGUAAAACAGUGGGGAAUAUAUGAUGGUGUAAAAUAGAAAAGAACAUGGAUGAGGGAGGCCGUGCCUAUAUUUAACCAGCGUUAUAUAUGAUAUGUAAUGGAAUAACAAAAGGCCAGUGAUACACAAAAUGACUUAAAGUGAUGUAAAGUUAUAUAUAUGUAUAUGAUAUAUCUGUAUUGAAAAAGACGUAUGAUGGGUUGGAUCAGUACGUGAUUCAACCCGAGAAUUUAUUGCUUGUAAAAGGAAACUGUAUCCUUAUAUAUGUGUUGUAGUUAUAACAAAGAAAUGAGGCCUGUAAUGUAGGCUGAGUCCAUUUGAAUGAAUGGAUAAGUAUGGCAGACCCCUGAAAGCGUGGGAGUCAAAAUGAUCCAUACAGAUAAGUGAGCUUGGUAUUUGUAUGGACAUAAUACAAUACUGAUACCUUUAAACAGUAAUAGAAAUAAUCUGUCUAUUUAAACCAGCAAUUCGUUAACCGAAUGUUAUAUACAUGAAAUGGUGAAUGUAAUCCACGAAAGGAUUAUGCGUAAUACAUAGAAAUAAAACCGAAACCCAAUGUGAGGGAAAACAGAAGUUGGAAUGAAUAGUUUAAACGUAUGAAUUUUAUGCGAACCGCAAGCGUGUUUGAGCGUAUCAUGAAAAAAGUGCCGAAUGGCAAAACAACCGAAAUGAUAAUCUGUUCCAAUGACAUAGACUAGUUAUAUGCGAAAUGACUAUUUAUACGAAUAUCCCGAUUAGCCGAAUGACCGUACGAAUGAAAACCGCGAACGGUUUGUACAAUUUUGUGACAUAUCAGGGAAAAACGUAAAGCGAGUACCCGUGCUGUACCGUACGCCGUGGGAACCGAUCCUGGCGUGACAGGUAGGUCUGACUUACGGUUUAGGAGUCCCUGGGACGCGAUCUACGACAAAGACCGGGGUCAGAAGAAGCUGGACGGACGGAAAAGGCCUGAACAGGAUUCCUAGACACAGUUUGCCGCAGUAAAACCUUGUGGAUACUGAAACCAAGAUGGCGUCUGAGAGAACCCGGAAUCCUCAUUCAACACUGACCUCGAACGGUAAGGAGCAAGGUAAGGGGUGUGCCUUAAGUAGGCUAGGAGUGGAUACCAAGCACCUCCCACAAAUCCAGGCAAAUUGCCUUAAUACAUACACACAGAAAAUAGGAAUUGGAACCAAACCACAUUUUGGUGAAUCUUCAGGCAGGCUAGUAUGUUCAGUAGCCUUGUCUAUAAGGAAAAAUUGUGAACUGGUGCUUUGUAUUUAUCCCCUAAUUCCUAAUGUACACCUUUGUAUUGCUUGGUGCAGGCUAUUAUGUCAAGCUUUGGCUUCUACAAUUCAGGAAUGAACUAGGAUCAGUGUAGGCAAAUUUAAACAUGAACAAGUCAUUCUUCAGGAACCCAACCAGGUAGGAACUGCAUUAUGGGGAAAAGGGGAGUGGGGACUUCGGGGCUAGGAGGGGUGUAAAUUGGAUAUUUGCGAGAUGUUGUUUUUUUGUUUUGUUUUGAAUGUUUGUUAAUGUCUCAGAAAUGAUUGAUUUUAAAAUAGAUAUACUAAUUUUUGACUUGGACAAUAAUAGCAUUGAGACUGUCAUAGUGAUUUGGAUGUCAAAUAUUGUAUUCUUGAUGAUAUGUAAUGGUCUGUUUUUGUAUAUCCAAAAAGCAAAAAUAUUAUAAAAAAAAAAAAAAAAAGAGUAUGUGUGUUUGAGGAGGAGUGUGUGUGUUUGGGACGCAGUGUGUGUGGGGUGCAGUUAGAGUGUGUGUGUUUGGGGUGCAGUGUGCGUGUGAGGGGUGCGGUGUGUGUGUGUGUGUGUGUGUAAAGAUGCAGUGUGUGUGUUUUGGGAGGAGUGUGUGUGUUUGGGGUAGAGUGUGUGUGUGUUUGGGAUGCAGUGUGUGUAUGUGUGAGGGGUGCAGUUAGAGUGUGUGUGUUUGGGGUGUGUUUUGUGUACAUGUGAAGAUGCAGUGUGAAGAUGCAGUCUGUGUGUGUUUGGGGUGCAGUGUGUGUGUGAAGGGUGCAGUUAGAGUGUGUGUUUUGGGUCAGUGAGUCUGUGAGGGGUGCAGUUAGAGUGUGUGUGUUUGGGGAGCAGUGUGUGUGUGUUUGGGGUGCAGUGUGCAUGUGAGGGGUGCAGUUAGAGUGUGUGUUUGGUGUGCAAUGUGUGUGUGUGUGAGGGGUGCAGUGUUUGUGUGUUAGGGGUGCAGUAAGAGUGUGUGUGUGUGGGGUACAGUUAGAAUCUGUGUGCAUUUGUGAGGGGUGCAGUUAAAUUGUGUGUGUGUGUGGGGGUGUAAUUAGAGUGUGUGUGUGGGGGAGGGAUGCAGUUACUCAGUGUGUGUGGCAGGUGCAGUGUGUGUUUGGGGUGCAGUGGGGGAAGAUAAAAGUAAUAUAUAUAUAUAUAUAUAUAUAUAUAUAUAUAUAUAAUAAAUAUAUAGCUUAUAUCCCCCUCCCUUACCUUUGCCUGGGAGGGGGGACUUUGCUACCAGUCCUGGUAGUCCUGAGGAAAAUUCAUGGUGGCCAUAGUGGGGAGUGCGCUCACAGCUCCAAGAGUUCACUAUCGCAAGAUCGGAGCGUGGCCAUGACAACGAUCCGACCUUGCGAGAGGAACCCGGCAGAGGUGUGAGCUAAUAGCUCCAGGUCCUCCGCGCUCUCCCUUCCUCCAUUGUAAAGUAUCUGUGAACUGGUGAGGGAGAUUUUUGAUCUCCCCACCGGCCCAUGAAGGCACACAGCAGGGCCGGCACUCCGAUAGCGCGGGCUCUGUAUGGGCCGGAAGAGGAAAUCUCUUGAUCUCCCUUGUCGGCCCAUGGCCAUCGCGGCCCACGGGCAUUUGCCCGGUGUUCCCGAUGUCCAGGCCUGGUCCCUUGGUAAGGGAAGGUGUGCUGUACAAUGGGUAGGAAAUACAUUUAUUUUCAGAGAAGUAUGGGCAUGUAAAUAUGAGAAAAGGGCAUAAAUUACACGGCGUGUAGAUGUACAUGAGAGGAGAAGGAACAAUGUGUAUGUAAAUGGGAGAGGAUGCUGAAAGAGGUUAAGCAUUAGUUAGUACAUUAAGUACUGGUUUGUGUAUGCUAGUAGAUCACAUGUAAUAUGCAGUGUAUAUGGGCUUAUUUAACAACUCCACUUUAAUGUUUAUAAGUAUGUGUUGCAAGAAAAAGUAUGUGAACCCUUUGGAAUGAUAUGGAUUUCUGCACAAAUUGGUCAUAAAAUGUGAUCUGAUCAUCUUCUAAGUCACAACAAUAGACAAUCACAGUCUGCUUAACACCUUAAGGACCAAACUUCUGGAAUAAAAGGGAAUCAUGACAUGUCACACAUGUCAUGUGUCUUUAAGGGGUUAAACUAAUAACACACAAAGAAUGAAAUGUUGCCAUAUUUUUAUUGAACACACACUGUAAACAUUCACAGUGCAGGUGGAAAAAGUACGUGAACCCUUGGAUUUAAUAACUGGUUGAACCUCCUUUGGCAGCAAUAACUUCAACCAAACGUUUCCUGUAAUUGCAGAUCAGACGUGCACAACGGUCAGGAGUCAUUCUUGACCAUUCCUCUGCAGCAGACACCACAACCACCGCAGACUCCACAACCGCCGUAUCUUGACUGGAGUCUCGCCGUCUUCCUUCCACCCUGGAUCAGCUUCUGUCCUCCAGGACUGUGUGGGAAAGAACUCUUCCUUCCACCUUGUAUGAACCUCCAGCAUCCAGGACUGUGUGGUGAAGACCCCUCCUCCAAGGAGAGCAUGUCAGGAACAAGCUCUUAAAAAAGCUAAGUGACUCAAGCUCAGGGAAGCAUGCAGAGCAUAGCAAUCCCCAGUGUGAUUAUAACAGCUCCCUCCAAUAACGAGACAAGGCUACGUUUAGAGGGAUCAAGAAGAACUUUCAAAACCUUUAUUUCCCUUGGGACCAGCCAAUAGGGUCACCACAAUAACAUUGUUGUGAAACCUCAAUAAAAUCACAAACAGUCAAACCAUAUCAAGCAACACACAGUGACUUAUCACAACACAAUGGCACAUUUUUAAAGGGGUGGGGGGAGACAAUAUUUAACAGUAAAUAUCUCACCUGCCUGCAGAAUUAGCAAUAUGCAAAUCUACCUGAAUAUGCAAAUGAACCAGUCUUGCAAUUCAGGUAGUUCAUAUUGCUGUUGCUACCAACAGAGGGCACUAGACAAGCUCCAUAGCCAAACCCACCUAGUUGGUAGCAAACCUCAGCAAUACAAGAGAGCAGGCAAUACAUUACACAGUACACACACACACACCAUAAACAAUUGCAUUACACACACCCUGCACCUAUAAUGGGUACAGGGGGACUAAAACAUAAGAUAAAUAAAGCAGCCUACAUAAAUAGUCCGUCUGAAGGUAGACUAGGGGCUUUAAAGGGAUACAUGAAAGAGUCAUAGUCACAGGGGAGGAGGCUGGCAAAUAGGCCUCUCCAGGACCAAGUGGCGAAGGGCACUUCGUCACAAUAGGGUUAAAAGGCGCACAAAGCUAAGGAGUGGUAAAACAAUAUAGGUAAUGGGAUUAGGAGAGAAACACAAUAAAAAAGUGAAUUUAGGAGACGCACACAAGGGGUGGAGAGACAUACAAUGGGGUAAAAUACACAAACCAUUUUACAAUUUAAGCAAGGGGUUAUAAUAGAUUAUUCCACCCAGGGUGGCAAAAAACAUAGGUGCAUCUUUGUACUACAGUAGGCAUUUUUUUUGGCAAUUUGGAUCCUUUUGUCCUAAAUUACAUUUUGCAGAGUGACCAGAGACGCCAAGAAUCAUACAUUUUGACAUUUUUUUUUUUAUAAUACUGUGAAAUGUAUAAGGGUGAUUUAUAAUUUUUUAGUAUCAACAGGAUUAUCAAUAUUUGUUGGCAUGGUUAAAUGCUGAAUUCUCGCACAAUAACCUAAAUGUAUUCUCAUAAACAAACACCAUUUUUUUGCUUCUAUCGCCAUAAACAGGGGAUGAGUGGCAAGUCUAUAUUCAUCAAAGGGUGAGAGGGCUUAUGUGUGUAAACAGCUGUCUUUAUCACCUCACGGGGUUAUAUAGUAAUCUCGUUCUUUAUUGGACAGAGGAGGUAUUGAAAGAAAGAUGAUUCUGCCUUAGGCAUUGCCGUGCAAAUCUGUAGGGCCCUCAAUCCGUCUGUGUAUAAUAUGAUACUUAUUAUAUCCAUCUGUCCUAAUGAAAAUUCUUACAAAAAGUAAUUUUUCAGGCAAGGGAAAUAGAAAGAUAAAAAAUUGAGUUACAUAUGACAAUAGCCUGAAGCAUAUCAACACCUGAAUUCCAAAGAAUUAAAUUAGCAAGACUAAUAAUUGUAAAUUGCAUUCACUUAAAUUAGGUUUUACAGCAGAGGCAAAACAUGAACUUGAGGAUAUAUUGGAGUUAAUAGCUCACUAGGUAGGAAGAAUUUGUAAAGUUUUAAGUUCUAUGGACAGUUUUUGCUAGGAACUUAUAAGAUGUUAAAGGGACACUCCAGGCACCCAGACCACUUCUGCCCAUUGGAGUGGUCUGGGUGCCAACUCCCAUCACCCUUAACCCUGCAAGUGUAAUUAUUGCAGUUUUUUUAAACUAAAAUAAUUACCUUGCAGGGUUAAGUCCUCCUUUAGUGGCUGUCUAUCAGACAGCCACUAGAGGGACUUUCGGGUUCUUAAAUACUUUUUGGUCGCUUAAACGACACUGGACGUCCUCACGCUAUGCAUGAGGAACUCAAGCAUCGCCGGAAUCCUCAUAGGAAAGCACUGAAUAAUUCUUUCCUAUGGGGAGGUCUAAUGCACGAGGUGGCCAUUUCUGCAUAUGCGCAUUAGUCUCCAGGGGAGAAGCAUGGGCGGUGCCUGACCCAGCGCCGAGGGACAACAGAGCUGGAUUCAAUUAAGUGUCUGAAGGGGUUUUAAACUCUUCAGCAAUAUGGGAUGGGGAACAGGAAUUUUCCUGUGCCUGGAAAACACUUUUGUUGUCUUGGCUCUGGAGAGACCCUUUAAAUGUAUAAAUAUCCACUGUACUGAAUAAUAAUGAUUAAAGCCUAAAAUAAAAGUGACAUAUAAAAACAUAGGGUGUGGGUGCUACUUUUAUAGAAACAUGGUAUAAACAUGAUUUAAAAGGGCAAAUAUAGCUUUAUUAGAUAAAAAAAAAAACAUGUGAACAAGUGACAUGGUCAUGUUCAAUAGUACUUGAAAUUCUAGUAUUAUUACAAAUUGUAUCAUAUGGAAACAUAUAAAUGGUUAAGGCAGUGGAUGUCCAUCAAUAAGGGAACUUAGGGCAGUGCCCCACCAGUUUUUAUUUUGGGGAAAUUCAAACUGGGGGGGAAAUUAUGUGUAUUUGCAUUUGUUUAAAAAUGCUAAGAUUUUAGUGUCUCUUUAAUUCUGUAAUAGGUUUUAGUUCUGCAUGACCCCUCCAUUCUCCACAAUUAGGGCUAGUUUGAAAUCUGCUCUGUUUCAGCAGGUUUUGCACAUGCCUGGUGUCUUUUAAGAAAGAAUUUCAGAAAUUUCCAUUGAGUUGCCAUUCGAGCAGCAGAGCCAACUGUCCAUGAGUGGAAGCAUGCUCUUGGCCUUUUUUAUUCCCGGGCCAUAUCUGGCACCAGGGAUUGGGCUUAUAGAGUACAUGAAGAGUGAACCAAGAAGCCAUCUUCAAAAGAGAUAGUGCAGCAGCAACACCUCCUGGCCUAAGGGCUGAUUAAGCAAGGGAAUUUACUCAAAUAUAUUAUAAUUUAUUAAAAAUAAUAACACAGAACACCGUGCUGCCUACCACUAAUAGAUGUAAUAACUUCUACUGCACAUACCCACCAUCUUCUUUAAAGUGCUCAGUCACUCUACAUCUGAGACCUGAGACACCCAUGCUGUGGCUAGCUGAAAAGUCUGUAUUCAAAUUUGUUUUAAACUGUUGAUUCUGUUAGCCUUCUUAGCUCCACAUUACUGCUGCAGAUUAAUUAUAUAGCCAACUCCACGGGUAAUAAGGAGUCUUUUAGUAUCCCGCUGCAUUAACCCUGUGCACAGUGUUUGUAAUAAUGAAGAUAUCAGAACCCUGCUGCCUUAACACUGUGUACACUGUGUGCUGAGAGCUAAUAAUGAGCCAGUAGUAGCUGAAAAUGUCUGGUGUCUAUCUUAAUGUUAACCAUAAUGGGCGUCUGCAGGGGAUGGCAAGUGGACAUUGGUCAUUCUGGACACCACAUCAUAAGGCUUUGGUACCUAGGCCUGGCAGGGAAACUUUGGACCUUCUCAUCUCCCCAGGUAAAAAAAAAUAUUAGUGUUAAUGUGUUCACUUUUUUUACUGAGUGUCAGGAAACACAGAGUGCCGUUGGUUAGAGGUGUUGCUGAUUGGCUAGAGCUGUCAGCUAGCACUCUAAGCCAAUCAGUAGAUCCCCAUUCAUAAAAAUGCAAAAAAAAAUUAUGAAUCAGGAACUAGCGAUUGGCUUAGAGCGUGAGCUGACCACUCUAGCCAAUCAGCGGCACCCAUGCCUGAUGCCAAUCUGCACUUCCUGACACUUCAGAAGCCAAAGACCACUGAGCUACCUGGAGAAAGCCUUUGGGGUUAAAGCAUUUGAGAGCGGUUUCACCCCUUGAAGGAAAGAAAGCACCCAGGGGCCUCCUUGCAUCAUAGCAUUUCCAUUUAGAUGAAGUUUGUGACAAACUGCCAUUUGCCACUGGGCAUUGGAGAGGACUGAUUGCCAGCCUCCUGCCACAUGACUAUAGCCCUGGGAUAUAUGGCAUUUGAAAACACUAUUUGUGCCGUGUGACAAAACUGGAGAUUGUGCACAAAUAUGACUAUUGUCCAUAUGUUUUAUGAUUCCCUUCAUUUGUUGCACUGUUCCCUAUGUGUUUAAUCUGUUGGUUCGUCUGGAUAGACUAUUAAACAAACUGUGGAGUUACUGGGUUGCCACCAUUUCAUGUAUCAGAGGCACAUGGUGAGAACAAUGGAUGGCAGCCAUUUUAACUCACAGACACUGUUUUGACUUUUGCUACACGGUGCCAUCUCGCCGGUAUUUGGUGCACAAAUACAUCAUUCAGUAGUUUUAAACUACAGAACAGGGGACACAUUUAACAGUAAUUAUUUUUCAUAUAGCCUGUAUAUGUUCUGCGAAAUCUGCAUUAAACCGUAUCUUCCAAACUACUGAACGGACCUGGUUGAAUUUUGGAUAUGUGGUUCACCCAGAUCCCCUGAUUACGAGGAUUUUCAUGGGGUUAUUGCAUGUUUUGGGGUCCCUUUGAUAUGUUUUAUAAUACUGUAUUUUCCUGCCUGUGAUAAUUAAGUUAGUCUAUUGUGUUGAGAUAAUUGUAUCACAGGCAGAGGGGAGGAUUUCUGAUGUAAUGAAUGGGAAUGUUAGCUGUGUUGUAAUAUGUUGAUUGGUUGUUCUUCAAAACCCUGUGGGCAAAACUAUGUUUGUAGAAUGUGAAUAAAAGAAGCUGUAUGUGCCAAUACAGACAAAUCUUCUUGACCCUCAACACGUAGUCUUGUAUCGUCAUUGGAGGGAACUGCUAUAUCACACUGGGGAUUGCUAUGCUCUGCAUACUCCCUUGAGCUUUAAUCACUUAGCUCUUUUAUGAGCUUGUUCCUGAUACUCUCUCCUGGAGGAUAGGUCUUUCCCACACGGUCCUGGAGGAAAGACGCUGAUUCAGGGUGGAAGGAAGACGGCGAGACUCCAGUUAAGCUACGGCGGUUGUGGAGUCUGCGGUGGUUGUGGUGUCCGGUGCGGUGCUUGUGUUCCUCGGUUCAAGCUAGGAAGCAUCCAUUAACGCAAGGUUCCGUUACAAAGUUGUUAUGGUGACCAGAAUGUUCCUUUAAUUUGAUUAAAGGAACACUAUAGUGUCAGGAAAACAAACAUCUAUUCCUGACACCAUAGUUGGGAAAACGCUAUUCAUCCUGGCUUUAUGUGAUAAUGACUAUGCUCGUCCCCUUCAUGACACUGUCAAAAAGGGAACAAUCAUGGAUGUCAUUACAAUUAUGGGAAUUUUUUCUCCCCCCCCCCCGGAAAGAUUCCUGUGGUCGCCCAUGUUAACCAUGUGCACACUGUGUGCCGAGAGCUAAUGGAGUAGCUGACAUGUUUCCUAACAGCAGCUAUUUUAAUAGAAAACUAACAUUAUCAUAGCAGGAGCACUUCUAAAGAUGAGAUCAUGUGAGGAAGAGCUAAGAGAGAGCUGAAGCAUUUUACAUAGACAUGUACUGUGUGGGGAUCUCUGUAUUGAAGCUCUUUGUAAUCCAUCACAGUGAUCCUGGCUGUGUGGGAUAGUGUAAGGAUAUGAAAUAGUUAACUCUUUUUGCUUUAUUUGCUUUAUUUGCUUUAAAAUAAUGUUUGAAAUAAUUAUGCUGACCUUGGCAGAUGUAUUCUGUAACAUGCUUUUGAGAGGCCUCCCUUCUACAGGAUGUAUGACCUUGCUCGACCUCAGGAUGUUCCUGUCCCGUCUUUAUUCAAAUGCUUAUCUUUUAAUGUCAGACAAGUAUGUACUAUUAACUACAAAGAAACGAUAAAUCUCGCUGCUCGCGUGACAAACUGUGUAUAAAUGCUAGCCCUGAAAAUAUACUCACUGAGAACUUGUUAAGCACUCUUUCGUGUCUGUGUCUUAAUUUUCUAAACAAGAACUCCCGUCAAUUGAUGUGGUGACCAAAAUCGUGUGGAGUUGAGUCCAGAACAGCAUUAACCCUUUCAGCUUGGUGUUUGAAGUGGGAUAUAGCAGGACCAUUGUGGGUAAGUAGCCUUUUUGUGUCUUAUUGACGCUGAUUGUCUAUGACCCCCUUUGGUUCAGUAAGUCUGUAUCCAGUAAAUAGGAAAGGUGUAAGGACUUUAGUUAUAUUGAGACUGUAAAUAGGUAUAGGGUUCUUGGUAACCCAGGUUAGUAUCUAAGAUAGAUACAGGGUAUCUCAGGUAGAUACAGGUUUUGAGACUAUAAAGGAGUCUCCAGUUUAUUAAGACUAUAGGUGUUCUAGGAAACACGGUUUAUAGAUCUAGAAUAACCCAAACUUCUCGUUCCUCUGGUCACCCUGUGUCUUCUUUGUGUUUAUUUUGCUUGUUAAGUAGAGACACACUAUUGGUAAGUAGGUAGUGUCUCUACCCUGAGCCAGAAAUAUGAGAAAUAAUCAGUCUAUUUCUUACCCUUCAUGCCACCCAGGGGAGUCAUGUCUAAAUUAUGUUACUAGAAUAGAAGCACAAGGAGGAUUUCUUACAAUCCCCUUGGUGUCAAAUUCAGCAGGAUGGACAGAGACUAUGAAGUCAUCUGAUCCUUUUCCCAGGUGUGUGGCUAAUGAUGAUUUUCAUAUGAAUAUGAUUCGAGGAUUGUGUUUGGGAGAUAGGAAGUCAUGGCCAUGGUAUGGUCCUGAUCCAGAUUGGGAUAAGGAAUAUAUGAAAGCAGGAGGUGAAAAUUGAUUGCUUAUUGAUUUCCUUGUAGUGUAACAGGAAAGGUUUUAAAGGGAGCUAAGAAAUACCUGGCUAAGAGAAAGGGAACUGUUGACAGUAAAACCAUCCGCUUUCCCAUAGAAGCCCCUCCUGAGAAUCCAUAUCCACCACCAAUUGUGCCCCCUACCCAGUCAGCCCCCGGCCAUGCCCAACCACAACCCCCACCUCCCUAUAAAGCAAUGUUUCUGCUGUACCUAAUGUCCCCUCAGAGGAUGAUAUAGAAGAUAUUUGUAUUGCUGCAGUUGUUAAUUCACAAUCACAGCAAUUACAGGAAUCAAUAUCUACACCAGAUUCUAAUAUAGAAUAUCCACCGCAACCUCCCGGUACAAUUAAAUUAACAGUACAAACGGGAGUUAAACUUAAAAGUGGCAAGGUGUUAAAAUCAAAUGUACAUAAGCAAGGUGAUGAUGAUGUAGAGAUGCCAGAAUUAGAAGGUGCUGAUUUUACUGCCCCGUUCAUGACUGUUGGUAAUCAGUUAAUAAUGAAACCCAUUAAUCCCGGAGUACUCAAGGACAUUAUUCAAGGUGCCCCAAACCCCCGUACUAAUCCCUCUACAUGCCUAAUGUAUCUGAAAAGAAUGUGCUUAGGACAGAACAUGACACAGAUAGACAUACAGUUAAUUAUAAAUGGAAUAUUAGGGUAUGACUUAGAUUCUGGUUAGGAUUAGUCUAGGGUACCCUCUAUCAGUGAGACAGACAACGGUACUGGAGUUGGAGAGGCUGGUAGUGAUGGUGUUUAUGAGCUUAGUACUUUAGCAGGAUGUGCUAAAAUGUGGGACGAGGUGGAAGCUGAAAUGUUGAGAUUAUGGAAGAAUAACUCACAUAUAUCACAUAUAUACACUGCUUUGGCAUGUAAGCAAGGUGCAAAAGAAGGGAUUGGUAUUUUUGUAAAGAGAUUUUACAAGUGUUGGAAGGAUGAGGCAGGUUUGAAGUCUGGAGAUGAUAUGGAUCUCCUUAAAAUACAGUCAUGCCUUGGUAAUAUGUUGCCACAGUAUUCUUUGCUUAUGAAACAGUUAAUUUCAGACUGGGCCAAUUUGGGUGGCUCAGAUUCUCUUACCAAGGUUAUAGAAAAGGAAAAUGCAGGUUGUUUUGACUUAAGAAAAGAUUCAGGAAGUAAGGUUGCUUAUUAUGCUCAGGGAUUGCUACACUGUCCACCUACACAGGCCCGAGAGAGAGGAUGGGAUGGAGCACAUAGAGCCCGUGGAAGGGGUGGUCAAAGAGGGGCAAGGGGAUGGAGACAGGGAAAUCAGGGUUAUAGGGAGGGGUAACCAAGGAGGAAUAGACAGGAACAGUUAUUUCAACUGUGGCCAGCAUGGCCACUGGAGGAAUCAGUGUCCACACCCCAGGAAAUCCCAGCCACCACAACAACCCCACAAUUCUCAAAAUACGCCUGGUAGGUGUAACGGAUCACCUGGCACCCCGACUGAGUACCUCCAUUGAAGGAUGCUCCUAGUGCUUCCUGAGGACUCCAAGCACUGCAGCAGACACCACAACCACUGAACCAGAGCAUACGAAUGCUCUCAAGCAUAUGAAUGCUGUAAGCAGCUGAACAGGAAAAGCAUACAAUCAGCUUACACUCCUUUCAAUCAGCAUACAAUCCAAUUCCCCCAAUAACGAGACGCCACUUCGUUUUGAGGUCAAGCAGAACUGACUGUACUGGCACAUACAGCCUCUUUUAUUCACAAUCCACAAAUAUAGUACUGCCCACAGGGUUUUGAAACAGAGCCAAUCAAUCCGUACAAUACACACAGACACUCCCACACAAAAUCCUCCCCUCUGCCUGUGAUAUGAUUACUGAACACAAUUAAUCUAAUUAUCACAGGCAGAGAAAUACAGUAUUAUAAAACACAUCACAGGGACCCCAAAACAUGCAAUAACCCCAUAAAAGGUAUAUCCUUGGAACCGGGGGAUCUGGGUGAACCACAUAUCCAAAAUUCACCCAGAUCCGUUCAGUACUUUGGAAGAUACAGUUUAAUGCAGAUUCCACAGAACAUAUGCAAGCUAAAUGAAAAACAAUUACUGUAUAAUGUGUCCCCUGUUGCAUAGUCCAAAACCACUGCACAAUGUCUCUGACUAGAGGGGGCAGAGAUACAAGCAGCUCCUAUCAGAAGAGGCUGUCAGAAGCCAAGGUUGAGGGAGUUCGCCCCAUGAUCCAAUCUUUUCUAGAGCAGGGAAUACUAAAGCCAGUAGAUUCCCCAUAUAACACACAGUUCCUAAAGGUAACGGUUAUCACUUAGUUCAGGACUUUAGAGCCCUGAAUAGUUUAAUUGUGCCCAUUGCACCCAUUGUCCCUGAUGUGACAUCCCCAAUUAUAGCCAUUCCACAUGAUGCCACUUGCUUCACUGUCAUUGAUUUAAGUAAUGCAUUUUUUUCUAUACGUAUUGAUCAAGAGACACAGCUACUUAUGGCUUUUACUUUUGAAGGCUGUCAGUAUAACUGGACACGCGUACCCCAAGGCUAUGUGGAUUCCCCAGCCGUUUAUUCGCUGGUACUCCAACAUACUCUAAAAACAUGGACCCCCGGUCAUGGUUCCGUCCUUUUGCAAUAUGUUGAUGAUUUGUUGUUAUGUAGCCCAAGCUAUGAGGCAAGCAGUGUCAGUUUGCUCAAACACUUAGCAACUGUGGGUCACAAGGUUGCAAAACACAAAAUGCAACUGUGUAAAUCAAAGGUUGAUUACUUAGGUUUUGUUCUGGCUUCAGGCACCAGACAAUUGAGUCCAAAAUGUAUUGAGGUCAUUCAGAGGAUUCCUAAACCCACUACUCGGAAGGAGUUGCUCACUUUCCUCGGCACGAUUAAUUAAUGCUCCCAUUAUGACUCAAUCCUAAGGGAGGCUGUACGUUCUGACAGCCCUGAAAAUGUCUGCUGGUCAACAGACAUGCUAGCUGCAUAUAUUGCCCUCAAAGUUGCUAUUGUGCAAGCCCCGGCUUUAGGACUACCUGUGUAUUGUAAACCAUUUCAUUUGUAUGCUCGGGACAACUGUAAAACCAUGGCCGCGGUCUGUGCACAAGAGCACGGAGGCGGUAUGCGUCCCAUAGCAUUCUUUUCCAAAGUAGUUCCAGCUCCGGUACUGGGUAUGCCAGCGUGUCUCAGAGCAUUGGCAGCAUGUGCAGUGGCUUUUGAGACUGCUACUACUAUCACACUAGGGCAUCCUACAAUACUCCAUACCAGUCACCAGGUCACUCAGCUUAUAAAAAAUCUCACCACACAACACAUGACAGCCAGCGCUUAAGUGGUUAUGAGAUUAUUCUUCUUAAUACCCAGAAUCUGUCUAUUGUCUAUAGUCCUGUUAAUUCUGGUCCUAUGUCUGUUUUGCAUGCUAUUCUCACUUCUGCAUCUGACUCUGUGUCUAUACCAUCUGAGCCUCAUAAUUGCAUUGAACAAAUACAUAUUGCCACAUCUCCCAGAGCAGACCUCUCCUCCACAGUACUCAGUUGCCCGGAUGUGACCACUGUCUUUGUGGAUGGCUCUUGCUCCAGACCAAAUGACGGUACGUACCUCACAGGCUAUGCUGUGGUACAGUUACCUGAUAAAAUCAUUGAAGCUGACACUAUUUUCCAGCCGUCUGCACAAGCUACAGAACUCAUUGCUCUCACACGUGCCUGUCACCUUUUCUCAGGACAGCGAGUGAACAUUUACACAGACUCACGAUAUGCUCAUGGGGUAGUGCAUGAUUUUGGUGUGAUUUGGAAACAAAGAGGCUUUGUAGGAGCUGAUGGAAAAGCCAUUUCACACACAAGUCUCAUCCAAUCACUCCUAGAUGCUAUCCUACUCCCAUCUGAAGUAGCUGUUAUCCAAUGCAAGGCACACACUCUGGGUAGUGAUGACAUUUCCAGAGGUAAUGUCUUGGCUGACAAAGUGGCAAAAGAAGUUUACUAUGAAAUGUUUCCUGCUAUGCUCACACCUCCCACAUGCCCUACUGACAGUUUGCUUUUGCAGCUCCAAGCCUUUGCAACACAAUCUGACUUUGAUUUUUGGAUUAAACAAGGUUUAGAGAAAGAUCAGAAUGAUCUUUUCUCUAAAGAAUGGAGAAUAGGCAUACCUGAAGCCAGCUGCUUUAUUUUCGUCAGNNNNNNNNNNNNNNNNNNNNNNNNNNNNNNNNNNNNNNNNNNNNNNNNNNNNNNNNNNNNNNNNNNNNNNNNNNNNNNNNNNNNNNNNNNNNNNNNNNNNUCAGGCACAUGGUCCGGUCACAAAAGCAUGGCAAGCACCAUCCAAUUCCUCAUGAAUUCAUUUUAUAUUAGGAAUCUCAGGCAGCAAGUACAGUCUUUUGUAAGAUCGUGUGAGUCAUGUAUAAGAACACAUCCUAAUAUUCCACACAAAUCACAGCACGAACAUUUGCCCCCUCCAGCUGCUCCUUUUACACACUUACAGAUUGAUUUUACUCAUGUACCCAAAAUUGGUAAGAAACAGCAAUACCUAUUGGUCAUAGUUGAUCAGUUUAGUAGAUGGCCCGAGGCCUUUAUGACAUCUAGGGAAGAUGUUAGGACUGUAGUGAAGAUUCUUGCUACUGAAAUUAUUCCCAGGUAUGGCUGCCCUCUGCAGAUUAACUCUGAUAAUGGCCCGGCUUUUGACAGUAAGGUUACCCAGGAACUUGCUAAAUUCUUGCAAGUUACCUGGAAGUUUCAUAUACCCUAUCAUCUACAGAGUUCAGGGGUAGUUGAAAGGAUGAAUAGGACCAUUAAGGAGAAGUUUAUGUAAGCUACUGCAGGAACAUGGGUAAAUCGGACACAAUAUCUUCCAGCUAUUUUAGCUGAGAUAAGAAUGACUCCCCACAAGGUGACUAAAUUAUCUCCAUUUGAGAUUCUGAUGGGACAACCUUUUUUUCCACACUCUGGGCCAAGGAACCACUUGUUAUAAUGUCUUGGGAUUUACAGCUAAUACAAGUACAAUAUGUACAGGAAUUGUUGAUAAAACUGAAUGGUAUAUAUGGCAAUGUUUCUUUGCAGUUUCCCUUACCUUCACAGGAACCUACUCAUCCAUACCAGCCCGGUGACAAAGGUGUAUAUCCGUCAGCUGAACAGGACCAAGAAAGGAGGAUACCCUUUCGGACCACCUGCUACUGUGAUUGCUGUAACCAGAACCGCUGUGCUCACAGAUUCCCACGACAUCUGGAUUCACGCAUCCCGAGUGAAGCUGUGUUCAAAGAGGGGAACCAAGGAAGACAACACCACUCCUCACUCGGAAACAGAAGAAUUUCCCCAUCAUGGCUUUCACACCAUAUCGUAGAUUGAGAGGAUCAUACGAACCUAAGACCAAGAUUAUGUUUUGCGCUAUGCUUUCUGGAGUUGUUAUACUCCCUCUGAUAUUGUUCCUUAAAUGCCAUUAUGAGUACAAGUCAAUGGGAAGUUUGAAACCUGUUUGUUUCUGGAGAAAAGACUCUGACAUGAUGAACAAUUCUUCAAUACCUCCAGCCCAAUUAGGCCUUAGCCCCUCAUCUAGCAUUCAUCACACACGCUCCCUCAAGAACCUUUCUCCACCACCUAUCUAUCAGCAUGUAAUAUGCAAUCACUCAUUGACUGAACGCAAUUGGAUGAAUUGGACAAAUAAUAACCCUUAUAAGUACCAGUUACCCAUAUGGAAUGUGUCCACAGCUAAUGAAACCGAUGCAUUAUGUUUGUAUGAGGGUUCACAGAAAAUUGUUAGAUCUUAUAACGCAGAAAUGUGCACAGUUAAGGUUGCUAAUUACACUAGCAUCUGUGCCACCUUAUUUAAUAUAAGUUCUGAUGGUAAGAAAAAAACCACCUCAACAGGUUUGGGAUAUAUAUUAUAAGAAAAUUAGUAAGGUUGCAAAUCAAUGUAAACAGACAAGCCUUAUUACUUUUAAUAAUGAUUAUACAACUGGUACCAUUAAUUGGAAAAGGGGACAAAUAUUAGUCAUUAUGAACGACACUGCAAUUGAGAACUGUACACUAACUUAUAUUUUUACACCUUAUUACUGUCCUUUACCCUCUACCAUAGAACCAAAAGUCAACAACGACACACACACCUAUUCCGUCCACAUGUGUUAAUACAACUGCUUUCUUACAAGCUGUACAUGUGUCAUUAAAAAUCACUACUCCUGUUGUAACAUUAUGUAACACAGCAAACAAAAGGCAGAAAAGGGAAUGGUAUGACACACUGUUAGGAGGUGCUGGGACCACUAUGAGUAUACUAAAUAGUAUAGACAUGGAGACCCUCAAGAAUAAGUUAAACACGGCCAGCAUGCAUAUAGGGACUGGUUUCCAUGCUACUGCAAACUGGGCUCCAACUGUUGUUAAAUCAAAGGUUACAGGAUUGGAUUUAGGUAAAUCAAUGUAUAAAUUUAGGUAAUUUAACUGUUGCAACUAUGGAUUUCACUACAGGUCUAGGUAACUAGAGUACUUGUGCCAUCAGGUAUUUAUGGAUGCAACAACAAAGAUUGGCAUUAGAAGACACACUAAUGAUUCCUAAACUAGAGAGAAUUAGAGGGAUGCUUAACCUCACAGAUAAUCAAUGGUUACUUCUAAAACCCCAAUCCACUAAAUGCAAUGAAUGGUUAACUGGUAAUGUUUCACAUUUUUCAUGCUCAUGCUAUUUUACACUAUAUCAUAUAUCAUCAAAGGAUGUCAAAUUAGCUUGUCAAUUUAACACAUUACCAGUACCAGUUUAUGAUCUCUUUGCCAGGAAUUUAACCUGGUGGGCACCCACAUACACAAGGGACUAUAUUUUCCCCAAAGAUAAUAUGACCUAUUCCCUCAAACACUGUGUUCUCACUGACAAAGGAUAUGCAUGUCGACACUUGUUCCCUAUUUACAAACCAUGCUUACUCCAAAAUGAACAUAACAAGUGCAUCUGGCACAUAUAUCCUGAAAAUGAUUUUACCAUUACUGAAAUAAGCACACAACAUAUCUGUUUGGCAACUAACCUCCCUACAAAGAUAAUUACUAGUAAUACAAGUAUUAAUUUACCUCUCCCCUUUUCAGGAUGUUUGACUAAUGUUACCUGGUUAGAUCUUAAUGGAACCCAAUAUUAUUUAUGUGACACAAUCACUUUAGACAAACAUAUUAAUGCCCUAUUAGGCUCUCUGCCUUUUAAAGAUUACCAUUUACCUCUUGAGACGAUUGUCUCCUUAAUGAAAGGAAAACAAAAUAUGUUUAAACAUCUUGUUACACAUAAUGAUGCUAUAGUACACACACAGGUAGCCACACAUAUCCUAAAAGGAGAACUCCUUAAGGUGAGUUCAAAAAUUCAGAAUGAUUUAGCCCAUCAUUGGUACUAUGCUUUUACUGGUUGGUCCCCUACUGGAUCCCAGAUAAUGAAAUCAUUCUUCUAUCCUCUUAUUAUUAUAGUCCUGAUUUAUUGUGUAUGAUUUUAUAUAACUGCCACAUUACUUGUAGAUUGAGGAAGAGAAUACAGAAAUUAAUCCAUAAUGCAGAACAGAAACAAUUGGAAAUUCUCCUCUCUGCCACUGGAGGGUAUCAACCCAUCUUUAAAACUGGGCCUUAGGAAUUACCACAUAGGAAUCAAGGUGAAGAAAUUAAUGAAAGUCCCGCAGAGAGUGACUAGCACCCCUGAAAAUACCAUGUGGAAGUUUCUCUGUCCUGGGAAGAUUUUAUCAAUAAUAUGAGCAAAUGUUUUGCUCAAAGAAGGGAAUGUAAGGAUAUGAAAUAGUUAACUCUUCUGGCUUUAUAUGCUUUAAAAUAAUGUUUGAAAUAAUUAUGCUGACCUUGGCAGAUGUAUUCUGUAACAUGCUUUUGAGAGGUCUCCCUGCUACAGGAUGUAUGACCUUGCUCGACCUCAGGAUGUUCCUGUCCCGUCUUUAUUCAAAUGCUUAUCUUUUAAUGUCAGACAAGUAUGUACUAUUAACUACAAGGAAACGAUAAAUCUCGCUGCUCGCGUCACAAACUGUGUAUAAAUGCUAGCCCUGAAAACAUACUCACUGAGAACUUGUUAAGCACUCUUUCGUGUCUGUGUCUUAAUUUGCUAAACAAGAACUCCCGUCAAUUGAUGUGGUGACCGGAGAAUUAAGAAUUGAGGGGAGUUGAGUCCAGAACAGCAUUAACCCUUUCAUCUAGUAUCUACUUUAUUGCACUUGUUCUGUUUGUUGUUUCUCUGUAUUUUAGCUGUAGUCUACCCAGCUCUGUGUAUUAUAUAGGUAUCUUUGUGUUGUGUAUUCUCUCUGUAUUCUGUGGGUUGUUUUGUGUCCAGAUCUGUGUAUUAUAUCUCUAUUUUUUUUUCAGGUCUGUUUGUGAUAUGGUUAUCUCUAUAUUGACUCUGUGUAUUUUAUAGAUAUUUGUAUGAUGUGUUUUAUUGUAUGAGCACUUAAGUACUAUGCUCAGCUUUCUUUAGUAUAUGCGUAUCUCUGUACAGCAUAGGGAUGAGUAAGAUUCUGGAGAAGUCUGGCACCCCACCAUCUUUAAACAUCUCCAGACACCACUAGGUAAAUGGAUUGUAAUAUAAAGCUUUACUGCUUUUCAUGACAUGUAAUAACCUAGAGAGCUGCGUUAUGCCUUGCAUUGUUUUCUAGAAUACAGUUUAUACUUGCACAGCAACAGUCCAUAAUUUAGAAAUGUUCUAAUUCUGUUCCAGUGGAGAACUCAAACCAAAUAAAUAAAGUGAGUUUUCCAAACAGUGAUAACACACUCCUCCCCCAAAGGGUACACUCAGGUACUUACAAAAGUAACUAAAGUGUAGAGGGCCCUGGUACAAAAAUGUUUUUGGGCCCCCCUAUUGCAAGGAUGGAAAAAACACAUCUGUUGUACAACUCCCACAAUACUUUGCCAACCGGGGUCUACCAUUUGCACAUCAUUGCAGGGUUACAUUUAACACUAAACCGUGUUUGAAUGUAAGCAAGUUUUUGUGUGGAGUAUGUGUGUGUGAAUGUAGGGCUGCAUUUGUGUGUAGUUUUGUGUUGUGUGAUUGUAUGUACUGUUGCCAUUUGAAAGCAGUGAUUUACUUGUGUGUUGUGUGUCUUUGAAUGUAGAUGUGUGUCUGUAUGCAGUGUUGAUGUUUGAAUGCAGGAGUGUAUUUGUUCCAGGGUGUAUUUAGUGUUGGAGCUUGAAUGCUGAGAUGUAUGCACAUAUACAUAUACACUGUCACACACACAUCCAAAUACACAGACACACACGCAGGUACUGACAGACGCACACACUGACACACAUACAGAUACAAACACUGACAUACACACACAGAUAUACAGGUGCAAACAAGCAGAUUCACAUACAGGAACUAACACGCACUGACACACAUACAGAAACACAGACACACCCACUAACACACAUAGAAAUACACACUAAUAUGUACAAAUACACUGACACACAAGCAGAUACACAGAUACACACAAUGACACUCAUACACACAAAUACAGACACACAUACAGAUACACAUGGGCACGCAUUGACACACAGAAAGAUACACAGACACACCUAGAGACAAACAGAUACACAUUGUGGCGAAACCAACCUCGCCACUGUGAACUGGAGAAGCCUGGUUGCUCGCCUGCUCCCUUUGGACUAUGGCCCUGCAGGUUAAACCGUUUAUUUCCCCUGCAGAAAGGCUUAUUUGUGUGAUCUGAGUGCCAUUCAUCUAAUAAUGUGCACUCAGAUCCCAGCUAUCUGGGGAUAUGUGAAAUGUCUGUGUGUUAUGUGUAAAUGUGACUUUAUGUAUUUUAAAGUGUUUUGUGUCUUUUUGCAACCAUGUGCUUAAUGGAGUCUUGUGUCUAUCCUGGGAGAUAAUUGAAUUACUCUCCAGGAUAGAAGACUCUGAAACUGGUUUGGGCCAGAAAGCCAUGCUUCAUUUAGUCACAAAGGACUUUCCCUUAACUUUUGAACCCCUGGUCUGAUUCGUGCCAUUUUUUAAUAUGUUGUUGCCCUGAAUGGAUUGAUUAUGAAAAUGUAUGUUUUAUGUUUGUGACAUGUAUAUUUUAGAAGUUAGAAAUAUUGUGUAAAAACUGUAUUCCUCUGCCGGUGAUAAUGAGAUUACCCAUUGUGUUCAGUAAUCAUAUCACCUGCAGAGGGGAGGAUUUUGUGUGGGAGUGUCUGGGUGUAUUGUACGGAUUGAUUGGUUGUUUUGUAACGCCCUGUGGGCUGUACUAUGUUUGUGGAUUGGGAAUAAAAGAGACUGUAUGUGACAGUACAGGGAGUUCCUGCUUAACCCUCAAAGUGAAGUGUCGUCUCAUUAUUGGGGAAGGAUUUAUUGUAUGCUGUUCCAGUUUGACUGCUAGGAGAGUAAACCUAUUCAUAUGGUUCCUAUUCAACUGUCUACAGCAUUCAUAUGCUUGGGAGAAUUUAUUUGUUUCUCCGGUUCGGUGAUUGUGGUGUCUGCCAGAGUGCUUGGAGUCCUCAGGAAGCGGAGCAUCCUUCAACGGAGGUACCCAGUCGGGGUGCCAGGCGAUCCGUUACACACAUACAGACACUCAGAAAGAUACAUGGACUCACAGAAAUACACAGACAUACACAGAUACACAGACACACACUGACACACAUGCAGAUAUACAGACACAAAUACACACAACUACAUUCCUACAAUUACUGACACAGAUACAAUGACACACACAGAUACAGAGGGGCACACAUUGACACACAGAUACACAUACAGACACAGAGAUAGAUACACAGACACACAAGCGGACACACGGAUAAACUGACAUGUAUACAGACAUGGAUACAUAUACAGACACACAGAUAUACAGAGCACACACAUAUACACAUACAGACAAACCGACCCCCACACACAGAGAUACACUGACACACAGAUACACAUACAGACACACAGCUAGAUACACUGACACAUAUACACACAGAUGCAGACACGCAUACAUACACACAGAUACUUAUACAGAUACACAGCUGCACAGACACACAUAUAGAUACACAAACACACAGCUAGAUGCACAUACAGGCAGGGCCGGUGCAAGGAUUUCUGCCGCCCUAGGCAAAGAUCCAUUUUUCCACCCCCUCAUGAAAGAAAAUACAAUGUCACAGAGGUUUAUUCACUAAACUCUGAAUUUCAGUGAAUGGAAAACAAUGGAAAACAAAAUUGCAAAGUUUCAGCAAAAACAGCUGAACUGUGACUGUGACUAUAGCCAUAUUGGAGAAUACUUCUAGAUCAGCUAUUUUGGCCUAUAUUUGGCAAUAUGGUUUUCAGUUAGGUCUGCCUAUAAAAACACACAUACUGCUUAAUGCGUACAUCCAUAAACACACACUGCCUAAUACCUACAUCCAUACACACAUACUGCCUAAGACAUGUAUCUAUACACACAUACUGCCUAAUACCUACAGUGUAAACAUAAUUUAUAUCUGUGAUAAAUGAUGUAUUCAAUGCAUUUGGUGAAUUUAAUUCAUAAUAAGACAAGCAUAGAAGAGCACACACACUAACAGACACACACUCACUGUCAGACACAUAGUCACUGACACAGACAGACAUACACUCACUGACAGUCAAACACUCUCUGGGGUCUAGUGUGGGGCAACUCCUCACUCCUCCAGGUCGCUGUUUAAGUCAUAUUCUGGCUCCCCCACCUUCGGGCACCAGGAGGAUCGGCCCGGCGCUGGGAGGGUGGCCCAAGACAGGGGCAUCCUGGUGGGCGCCCCCAGCAGGCUGGCGCCCUAGGCGAAUGCGCCGGCCCUGCAUACAGGCAAAAUGUACUGUGACAGAGUCUAUGGGAGGGUAAUAGAAGGAAGGUAUCUAGGACCCAGAAUCCUCCAUUGCCUGUACUCAUUCACCUUCCCAACUAGCAACUGCUGAGGCUUUAAUUAGCCGGUCUCAGAGCAGAAAGGGGAGAGAUACAAUCUGACCUGCAGAGAGCAGGUCUGUGCAGAGCAGAACCAGAAAAAGUGUUAAAGGUUGGUGAAACCAAUGUUUAUUUUGUUGAUUUGUUUAGAUUAUUACCCUGGUUUAGUAAGGGACAUUACUUUAUGUUUAGUAAGUGCUCGAAUUUGAGCUAGGAUUUUGUUUUGUAGACUUUCCUUUCUGUUUUGCUGCAGUUUUGAACAAACUAAUUGCUGCAUGGAUUUUUGUGCACAAUGUAAAUAAACCACACCCUUUUUUUUUGCAUAAGAGACUGUUGUUCUAUACCUGUUACCCUAGAGUUGGCUGGCUGAGGCUGUUGGGAGUCAGAUGUUCUUCCAGUCCACGCAUCUCCUUUUUCCCUCUUUCCCACACAGAUCUGUAGUGAGGGGAGUAAGGUUAACCCUACACAAGUGUUUUGAGCUGCAAAUUAGUAUUUAGUAUACACCUUUGUUGUUUACAUUUUGGAAUAAAUCCUACUGUGUUUUUGUAUAUCACAUAGUACAAUGAUUUAAAUAAUAAAAAAAAAAACUUUGUGAUAUUGUAUUAAUUUAGUCCUACCUAGGUAAUCCCAUCCACCCUAAUUUAUUACUUAUUAUUACAGUAGUGUAAACAACUUGAACUCAUUGCACCAUUUACACAACUUUUUCGAAGAAUGCCUGCUACAAUUUCAGGACACAGAGAAAUUGUAUUUGCUUGCCCUUAUUCCUAAAUCUAGACAGCAAUUAUUGUUCCAUCAUUAGUGUUCACUGAAGUAGAAAACCAAAGUAUUCUUUUCCUGAAAAGAGAGAAGUUGCCAGGUUGCUGCAUUUACAAAUUAUGUAUUAUUAUUAAAAUAAUAUUUAUAACAGAAUUAUUAAAGUAUAUGGUCUCUGGAAGAUGAAUUAAUCUGUACUGGAUAUGCAUAUAAUGCAUCUCAUUCUAUCAUACAAUAUAAAGGAUUAGACAGAUCAUUCUGCUCCCCUUUUUUUUUUUUUUUCAUAAAAAGAGUUAUUGCACACAGGGUGAUGGUAUUCAUUACACUGUUACUGUUAAAUGUAUUUGUAAAAUAAGGUGGAUGCUGCUGGAAUGUGUGCAUUCCUUAACACAUCAAGGAGCCUAAUAAAUCACCUUGCUUAACUUGAUCUGCAGACAUACUAUUGCCUCUUGAAGAGGUGAAAUUACCCCUGACGUAACUUCCUUCUCAAAUAAAGCAAGACACCAAAGCAAUUAUAUUGGACUUGUGCAAGGACCUACAAGAAUGGGGAGAAAGAUCAGAUACAUUAGAAAUGAACAUGGACAUCCUUGCAAUAAAUUCACCAUCUAUCAUAUGCAUUUUAAACUAAAAAGCAUUCAAACUAAACUAAUGGACUUUGAAUACUGCUCAAGGCGGAAUAAUGUAUUGCUAAGAGGCAAUACAGAAACUGUAAUAUCAGAGGGCCUAGCAGAUUAUUUACAUCAUUAUCUCUUCACUCUUCUACCACGUGUUUUAGUGGACUUUUUACUUUUCGAUAGAACACAUCAUCUUGCUAAAUCUAGAUCAGCCCUGAGAAGCUCCCACUACACUAUAACUCGGAUCCAUUUUUUCACCAUUAACCAUUUUUCUCCAAGCUCUUAGGUAGAAUCCUAACCUACCUGAUGAAUUUUAAGAAAUAUGCAUUUUCCCUGUAUUAUCUGCACUCAUGUUAUAGAAAAUAUGUGAGUUACAGCAGUGCCAACAUGGGAUAUAGUACCUAAUUAAUUACAAGGAAUGGUGCCAUAACCAUAAUUUCUUCUGUGGAAGAUGGACUCCAAGCACAUCGGGUCUGAGCUCUAACCAUCAUCCCUUCUUUCAAGCAAUCCAUACCCACUUGACCGCCAAAGUUAAAGAAAGACAUAAUUUCAUCCACUGGCAGAGAAUUUUAUCUUUGGCUGACUUAUGCAAAAAAAUUUGAAAGCAGUCCAGCGCCCCUGGUGUGCACUUCCUGUCAGACCAGGGUAGAGGUUACUAAAGCUCGGUUCAGCCACGCUACAUAGGAGUGACUGGCUGUAGCUGUAGUGUGUGGGUUUUUUUUUUUUUUUUUUUUCAUUCUUUUUUUCUUCAGUGCAUUGUAUGACAGGCAAGCUUGUAUAAACAUUCAACAAGAUGACAUACGACAAUACAGGAAUUCAGCAACAAUAUGAAAUGGCUAGAGAUAACCACUGCUUUUUUAUAAGAAACAAGAAAAGUCAUCAGGAGCACAAUCCUAUUAGAUUAAACAGUAAGAGUAAGAAAUGCUGUACAGUAGAACUAUAGAUAUAAGCAAGAGAUGAAUACCACUGGGUAAGUAGAUCUAACUGUUGCAGAUGGUUAAUUAGUGCACAGAAGUUGCAGAAGUAAAAAAAUCUGAUUCUGAGACGCUCCAGCCAUGUGUGACCUACUCGCCCCAUGACUUAUGCAUGUAUGGACGUAGCGGGGAAUUUUGAUGCAAAUAAGAUAACAUAGCCUACCCCAAAUAUCCCCCCCAAUAACAACAGACAACGAAUUUGGAUGAAACAGGCCACAGGAUUUAUUAAACAUUAGACUGUAGGACUCAUCCAACCUUUUAUAAACUUUAUCACUUAAUUAUAACCAGAGAUAAUACCUAAAUAAUCCAUAACUUAACAUAUAAAUUAACACCUAGGCCCUACAGACUUUACAUAAACGUCCUUGUCAAUGAACGAGACCACAUGCCUAUGCACCAACUUGCCCACUGGGUUCUCGCCUUCCCCCUAGUCCAAACCAAAUUCCCCUUUUCCUUUUAAUGUUUACCACCAGCCGGCUUUUAGCUCGGUGGGCACGUCCAAGUCAGUAACUGAAAAAUUUACCCUACAGAGCAGGGGAGGUUGAGACCCACCUUGUCCAUCUUCUGACAUUCCAUGUGAUGGCCCCCCAACACCUAUUGGCAAGGACACGCCCCCGCAAGCUGUGACAGACAAUAACAAAACAGAAAAAACAGAAAAGAGGGUGGGUGGGAAGGAAGUUGUUUGUUGGCCCGUCUCACAAGAGGCACUGAGGUAAGAUGGUCCUUACCCCAUUCCCAAACCCCUAACCACUCCCAUACACCCAUAAAACCAAUCACAAGCAUCCAUCCCCACACUCAUACAUGGACCCUUGUCUGCUUAGCUGUGCUAUCUCCACAAGGCCUAAAUUAGCAUAAGAAUGCCUUGUUAAGAUCUAAAAUAUAAAUUGAUCAAGCUACUAACUACUUCAUAUACCAUUGGUGUUUCCACUGAUGUUCAGAUAUAUUAUUUCCUGAUAUAUUACACUGUGGUUUGCACGUUAAAUUUAUGGCUGUUAGGUCAUUUCUCUAUUACUUGCCACCUUCCCCCAAAUUACAUAUUAACUGGGUAAUUCUCCUUCUUUCUUUAAUAUGGCGAGUUCGAGUCCCUUUCUUUGGUCUUGGCUGCAUUUCAACCCUGCAUUAGGAUACUACGCAUGCCAUUAUUAUGAUUUUCUGCCACCAAGGUAUAGCCAAGAUGGAUAUAUAUUCUGUAAAUACCUUUUUGUUACUUUAUGCUUGUGUCCUGCCACACACACUCUCUAGGGUCAUUACUAUCCAUACAAGGCUAAACAUUUAACACCUUACUGCAUGUAUUUAAGUUGUUUGAUAACUGGAGAGUCAUAAAUAUAAUCCAAUGGGACGACACUUUCUUUACAUGUGCUUCUGUAUUGAUAGCUAUCUAAUUGACAAUUCUUCUCUCCAACAAGGACUCUCCUCUUGAAUAGCUAUUUUUGAAUUGUCUGUUCAUGCUCCUGUCCUAAAAGAACUGAUGGAGAGGUUAUUUGCUGCUGGUUUGGGUAUUUGGAGUUUGAAUAUAUCUCUACUUUAUUCAUCUCUAAACAGACCAUACAUAGCAGAUUACCUAUUUAAUUACUUUGAACUUAACAGAAACUCCUAAAACAUUUUCCUAAAUUACCCCACCAAAACAAGAAAUUAGGAGGUGGUGUCAUUUCAAACACAACUGAAAGUCUAUGGCAUCAAUCCAAUAUUUUUCGCCAAUGAUUCAGUACUGUUAGAAAAAUGUCCACAUGAUUUAGCUACAAAAAUUCCAUAGACAUUGCAAUAGUCUUGGGAAAAAAGAAAAAAAGGUUGAUAGGAAAAAAAAAAUUAGUUACACAAACCAUGUGAAAAAUGAGCAAUAGAGGGGGGAAAAGAAGCAGCAAUAAAAAAAAUAAUCUUUUAUAAAUGUAUACAGUAUAUAUUUAAUGAUUAUAUAUAUUUUUUUUAAACUCCUCCUGUUUUUCCCAAUUAUGGACUACUAAAAUAUUUAUAUAUUGUAUGUAUUUUGCAGUACAUUGAUUGGUCCAUUCUUGCGCCCUUAUGGUUUGUUUGAUUUGUUUUCAGAAUCAGUUUUUUUGUUAUAGUAUUUGUCUGUCGAACCAAACCAACAUAUUGCUGAAACUCAUCCAUCCUGAUUUUUUUUUUUUUUUUUUUUUUUAGAUUUUUGUGAAAAAUGGCUUGUCCAAAACCUAAUUUUCUUGCUGUGCACAAGUCUUAAAUAUUUUGCUACAAAGUUGAUUUAAUUUUUUUAAUUUGCAUAGCAAAGACUAAAAAAAAAUAAGUCCUACGGGGUGUGGUUUAGUAGCUCACCAAGAUGGCCGCGUGAGUGGUGUGCUCCCCAUGAGGGAUUAACCUACAGCGACAAACACAUCAAUUACAAGCCCACAAACGACAAGUAAUGGGGUCCCACAGUACCCUCACACAUCAUGGCACAAAAAAAGCAGAAAUCUACUCUGCAAAUCGCGGCUCUGUCCUCGUCACGCUCCCAAGAUGGUGCCCAUGGCAUUUCAUUGCCUAACCAAGCUCCAGCAACAGACUCCUCGGUUCAAAAGAUGCUACAUGAUCUGCAAACCUCCAUGCAGGCUGAAUUUGCCAAACUGGCCAGAGAUGUGAGGUCAGAUAUCCAAGCCAUCGCAGAGAGAACCAACCAAAUAAUUGAAGCUCAUAAUACACUGGCAAACUCAUAUUUAGAGCUACUCGCCAGAAUGGGUAAGCUGGAAAACCAAGUGGCUGACCACAAAGAUCGGGACAGGUGAAGCAACAUCUGCCUGAGGGGCAUUCCAGAAGAAAUCCUUCCUCAAGAUCUGGCCACAUAUACUAUGGAGCUUUUUCAAAUGCUAGCCCCAGAGCUCUCACAUAGAGACCUUCUCCUAGACAGGAUCCACAGGCUACCUAGACCACAAAACCUGCUGCAAUCACUGCCUAGGGAUGUGAUAACCAAGGUACAUUACUUCAUGGCAAAAGAAAAUAUCAUGCAGGCCUCACGCCGCUACCCAGACAUGACAGGCAAAUAUGCAGCAGUGAAGUUAUUCACCAACCUGUUGGCCUGAAAUGGAAAAGCUUUGCUCUGAUCACGCCUUGUGAGCAAAAAAUCUAAAAUAUAAAUGGGGUUCCCAGCAUGCAUUAUUGUCAACCACAACGGCAUGACGAGACAGAGAACAACGUUGGAGGAACAUGGCUUUCACACCAUAUCGUAGAUUGAGAGGAUCAUACGAACCUAAGACCAAGAUUAUGUUUUGCGCUAUGCUUUCUGGAGUUGUUAUACUCCCUCUGAUAUUGUUCCUUAAAUGCCAUUAUGAGUACAAGUCAAUGGGAAGUUUGAAACCUGUUUGUUUCUGGAGAAAAGACUCUGACAUGAUGAACAAUUCUUCAAUACCUCCAGCCCAAUUAGGCCUUAGCCCCUCAUCUAGCAUUCAUCACACACGCUCCCUCAAGAACCUUUCUCCACCACCUAUCUAUCAGCAUGUAAUAUGCAAUCACUCAUUGACUGAACGCAAUUGGAUGAAUUGGACAAAUAAUAACCCUUAUAAGUACCAGUUACCCAUAUGGAAUGUGUCCACAGCUAAUGAAACCGAUGCAUUAUGUUUGUAUGAGGGUUCACAGAAAAUUGUUAGAUCUUAUAACGCAGAAAUGUGCACAGUUAAGGUUGCUAAUUACACUAGCAUCUGUGCCACCUUAUUUAAUAUAAGUUCUGAUGGUAAGAAAAAAACCACCUCAACAGGUUUGGGAUAUAUAUUAUAAGAAAAUUAGUAAGGUUGCAAAUCAAUGUAAACAGACAAGCCUUAUUACUUUUAAUAAUGAUUAUACAACUGGUACCAUUAAUUGGAAAAGGGGACAAAUAUUAGUCAUUAUGAACGACACUGCAAUUGAGAACUGUACACUAACUUAUAUUUUUACACCUUAUUACUGUCCUUUACCCUCUACCAUAGAACCAAAAGUCAACAACGACACACACACCUAUUCCGUCCACAUGUGUUAAUACAACUGCUUUCUUACAAGCUGUACAUGUGUCAUUAAAAAUCCCUACUCCUGUUGUAACAUUAUGUAACACAGCAAACAAAAGGCAGAAAAGGGAAUGGUAUGACACACUGUUAGGAGGUGCUGGGACCACUAUGAGUAUACUAAAUAGUAUAGACAUGGAGACCCUCAAGAAUAAGUUAAACACGGCCAGCAUGCAUAUAGGGACUGGUUUCCAUGCUACUGCAAACUGGGCUCCAACUGUUGUUAAAUCAAAGGUUACAGGAUUGGAUUUAGGUAAAUCAAUGUAUAAAUUUAGGUAAUUUAACUGUUGCAACUAUGGAUUUCACUACAGGUCUAGGUAACUAGAGUACUUGUGCCAUCAGGUAUUUAUGGAUGCAACAACAAAAAUUGGCAUUAGAAGACACACUAAUGAUUCCUAAACUAGAGAGAAUUAGAGGGAUGCUUAACCUCACAGAUAAUCAAUGGUUACUUCUAAAACCCCAAUCCACUAAAUGCAAUGAAUGGUUAACUGGUAAUGUUUCACAUUUUUCAUGCUCAUGCUAUUUUACACUAUAUCAUAUAUCAUCAAAGGAUGUCAAAUUAGCUUGUCAAUUUAACACAUUACCAGUACCAGUUUAUGAUCUCUUUGCCAGGAAUUUAACCUGGUGGGCACCCACAUACACAAGGGACUAUAUUUUCCCCAAAGAUAAUAUGACCUAUUCCCUCAAACACUGUGUUCUCACUGACAAAGGAUAUGCAUGUCGACACUUGUUCCCUAUUUACAAACCAUGCUUACUCCAAAAUGAACAUAACAAGUGCAUCUGGCACAUAUAUCCUGAAAAUGAUUUUACCAUUACUGAAAUAAGCACACAACAUAUCUGUUUGGCAACUAACCUCCCUACAAAGAUAAUUACUAGUAAUACAAGUAUUAAUUUACCUCUCCCCUUUUCAGGAUGUUUGACUAAUGUUACCUGGUUAGAUCUUAAUGGAACCCAAUAUUAUUUAUGUGACACAAUCACUUUAGACAAACAUAUUAAUGCCCUAUUAGGCUCUCUGCCUUUUAAAGAUUACCAUUUACCUCUUGAGACGAUUGUCUCCUUAAUGAAAGGAAAACAAAAUAUGUUUAAACAUCUUGUUACACAUAAUGAUGCUAUAGUACACACACAGGUAGCCACACAUAUCCUAAAAGGAGAACUCCUUAAGGUGAGUUCAAAAAUUCAGAAUGAUUUAGCCCAUCAUUGGUACUAUGCUUUUACUGGUUGGUCCCCUACUGGAUCCCAGAUAAUGAAAUCAUUCUUCUAUCCUCUUAUUAUUAUAGUCCUGAUUUAUUGUGUAUGAUUUUAUAUAACUGCCACAUUACUUGUAGAUUGAGGAAGAGAAUACAGAAAUUAAUCCAUAAUGCAGAACAGAAACAAUUGGAAAUUCUCCUCUCUGCCACUGGAGGGUAUCAACCCAUCUUUAAAACUGGGCCUUAGGAAUUACCACAUAGGAAUCAAGGUGAAGAAAUUAAUGAAAGUCCCGCAGAGAGUGACUAGCACCCCUGAAAAUACCAUGUGGAAGUUUCUCUGUCCUGGGAAGAUUUUAUCAAUAAUAUGAGCAAAUGUUUUGCUCAAAGAAGGGAAUGUAAGGAUAUGAAAUAGUUAACUCUUCUGGCUUUAUAUGCUUUAAAAUAAUGUUUGAAAUAAUUAUGCUGACCUUGGCAGAUGUAUUCUGUAACAUGCUUUUGAGAGGCCUCCCUGCUACAGGAUGUAUGACCUUGCUCGACCUCAGGAUGUUCCUGUCCCGUCUUUAUUCAAAUGCUUAUCUUUUAAUGUCAGACAAGUAUGUACUAUUAACUACAAGGAAACGAUAAAUCUCGCUGCUCGCGUCACAAACUGUGUAUAAAUGCUAGCCCUGAAAACAUACUCACUGAGAACUUGUUAAGCACUCUUUCGUGUCUGUGUCUUAAUUUGCUAAACAAGAACUCCCGUCAAUUGAUGUGGUGACCGGAGAAUUAAGAAUUGAGGGGAGUUGAGUCCAGAACAGCAUUAACCCUUUCAUCUAGUAUCUACUUUAUUGCACUUGUUCUGUUUGUUGUUUCUCUGUAUUUUAGCUGUAGUCUACCCAGCUCUGUGUAUUAUAUAGGUAUCUUUGUGUUGUGUAUUCUCUCUGUAUUCUGUGGGUUGUUUUGUGUCCAGAUCUGUGUAUUAUAUCUCUAUUUUUUUUUCAGGUCUGUUUGUGAUAUGGUUAUCUCUAUAUUGACUCUGUGUAUUUUAUAGAUAUUUGUAUGAUGUGUUUUAUUGUAUGAGCACUUAAGUACUAUGCUCAGCUUUCUUUAGUAUAUGCGUAUCUCUGUACAGCAUAGGGAUGAGUAAGAUUCUGGAGAAGUCUGGCACCCCACCAUCUUUAAACAUCUCCAGACACCACUAGGUAAAUGGAUUGUAAUAUAAAGCUUUACUGCUUUUCAUGACAUGUAAUAACCUAGAGAGCUGCGUUAUGCCUUGCAUUGUUUUCUAGAAUACAGUUUAUACUUGCACAGCAACAGUCCAUAAUUUAGAAAUGUUCUAAUUCUGUUCCAGUGGAGAACUCAAACCAAAUAAAUAAAGUGAGUUUUCCAAACAGUGAUAACACACUCCUCCCCCAAAGGGUACACUCAGGUACUUACAAAUUGGAGAUAGCAAGAGGUUUUGUCAAAAUGUUUAAUGAUACAUGCACAAUAGUAUCACAAUAGAGCUGCAGUUUGAUAUAUAAAGAUGCAUAUUAAGUGGUGGAACUAAAGUGUAGAGGGCCCUGGUACAAAAAUGUUUUUGGGCCCCCCUAUUGCAAGGAUGGAAAAAACACAUCUGUUGUACAACUCCCACAAUACUUUGCCAACCGGGGUCUACCAUUUGCACAUCAUUGCAGGGUUACAUUUAACACUAAACCGUGUUUGAAUGUAAGCAAGUUUUUGUGUGGAGUAUGUGUGUGUGAAUGUAGGGCUGCAUUUGUGUGUAGUUUUGUGUUGUGUGAUUGUAUGUACUGUUGCCAUUUGAAAGCAGUGAUUUACUUGUGUGUUGUGUGUCUUUGAAUGUAGAUGUGUGUCUGUAUGCAGUGUUGAUGUUUGAAUGCAGGAGUGUAUUUGUUCCAGGGUGUAUUUAGUGUUGGAGCUUGAAUGCUGAGAUGUAUGCACAUAUACAUAUACACUAUCACACACACAUCCAAAUACACAGACACACACGCAGGUACUGACAGACGCACACACUGACACACAUACAGAUACAAACACUGACAUACACACACAGAUAUACAGGUGCAAACAAGCAGAUUCACAUACAGGAACUAACACGCACUGACACACAUACAGAAACACAGACACACCCACUAACACACAUAGAAAUACACACUAAUAUGUACAAAUACACUGACACACAAGCAGAUACACAGAUACACACAAUGACACUCAUACACACAAAUACAGACACACAUACAGAUACACAUGGGCACGCAUUGACACACAGAAAGAUACACAGACACACCUAGAGACAAACAGAUACACAUUGUGGCGAAACCAACCUCGCCACUGUGAACUGGAGAAGCCUGGUUGCUCGCCUGCUCCCUUUGGACUAUGGCCCUGCAGGUUAAACCGUUUAUUUCCCCUGCAGAAAGGCUUAUUUGUGUGAUCUGAGUGCCAUUCAUCUAAUAAUGUGCACUCAGAUCCCAGCUAUCUGGGGAUAUGUGAAAUGUCUGUGUGUUAUGUGUAAAUGUGACUUUAUGUAUUUUAAAGUGUUUUGUGUCUUUUUGCAACCAUGUGCUUAAUGGAGUCUUGUGUCUAUCCUGGGAGAUAAUUGAAUUACUCUCCAGGAUAGAAGACUCUGAAACUGGUUUGGGCCAGAAAGCCAUGCUUCAUUUAGUCACAAAGGACUUUCCCUUAACUUUUGAACCCCUGGUCUGAUUCGUGCCAUUUUUUUAAUAUGUUGUUGCCCUGAAUGGAUUGAUUAUGAAAAUGUAUGUUUUAUGUUUGUGACAUGUAUAUUUUAGAAGUUAGAAAUAUUGUGUAAAAACUGUAUUCCUCUGCCGGUGAUAAUGAGAUUACCCAUUGUGUUCAGUAAUCAUAUCACCUGCAGAGGGGAGGAUUUUGUGUGGGAGUGUCUGGGUGUAUUGUACGGAUUGAUUGGUUGUUUUGUAACGCCCUGUGGGCUGUACUAUGUUUGUGGAUUGGGAAUAAAAGAGACUGUAUGUGACAGUACAGGGAGUUCCUGUUUUAACCCUCAAAGUGAAGUGUCGUCUCAUUAUUGGGGGAAGGAUUUAUUGUAUGCUGUUCCAGUUUGACUGCUAGGAGAGUAAACCUAUUCAUAUGGUUCCUAUUCAACUGUCUACAGCAUUCAUAUGCUUGGGAGAAUUUAUUUGUUUCUCGGGUUCGGUGAUUGUGGUGUCUGCCAGAGUGCUUGGAGUCCUUAGGAAGCGCUAGGAGCAUCCUUCAACGGAGGUACCCAGUCGGGGUGCCAGGCGAUCCGUUACACACAUACAGACACUCAGAAAGAUACAUGGACUCACAGAAAUACACAGACAUACACAGAUACACAGACACACACUGACACACAUGCAGAUAUACAGACACAAAUACACACAACUACAUUCCUACAAUUACUGACACAGAUACAAUGACACACACAGAUACAGAGGGGCACACAUUGACACACAGAUACACAUACAGACACAGAGAUAGAUACACAGACACACAAGCGGACACACGGAUAAACUGACAUGUAUACAGACAUGGAUACAUAUACAGACACACAGAUAUACAGAGCACACACAUAUACACAUACAGACAAACCGACCCCCACACACAGAGAUACACUGACACACAGAUACACAUACAGACACACAGCUAGAUACACUGACACAUAUACACACAGAUGCAGACACGCAUACAUACACACAGAUACUUAUACAGAUACACAGCUGCACAGACACACAUAUAGAUACACAAACACACAGCUAGAUGCACAUACAGGCAGGGCCGGUGCAAGGAUUUCUGCCGCCCUAGGCAAAGAUCCAUUUUUCACAAUGUCACAGAGGUUUAUUCACUAAACUCUGAAUUUCAGUGAAUGGAAAACAAUGGAAAACAAAAUUGCAAAGUUUCAGCAAAAACAGCUGAACUGUGACUGUGACNNNNNNNNNNNNNNNNNNNNNNNNNNNNNNNNNNNNNNNNNNNNNNNNNNNNNNNNNNNNNNNNNNNNNNNNNNNNNNNNNNNNNNNNNNNNNNNNNNNNUUCGGGUCACUUGUCAGCGUAUCCACUGUUAGCGUAACACACCCGCUUUAAGGACACUGACUGCUAUUCAAUCUAUAACAGUAAAAAGUGUUUUUUGUUUUUAAAUCCAAGCUAUUGUGACACAGGAUCUAAUUAGUGGCACUUGUCAGCGUAUCCACUGUUAGCGUAACACACCCGCUUUAAGGACACUGACUGCUAUUCAAUCUAUACCAGUGAAAAAAGAUUAUUUUUUUUUUAAAUCCAAACUAUUGUGACACCAGAUCUAGUUAGUGGCACUUGUCAGCGUAUCCACUGUUAGCGUAACACACCCGCUUUAAGGACACUGACUGCUAUUCAAUCUAUAACAGUGAAAAAAGUGUUUUGUUUUUUUAAAUAGAAGCUAUUGUGUCCGCAAGAUCUAAUUGGUGGCACUGGUCACCGUAUCACUGUUGGCGUAACACACCCUUUAAGGACACUGACUGCUAUUCAAAUCUAUAACCGGUGAAAUAGAUUUUUUUAAAUCCAAACUAUUGUGACACCAGAUCGGUGGUGGCACUGGUCAGCGUAUCCACUGUUAGCGUAACACACCCGCUUUAAGGACACUGACUGCUAUUCAAUCUAUAACAGUGAAAAAAGAUUAUUUUUUUUUUAAAUCCAAACUAUUGUGACACAGGAUCUAAUUAGUGGCACUUGUAAACGUAUCCACUGUUAGCGUAACACACCCGCUUUAAGGACACUGACUGCUAUUCAAUCUAUAACAGUGAAAAAAGAUUAUUAUUUUUUUUAAAUCCAAACUAUUGUGACACAGAAUCUAAUUAGUGGCACUUGUCAGCGUAUCCACUGUUAGCGUAACACACCCGCUUUAAGGACACUGACUGCUAUUCAAUCUAUAACAGUAAAAAAAGUUUUUUGUUUUUAAAUCCAAGCUAUUGUCACCAAGAUCUAAUUUGGUAGCUGUCAAAGCAAUGUCACUGUUAGUAACACACACCGCUUUAAGGACACUGACUGCUAUUCAAUCUAUAACAGUGAAAAAAGAUUAUUUUUUUUUUAAAUCCAAACUAUUGUGACACGGGGUCUAAUUAGUGGCACUUGUCAGCGUAUCCACUGUUAGCGUAACACACCCGCUUUAAGGACACUGACUGCUAUUCAAUCUAUAACAGUAAAAAAAGUUUUUUGUUUUUAAAUCCAAGCUAUUGUGACACCAGAUCUAAUUAGUGGCACUUGUCGCGUAUCCACUGUUAGCGUAACACACCCGCUUUAAGGACACUGACUGCUAUUCAAUCUAUAACAGUGAAAAAAGUGUUUUGUUUUUUUAAAUCCAAGCUAUUGUGACACCAGAUCUAAUUAGCGGCACUGGUCAGCGUAUCCACUGUUAAACACACCAGCUUUUAAGGACACUGACUGCUAUUCCCAAUCUAUAACAGUAAAGUUUUUUUUACUUUAAAUCCAAGCUAUUGUGACACAGGAUCUAAUUAGUGGCACUUGUCAAGCAUUAUCCACUGUUAGCGUAACACACCGGCUUUAAGGACGCGACUGCUAUUUCCAAUCUAUAAUAACAGUGAAAAAAGAUUUUUUAAAUCAAACUAUUGUGACACCAGAUCUAAUUAGUGGCACUUGUCAGCGUAUCCACUGUUAGCGUAACACACCCGCUUUAAGGACACUGACUGCUAUUCAAUCUAUAACAUUAAAAAAAGUUUUUUGUUUUUAAAUCCAAGCUAUUGUGACACCAGAUCUAAUUAGUGGCACUUGUCAGCGUAUCCACUGUUAGCGUAACACACCCGCUUUAAGGACACUGACUGCUAUUCAAUCUAUAACAGUGAAAAAAGAUUAUUUAUUUUUUAAAUCAAAACUAUUGUGACACCAGAUCUAAUUAGUGGCACUUGUCAGCGUAUCCACUGUUAGCGUAACACACCCGCUUUAAGGACACUGACUGCUAUUCAAUCUAUAACAGUAAAAAAAGUUUUUUGUUUUUAAAUCCAAGCUAUUGUGACACCAGAUGUAAUUGGUGGCACUGACUGGGGAAAUGGGCACAGUAUGCACUGUGAGCCUGACACAGAAGCUGGCAGCAGUGGCAGACAACUGACUGCUAUUCAAUCUAUAACAGUGAAAAAAGUUUUUUGUUUUUAAAUCCAAGCUAUUGUGACACCAGAUGUAAUUGGUGGCACUGACUGGGGAAAUGGGCACUGUGAGCCUGACACAGAAGCUGGCAGCAGUGGCAGACAACUAAGUGCAUUUACAUUAGAUAGAAAAAAAAAAUCAAAAAAAGCAUACCCUUAUCCCUAACCUAGCUAUGCUUUUCCCUAUCUUAUGAACAGCAGCUACACUUUCCCUCCUCUUACUAAGCAUGCAGCUUGAGAAUGAAUCUAAAAUGGAUGCUGUCCAGUAGGUGGGAGGGUCUGCUAGGGAGGCUGUGCUGCUAAUUGGCUGGAAUGUGUCUGCUGACUGUGAGGUACAGGGUCAAAGUUUACUCAAUGAUGACGAAUAGGGGGCGGGUCGAACCGCGCAUAUGUUCGCACGCCGUGGUGAACCCGAACAUGCUAUGUUCGCCAGGAACCGUUCGCCGGCGAACCGUUCGGUACAUCACUAUUCUCUAGGCCCAGAAAUGGAAAAGGGCAUGAUAAGGUUAUUUCUGGGUUACUCUCUGGUUUUAAAUGCAAUAUAUAACUGAUGGACUAUCAAAUAGGCAUUUAAUUUAGAUAAGGUUUAAAUAUUGAAGAGUGUAUUCCCUACUAUAAAACAUCAGUUCUUGAGGGAAAAGGGACAUUAACUUUGAACCACUUGGCAAUAAUAAGCUCUAAAAGAUAAUAUAAGUAUGAAUGUAUGUUCUCCUUGUUAAUACGUCUUUUUCAUUUCUUUUUUAGUAAAAUAAACUCAAUGAAAAUAAGAUAGAUGAAAGAAAAUGGACAGUUAAUGAAGCAGAACAAGUAAAACAAACAAAAAAACCCUGUUUAUGGUGAAUACUGUGCAUAAAUACAAUUCUGUGUGAAGUUCAAAAUGUUAAAUAUGUUUUAUGAAAGUGUGCUACAGCAUAUCUGAUGUAGACUUACACUUAACCAGUACUAGGCAUGAAGUAUUGUUUCAGUUUGAUCUGCACUUCGAAAUACAUAUAACACACCACCAAACAAGCCAGUCAUGUUUGUUUUGGUUCAUGAGUCUGAAUUCUGCCUGGGGCACCAAAAAAAGGAUGAUUGAUAGGCAAAAAAGAUGAUUAAUGGUUAAGGGACAGUCACUAAAUGUUGAUUUUAUUCACAGUUUGAGUCAGAUGAGCAAUUGAGGGAGAUAAGGAGUAUAAGUAAAACAUAUAUUUUUAUAUACAGUAUGUCAUAUAUUGAAAUGAUAAAGGCUGGUAAGGUAGCUCACUGGGCUAACGCAGAAUCUGUUUAAGCUUUAGGGUUUGCAGGUUCAAAUACCCAGGGUAGAUAAAAUUAGAGAAAAUUUUAUCUACCCGAGGUAGAUAAAAUGAGUACCAUUAAAUUGGGUAAUAGUAACAAACCGUGGAUGUUGGGCAAAACUAACAUGUAUUUGGAAACCAGACUAAUCUGAAUGUACCUUGCCUGGUUGAAUAUAUUAUUAUAUAUAAUAAUUAUUAUAUAGUCUGUACUGCUCUUGCUGUUUUUCCCUCUAUUGGUAACUUGAUAUGUGAAUCAAAUGACAGGAAAAUGUUCCUUUUAGUGUACUGCAUAGUAUAUACGUAAUAUUAUUUUAUGUAUAUAUUUGCCAUACAUUUAUUGGCCUAUUAUUGCUCCAUUUUAGUUCAUAUAAUUCAUCUAUGAGUCACGUUUUUGGCACCAAAGUUCUAUAGAGCUGAACGAACAUAUACGUGAAAUUCAACAUUCCUGAAAUUGUUUUUAUUUUUUGGAAAUGGUUCGGCCAGAUAAAAUCUAAUUGCAAUGCACAUGUUUGACAGCUACUUUAUAAGUACAACUGAUCAGUAAGAUAAACAGUCAAAUAGACUCUUUUUUAGACUCACUCCUCACUUGAAUUAUUUAUUGCAGCGUAUCUUAAUGCAAAACAAAUAAUACCAGCAAUUAAACAUGCCCCUCUAAAUCACGUUUGGUGUAAUUUGUAUAUUUGUAAAUUCAUAUCUAAAUGUUUAAUGAUAUUACAUAGAAUGUGACGGCAGAUAAGAACCAUUCGGCCCAUCUAGUCUGCCCAAUUUUCUAAAUACUUUCAUUAGUCCCUAGCCUUAUCUUAUAGUUAGGAUAGCCUUAUGCCUAUCCCACGCAUGCUUAAACUCCUUUACUGUGUUAACCUCUACCACUUCAGCUGGAAGGCUAUUCCAUGCAUCCACUACCCUCUCAGUAAAGUAAUACUUCCUGAUAUUAUUUUUAAACCUUUGUCCCUCUAAUUUAAGACUAUGUCCUCUUGUUGUGGUAGUUUUUCUUCUUUUAAAUAUAGUCUCCUCCUUUAUACAAUUUAUGUAGCAAUCAAAUGGCUGGGAAUAUCUGUACAUUUGACUGCUCAUAAAUUGUAUAUGCAUGUACAAAGCAUAUGCAGUGCCCACCACUAAUACUGGCACCCUUGGUAAAAUUAACCAAAGAAGGCUGUGAACAUUGUCUUUAUUGUUUAACCUUUUGAUCUUUUGUUAAAAAAAAAUACACAUGUUUAUGGAAAAUAAAAUAUUUGUGAAAUAUAUGUAUGUAUACAUACAUUUCCCCUUCCCUGUAGCGUGGCCAAGCUCCUCUCUGGUCCGCGGUACAGAAACACCGUUUCCUGUACCCGGCCGGACUGAUAGGAAGUGCUCACUGAGAGUGCACUUCCUAUCAGUCCGGCCUGGUACAGGAAACAGAAACUCCUGUACCGCAGACAAAAGAGAAGCUUGGCCACACUACAGGGAAGGGGAGGUGGAGGGUGUGUGAGUAGGGAGACCACAUGGAGGGAAGGGGGGGAGUAAAGAUACCACAGGGAGGGCAGGGGGGGAGGAAAGAGAACACAAAGAGGGGAGGGUGAGUAAAGAGAACACAGGGAAGAGAGGAGGGGGUAAAGAGAACACAGGGAGGAGGCAAGGGGUGAGUAAGGAAAACACGGGGGGACCACAGUGAGGGGGGAAGUAGGGAGAACACAGGAAGAGGAGGAGGUGAGUAGGGAGAGCACAGGGGGUGGAGUAAGGAGAACACAGGGGAGAGUAAGAGAUAAGGAGAAUACAGGGGGAGUAAGGAGAACACAGGGGGGUGAGUAAAGAGAACACAGGGAGAGGGGGGAGUAAGGAGAACACAGGAAGAAGGGGGUAAGGAGAACACCUGGAGAGGGGGUAGUAAGGAGAACACAGGGAGAGGGGGUAAGGAGAACACAUGGAGGGGUGUAAGGAGAACACAUGGGGGGAGUAAGGAGAACACAGGGAGGGGGAGUUGAGGAGAACACAGGGAGGGGGUGAGAAGAGGGAAGGGGGGAGAGGAGAGACCACUAAGGGGCAAGGGAGAUCUCUAAGGGAUGGAAGGGAGAGCUCUAUAGAAUAGGGGACAGGACAGAGAGCUCUUUCACACCACGAGCACACACACACACACACACACACAAUGCAUCCUUAUACACACAGAAACACAACAUGCUUCCCUUACACACAGAGAAACACACAAUACAACUCUUACACAUAAAGACAAUGCAUCCUUUGCACAUAUACACAGAAAUGCACAAUGCAUCCCUAACACACACAGGCAAACACACACUGCUUCUCUUACACACACACAGAAACAGAAUGCAUCUCUUACACACACUCAACGCACCUCUUACAGACACACACACUGCAUCCCUUACAUACACAGAAACACACUUUGCAUCCCUUAUGCAUACAAACACAGAUUCACACAAUGCAUCCCUUACACACAACAAGAAACACACAUUACAUCCCUUAUACACAAACACUGCUUUCUCAGUGUGCACUUCCUGUCAGUCCGGCCGGGUCACGGACCGGAGAGGAGCUCAGCCACGCUACAGGGAAGGGGAAGUGAGGCAGUGCGGCAGCCGUCUGAGCGCUCUCUAUAGAGCGCUCAGGCGGCUGUGGCAUUUAAAGGGCCGGCGAUGGGGGCGCAGGGUGCCCCCUCCUAUAUGGCGCCCUAGGCGGCUGCCUAGUUCGCCUUAUAGGAAGCACCGGCCCUGCCUCCAGCUCAUAUAUUGGCCCUUUUACAGAAAUCAGAACCUCUCUUUCCAGUAAUAUUACGCAAUGGGACUUCAUAUGGUUCCCCAGCUGCCCCAAUAAGACCUAAUGGUUCAUUAGAGGAAGAGGGUAGAACACCAGACUUAAGGGUACCCCUAGUUGUCCCCCUAGACACCCAGUGGUGCCAUUAGCUCCACAAUUCACUACUCCCAUGUUACCCAAAGUUGAGAGCAUAUACCAUGAGAAGAGACAUUCGAGCUCAAGUAUCCAAUACUGGGAAGAAUAUAAGCACUGGACAACCUGUGAACAACUGGCAAUAUUACAGCAGCUGCUAGAUGUAGAAAAGGCUCUAGUCCAGUCUCUAUCCACCAUUCAAGCUACUUACCAGUGUAAUUGGAUGGAUUUAAAACAAAUUGUUGCCAUAAAAGCUGGCCCCAUUUGCGCUAGAAUAAUUGCUAAAUAUACCGAUCCCCAUGAAGAUAACCUUAGAAGAAGCAACAUGCAAACAGAUGAAUGGUUUAGAACCAAAUCUGCAUCUGGAGCAUGUUAUGUCACUGCAAUAUGAGAAUGGGCUAAAGUAAAGACAGAGAAACUAGCCCAUAAAUUAGGAGAUAUAUUACAAGGGAAAGAUGAAUCUGUUGAAACAGUCUUCACCAGACUACAGAUGGCUUGGGAGGCAUUGGGUUACACAGAUAUUGAAACCACUUCCACCAGACUGCUUAUUAACUGCUGCAUGGAUGGUCUCCACAUACCCUUAAGGACUGGUCUCCAAAAUGCUAGACCUGAGUGCAGAAGUUUAACCUAUGGUGAUCUGGUAAAGGUGGCUAUGGGAGUGGAAGCCAAUCUAAAUACUAGAAAGAGUAGCACACCUCUAAUGGCACUAUCUGUCCCUAGAGCUGGUGGAGACAGAAGGCAGGUAGACUGCUGGAUUGUGGCAGAAAAGGAGACAUUAAAUGCAACUGCAGGUGCCCUCCUAAAAAUAAAACCCCCCAGGAUUCAAAUGAUAACUCCCAUGACAACCAACCACCUCCACCACCUACCCUCCCCAAUAGGAAAUUGGCAACCCAGUGUCCCUACAUGCUUUAAAUGCCCCUGACUCAGCUGGUCCCUCACCCAUUAUCAAUGUUACAUUGCCCGGGGACCGAAUAGUUCCUUUUCUGCUUGACACUGGGGCAGCUAGAUCUAUGUUGCAGGAUAAAUAUGUGUUCUCGUAUGAGAAGUCUGAAGAUGUAUUAUCAUGUGUAGGGAUGGGAUCCUAAGUGAAAUUCCACUUACCCACAAACUGAGAUUGCAGCUACCCGACUCUACUGCCCUUGUGACAAGAUUACUUGUCAGCCCUCAUGCCCUUGCUAAUCUACUAGGCAGUGAUAUACUGUCUGCCCUUAAUGCAAAUAUCCAGUAUAGCCCCACUGGAAAAGUAACAUUGUCUGUGCCUUUAGAGGACAAACAAACAAUAUCCCUCUCAAAUGUUCUGGCAACUCUCACAAUGCCCAGCCAUGUGACAGAACCUGCCAUUGACUUUCAGGCAGACUUCCUGUGCCCCCAAUCAAAGUGAAUCUCCUGAACGGAGCCACCCCUCCCUAUCAAAAACAAUGACCCCUAAGCCCUGCAUAGGAAGAUGCAAUUUCCCAAUCUGUGCAAGAAUUAAUGCAGGCAGGGGUAAUUGUCCAGACCACCUCCCCUUGUAACACACCAUUGUACCAAAUUAAGAAAAAGCAAUUGAAAGGGAAACCUGUUGUCUACUUUAUGGUACAUGAUUUAAGGGCAUUUAAUACUGUAAUCAAACUCAUUGCCCCUAAUGUUCCCAACCCACACACCUUGUUGUCACAGAUACCACCUUCCUCUAGGUAUAACAAAGUCCGAUAUUGGUUCUAUAAGAUUGUCCUGAUGGAAGAUCCAAACAUGGCCCAUUUUAAUCUUUCUGGGUGAGGCACUCAGGUGUCCAAUGUUUAUGUUUAAUAUUUGAUGUCUGUUGAUAUUUCAUAGAGUCCAUGAUGCCAUGUAUCCUAAAACAAUGCCCAGGCCCUCUGGCUGUAAAACACCAACACAUUAAAGAGCCACCACCUUAUUUAACUGUUGGCAUGAGGUACUUUUCCAUUUGGCUACAUCUCUGCCUGUGCCUAACCACUGGUGUUUAUUUUCAAAAAGCUCUAUUUUAGUUUUAUUUGACCAUAGAACCAAUUUGAAGUUCCAAUAGUGUCUGGCAAACUGAAGAUGCUUGAGUUUGUUUUUGAACGGCUGUUUUUCUUGAUACCCUUAAAAACAACUUGUGAUGAUGUAGGUAAUAUAUCGAAUUGUAGUUUUGGAGACUUUCUAACCUCAAGACGCAACUAAGUUUUGCAAUUUUAAAGCUGUAAUCCUUGGAGAUUUUUGGCCACUUGAACCAUCCUCUUCCAAGGGUUUUGAGACAAUAUAGACACAAGUCUUAUUCCAGGUUGACUCGUAACAUUUCCAGUUGACUGUAGCUUGUUUAUGAGCCACCACGAAAAGACAUAAGAUGGUUAUCAGGAACGUACACAUCAAACCACCCCAUACCAAAAAGGGUAUAGUGUCAUGAAUUAUUAAUUACUGAAUAUACUACAUGUUUCAAUUCAUGUAAAGUUUCCAAUCCCCAAAUGGUCUCUAAAUCUAAACACAUAAUUUUAAAGCAAAUACUAUAAGAAAUUCCAAUUUAAUAUUCAUAACUCUUACUCCCAGGGAUACCUAAUGGUUUCUUCUCACUAGCCUUGCUGCAUUCAGAAUGUAAAUCAAAGGUUUAAUCAUUAUUGGACUUUGUAAUAUUGCUAUAAAGUGUAAACACAGAAUUGUGCCAUAUGGAAGAAAAGUAGUGUAAUGGAGCUUACUGUACCCCGGUUGGGUACCUCUGCCGACGGAUCUUCCUAGUGCUCACCGAGGGCUAAAAGUGAUUCUCCAGACACCAUAAGCACUGCAGACCCCACGAGCUUGGUUGGGGUCUCGCCGUCUCCUACUCACCCGCCACCUACGACAAGGCUCCAGGUUCCAGUGGGUGAACCUCUCUUCUUUCAGAAAGCGAAGCAGGAACAGCUCUUAGAAGAGCUAGUGAUUAUUCAAGGGAGUAUGAAGAGCAUAGCAAUCCCUUGUAGCAGUUUCCCCAAAUAAGAGACAGAACUCAGUAUUGAGGGUGAAGUAGAACAGAAGGUUUAUUGAACACACUGGCCUUUUAUACAGUUUUCACAGCAAAGGUGACGCCCAGGUGGACCUAGUUGGGCACCGAAUAUGAAACAUACAAGCCAAUAAAAAAAGAGGUUUACAUUCAGACACUCCCAUACAGUGUACACAAUCCCUCUCCUCUGCCUGUGAUACAAUUAAUGAAGACAAUGGACUAACUCAAUUAACUUUAGCAGAAAAACAUACAUUUUUACAAAGUCUGAAAAACACCCCAAAACAUAACACAUCCCCAUAAAUCUUACAUCCCUGAUAAGCCUGAUCUGGGUGAACAACAUAUCCAAAACUCACCCAGAUGAAAGCAGGGGUUCAAAAGUUUCAUAUAAGUCUCUUUUGACCGACUGCAUGCAUGAUUUAAUGUCCAAAACAGUUCCAGAAAAUUUGGCUGUGUGGCCGGUCUAUUUCCAAUGGCUAAGUUCACUUCAAAUGCACGAACAGGUGCCAUUAAUGCACAAAGUCCAUGUUGAAGUGCCGUUCGAAUUGUUGAACGUCUUUUAACUCCAGUUGAAGAGUCAAAGUCCAGAGAAGGAAACGUUUCGGCAGUGUUCGUGCCAUCGCGUGUCCGAUUUGAGUUCCAUGAACUCGAUGACAAAACACCGCUGACCUCAUUCGACUAAAUAAAAUGGCCUCCGCCACAUGUUCGAAUGUCGAAUGUCGGCCACUUCGACACUUCGGCUGUUUCCGAAGUGCCACUUGGAAAGGUUAAAUCUGUUCUAACAGUAUUUAAAGAGGCAGAAACAGUGCCUUAAAACCAAAUAAGUCACGGGGACCCUAAUCCCAAGGUAAAACACUGGCCAUGCGUCCUCUCCAAAAACCAGUGGUGAAGUGGCUUUCGCCACUAGUAUAACUCAUGAAUACAAGCAACUUACAAAUAGAAGGUAACAGUUUUUGAAGAAACAAAAGAGAGCUAAAAUGAUUGAUAUGUUACCGGCAUUACAGUGCAUCAUUUGUCUAAGAUUAUUAUGGAAAAAAACUACAAAACAAACUCAAAUUAAUACAUUUGACAAAUUGGCUAGUAGUGAAUACUAACAUACAAGAAGAAAACCAGGUUUGUGACAUAUUGAUGGAAUCUAUUUCAAUUAAAUGUGUCCAUGAUUCAGAUUUUGUCACCAUUUUGACACAUUAAUGGACACUUAAUUAUCCAUGUCCACAUAAUUAUACCAACUCAAAGAGAUUUGGAUGAUAAUGAGCAAAAGUAUGCAUAUCAAAUUCCUAUUUCUGUCUGUCUCCGAUACCUUCAAUAUCUGUCUCAUUUGAUUAAUGUACUUGUGAAACAAAAACAUGUAAGUAAAAAGAUUCUACAAAAAACUUUCUACAAAACAGAGGGAAAUUGAGCAGUUACAUGCAGCCCUUUUUUCAGUAAUCUGUUGAUUACUGAUAACAAAAUUUGCUUGAUAUUAGUUAAUUACACUAUUUGUACUUUUUUUUUCUUGUGUGAUAAUCUGUUAAAUAUGUUACUAUCUACAAUAGAUUACGAGAAUGCUUUGGAUAUGUCACUACUUGGUAUUUAAUCCUGAGAAAUAAUUUAGGUGGGAUAAUAUUGCUACUCACUAAUUCUAAUAGUGUUAAAGCUAGACCACUUGACUGUGGGCUGAAACUGACAACAAUAUGCAUUAAAUAUGCAUAAUUUAAUUCCCUGUGCAAUAACAUCCAGACUCUCUUUUUCAGGAAGUAUGUAGGACGUUUGUGUGAUCUCCACCAAAGAAGGUGUGGCUAAAUCUGCAUAAACAAAAUGUAUUGCGAAGGAUUAGCAGAGAAUUGAACAGUGAAACUGCAGGAGCAUGAGCUAUAUAAAAAAAAAACCACUUAAUUAAACUAAAGUUGUUUUGGUGCUCAGAGUGUGCAUUUAAUUAAGUUGCAAUUUGGCUCUCAAAGUGAUGUUUCACACAUUUUAAUAAUUACUUAAUAUAAUUGUAUUAGUAAUGUGUAAUAUAUGCUUACUUAAUAUAAUUGUAUUAAUAAUGUGUGAUAUGAGCUUAAUGAUUGUAUAAUCAAUGUGCUAGCUAAUAACUGUGCUAAUAUAUCAACCCUGUGUAUAUAACCUAAAGGUUUGUGUUAUUUCAUGCGUAUACUGUUUAAAUGUUUAUUUACUGUGUGAAUAUUUGUAAGGUGCAUUAAUUGUUAUCUACCUUUGUCAAUACACUAUUUAAAACACUCUGGAAAAGGGCAAUAUUAUUUGGCAUUAAUUUGCUGUUUAUUUGAAAAAUGAUUUAAAUUACAAGAAUGUCUUUUUUUCAUACUUUUAAAUCCUACCAAACAGGUCUUUGCUAGAUGCUGUCAGAGAUACCCAACAUUAAACUAAGCUUGUGCCAAGUCAAUGAGCUUUGCAAUUUCAAAACAAAAUUGUCCUCCAUGACUGGGUAUUGGUUUACUCAAAUCCUAACAUCCUAAGGCAAAUAUGCCUGCCUGAAAUACUACAAUUAACAUUAAACUAAAAUAAUAUUUCUAAUCUCCAUGUUCUUUAAUCAAUCUUAAAUAGCACAGAAUGUAUACUGUAUUAUUUGUAGAUGUAUAAAAUUUUCUAAUUAUAACGCAUUAAACCUAUUUUUCUCAUUCUCAGUAGACUUCUGUUUUUAUUUGUCUGUAAUGAAAGUGUAUAACACACUGUGGGAGUGCUACUUUUAUUUUCAGUGUCUGCAUUUUCCAAUAAAUAUUCAAGUUGUUCUCCAAAGCACUCAAAAUCUGCAGAAUCCACACAGUUAAUCAAUACCAUCAACUGAACAUGCUGCUAAAUUCUUAUCAGCUCAAGUGCUUUGUCAAACACAAACUUGUUCCUUAUUCCAGAUCUCUUUGUGCUCUACAAAUUUGUUUGGAUGUUUGUUUAACCACAAGGGAAUAGCUAACCCACAGAUUACCUCUUUACUGACUAAAAGAAAUACCAAUAACAGCAUUUACAUUUUCUUUCAUAAAAUAUAUGAAAUACAAAUACAAGUAUUUAUAAUUCAUUAUAAAUACUAUAUCAGUAAAUCUUGUAAUAGGUGAAUGUUAAAUACAGUUAUGAUAUUUAUUUAAAUUUUAUUUAAAGUCUGAUAUUCCAGCCCUAAAUGUAUAUUUCGGUAAAUGUUUACUGUGACGGUCCAACCCUCUCUGACCGUCUUGGGUUCCCUUUCUCCCAGUAGUUGGAUAAUCCUUCCAGGUAGAGUGUAGACACAAGCAUAGCAUAACCCUCCACACAUGAGCCGAGGCUUAAUGCUGGGUAGAUAUCUGUUUAAUGCCACACAAAACAACAGCAUUCAUGCAGUAAAAAAAAACUCCUGCUCUGUGGAAAACAAACUGACAGUAAAAAGGGUAAGACAGAGUUUGAAAAUAUGACAGUUAUAAGGUCAGACAGAGUUUGAAAAUAUGACAGUUAUUAAGGGUUUAAACUGGUGUUCUAAGGGGGGGGGGGUGUUACAAAACAGUCAAACUAAGUCCAUAAAACAGGGGUUUUCUUCACACUGCCUCCCCUUUGCUGACAGCUCCGGCAGACACAGUUGGACCCUUUUUGGGUCGAUUUGGCGCUGUCCGGGUAAUCCUUGCGAAAUUUAGUCCGCUAAUUCAGUUUGUCGGGAUAGGCCAUCUGCGUUUCCAUACAUUUUGCCAGGUCGGUAGUGGAUAGUGAAGUCAUAUGGUUGUAAUGCGAGGCUCCACCGUAGAAGUCGGGAAUUAUCCCCUGCAACCCUAUUGAGCCAGACAAGAGGAUUUUGGUCCAUGAUGAGGGUAAACGGCCGGCCAUAUAAGUAGGGUGUUAGUUUCUUCAAUGCCCACACUAAAGCUAGGCAUUCUUUUUCAAUGGCCGCAUAGCUGACCUCCCUGGGCAACAAUUUUCGGCUCAAACAGGCUACAGGGUGCUCCCCCCGUCUUCUCCGACCUGGCUUAAGACUGCACCCAGUCCAAACAUUGAAGCAUCUGUGUGUACAAUGAAACGUUUGUUAGGAUCGGGGGCAGUGAGAACAGGUGCGUUUAUAAGAGCUUGCUUCAAUGCGUGAAAGGCUGCCUCGCACUCUGGAGACCACAGGACCUGUCAGGGUAAGUUCUUUUUUGUCAAGUCCGUCAGGGGUUUGGCCAGAGCGCUAUAGUCAGGGACAAAGCGUCUGUAGUAGCCAGUUGUCCCUAAGAAAGCCAUAACUUGCGUCUUGGUACGGGGGGUGGGCCAGUUGGCAGCAGCCUCAAUCUUAGUGGGCUCCGACCAUUGUUUUCCUCAUCCUACACGGUGGCCCAAGUACUGCAACUCCGCCAUACCAAUGUGACACUUGUCAGGCGUCAAGGUCAAGCCGGCUGCCCGGAUUCUAUUCAGUACCAACCCUACAUGUUCUAAAUGGGUCUCCCAGGUUUCACUAAAAAUCGCUAUGUCAUCCAGGUAUGCGCACGCAUAAUUCUGGAGACCAUUUAGGAGGCGAUCUACCAUCCGUUGGAAAGUGGCUGGGGCAUUCUUCAUCCCGAAUGGCAUAACUUGGAACUGGUAUAAGCCGAACGGGGUGUGUUACAAAAGACUAGAAAUCACUAUGUUGCUGUUUUAACUCACCGAUUGAUACUGUUUGCCACUGCAUAAGUUAAGCAGAAAACCACACGAAUGGAUUACGCGAAUCCUUAUGAAGGCUCCAUUCGUGGUACGAACGGGGGACCCCCCAGAAACUGGCGUGUGCCGCCACUUAACCCCGUCACCCCGCAAACUACCGAACGGUCGACCACCCGGCCCGCGGAGUGUGGCAGCCAUUAACCACCCAGGUGGCUGCAGUUUGCGGUUAACCACAACGUAAUUGAUAUGCCUGGGGGCAUCGAUGUUCGCACCCAAAGUACCGAAGGGAAAAUACCGAACUAUCCACCGAACGACGACCCCCUACAGCGGGUCGCGUGGCGCUCAUUAACUGUGGUUUCUGCGGUUAACCGCAGGUCAAGUACCCUGCUCCCAGGUGGUCCUCAUUCUCUUACCGAACGAGCCCACUACCAGACAGACAGCGGGACUUCGCAUGAACUGAUACCGAGUUUAGUUCCACGAGUUAGACACGAAGUCCCGCUGCUCGUUAAACCAGCAGAAAACAUGGCCGCCAACAAAGACUAACAAUCUCAAAAUGCCGAAUGGACUUUAUACGGCAGAAACAGUACACUCUGUUCGUGGGAUUAGAGCACCAUUCGCCUGUUUUAUCUAUACGAACGCGAGCCUUCAGAUGAAUGGUAGAAUGAAUGGUUUUCCUGUAAUAAUGUACAAGUUAUGGAUUUUUAUGUAGUUUUCUGGGACAUAAUAAAACGUGGUCUUUUGUGCGCUUGGAGAUAAUUAGAUUGUAAAACCGUUGGCCUCAUUAUCUCCAAGCUGGGCGGGUACUAAUUCAAAUGAUACAGUGUACUGUGAUUGGUUACCUGUUUGUUCUGUACCUGUAUUCCAUCAGGUCCACAGGGGGCUGUCCUUGGACCUGAGGAAUCACAUAAAUUGCCAUGCUAUGUGCCAGUAAAGCCAGUUCGUUUUGACCCUCAACUUGCAGCCUCGACUCAUGUUGUAGGGAUCCGGGAUAUUGAUGCUCAUAUCGUGCUUGGGGAUAUUCUACAUUUGCAGCCUACUACCCAAAGACCUCCGUUCGACUCUCUGCAGCGGGAACCAGGACAUCCAAGCGAUCAACCCUCCUGCUAGACCGGGGGCAAUCGUAACAAUUGGUGGCAGCGGGGGGAUCAUCCUGGAAUUCCUGAAAGAGAUAUAUAGGACGGAUGGAGAGUAACUACGAUAAACUGAAGCGUACCACGUUAAAGGAUUUACUCGAGAGCCGUGGAGGGAACGCAAGUAACCGGCCGAGGAGAGAAUUGAUUGCCGACCUGAACGAGUUGGAUCAAAGCUUCACAAUGGCAGAACCGACGGCAGCAUUCAGCGAUGAGAAGACCAGGAUUGUCCGAGAAAGGCUGCCUCUGUACGGACCGAACCCAUCCGUGGAGCUGAUACAGCAACUAAUGGCCGAAGCCGAGGCGGACGUACAGCGGACUAGAGCCCACGAGCUGAGCAUGAGGACCGCUGAUAGCCACAACGGCUCCCUGGAAACUGCCGAACAGCCAAAGAUUCCGUUCACGGCAUUCAGGCCGUUCGCGGAGAAUGAGAUGGGGAUAGACGAAUUUUUGGCCGAUUUUGAAAGACAAUGUGCCCUGCAUCAGAUCCCCGUCGCAGCAUGGCCGCGUAUCCUGGCAGGAAAAUUAACCGGGCGGGCCAUGGAAGCCUUCAGAACUCUCAGCGCCGAAGAGGUAGCCCAAUACCCCGCAGUAAAAGAGACGCUGCUGAAACGGUACGCUGUGACCCCAGACACCUACCGAAGGCAGUUCCGCAGCACGAAGAAAAAGGCGAAAGACACACAUGCCGAAUGGGCACACCGCAUGCGGAGAGCGGCUAACCAUUGGAUUACCGGGUGUCGGGCCGUUACCGCAGCAGAGGUACUAGAACUAUUUUUACUUGAACAUUUUUAUGAGGGUCUGGAACAAAAAGACAGGGAGUGGUUGAAAGACCGGCGUCCCGCUAAUCUACAUGAAGCCGCCAGGUUGGCGGACAAACACCGGGAUGCGCAAGCUCAGGAGUUCAGCAAUGCCCGAACGGUAACUCGCCCCAAAGCAAGAGAGGGGUACCGACCAACUCCACGAACAGAGUUUCGCACCCCUGUACCGGCAGGUCCUACACGGUACACGGGACCACCCAGUCAAUACCCGCAGGAGCGCUCCCGACCCACAUGUUACAAGUGCAAGCAACUGGGGCACCUGAUAGCGAGUUGCCCCCUCAACAACAAUUACCCCGCAAGGAACUACAAUUCCUCUUCAACGGGAAACAAUCGCCCAGCUCGAGCGUUUUGCCUGGAACAAGACAGUCCUUUAGAAGAGUACCUGGGACCCCUACAUGAGGCGAACCCUGUGUAUGCCGCCAGUGACAAUAGACAACACCACCGGCAAGAGGUACUGCUGGAGGGUCGUCCCACACAGGGGUUAAGAGACACCGGGGCCACGAUCACCUUGGUACAAAGCCGGUUAGUUCCCAAAUACAAACGCUCUCCUGACACAGUGGCUGUCCGGGUGGCUGGAGGGGACAUAUACAAACUACCCACAGCAAAGGUACACUUGGAUUGGGGUGCGGGCAAAGGACUUGUGCGGGUGGGAAUUAUGGAUAAUUUGCCAGCUGAAGUUUUGCUGGGGAACGACCUGGGACCUAUGACCUCAGCUUAUGCUCCUUCUUUCAACGCUGAGGCUCAUCCCGUGACGACCCGGUCUCAAGCAGGACGAGUACCCUUCACCAGUGCGGGAGGCUCAGGUGAGACUUAACUCGACUGUGACCCCCCCUCCUACCCCUUUGCCCUGGGACACCCCUGCAGCCUUUGAGGCUGAGACCAAAACUGACCCGACGCUCCAAAAAUAUAGGGAAAGGGCUGAUACAGGGGCUGGGGGACCAGGAGACUUUUGCGUGGGAACAGGGCCGACUGUACCGACACACCGAGAAAAAGGGCCACCGGAGGAGACAGUUAGUAAUACCCCACAAGUAUAGGCGGGAUAUCCUCCGGGUGGGUCAUGAUAUUCCCUUAGCCGGGCACUUGGCAGUAACCCGUACCCUGCACCGUAUUACCCAUACCUUGUUCUGGCCAGGAGUACAUGCAGAUGUGAGGUCCUAUUGUAAUACGUGUGAGGUGUGCCAACGGGUAGGCAAACGAGGAGACCACCCCAAGGCACACCUCGUUAACAUGCCCAUUAUCGACGAGCCGUUUAGCCGGGUAGCCAUUGACUUAGUUGGGCCCCUGGCCACCCCUAGUCCCUCGGGCAAGAGAUACAUUCUUACCAUAGUGGACUAUGCUACCCGCUACCCAGAAGCUGUAGCUUUAUCUAAUAUCCAGGCAGACACGGUGGCUAAUGCAUUAGUGCAGGUGUUUUCUCGGGUAGGAUUCCCUAGGGAGAUCCUAUCAGACAGGGGAUCACAGUUCACGGCAGAACUGACCCAGCAGCUAUGGCACGUUUGCAAAAUAAAAUCCCUUCUUAGCUCCCCGUACCACCCCCAGACCUAUGUGAGCGGUUCAACGGAACCCUCAAGCAGAUGUUAAAAACCUUUACCCAGGAGUAUAGGGACUGGGAACGUUUCCUGACGCACCUCCUGUUCGCUUACCGGGAAGUGCCCCAGGAAACCAGCGGGUUCUCCCCCUUUGAGCUGUUAUACGGUCGCAAGGUACGGGGUCCCCUGAACCUGAUCCGUGAGCACUGGGAGGGAGAGACAGAGAACGCCGGGGUCCCCAUCGUGCCUUACGUACUAGAGCUCAGGGACCGAAUGGAGCAAUUGGCUAAGUCAGUCCAGGCCAACCUCCAGGCGGCCCAGGGGCGACAGAAAGUCUGGUACGACCGGGGGGGCACGGCGGAGAAGCUUCUGUCUCGGACAGAAAGUCAUGGUACUAAAACCAGUUAAGGCAGACAAGCUACAAGCAGCCUGGCAGGGUCCCUACCAGAUAGUAGAGAAGAGAGGAGACACCACUUAUGUAAUUGCCAGCUGUCACAAUGAAAACUUAAGGAAGAUAUUUCAUGUGAACAUGUUGAAGGAAUACUUGCAGAGACCCGAGGAAGUGGUAGCCAUAUGUAGCCCUGCACACGAGGACGCAGAUAGUCUCCCUAUACCCGACCUAUUAACCUCUAACUCCCCGGUUGAAAUAGUGAGCCAAGUGCAGAUCGGGGACAGACUUAGCCAAGUUGAGAGGGAGCAGCUACACAAACUGCUCCGAGAGAAACAAGCCAUGUUCUCCCAAGAGCCAGGGUACACUGAGCUGACCACUCACCAAGUAGAUACCCCCGGCCAAAACCCUUUGAGACAGGCGUCCUACCGAAUUCCGGAGGCAGUAAGGACAGGCAUGAAAAAGGAAAUAGACGAGAUGCUGCGACUAGGGGUCAUUGAAGCUUCCGAUAGUCCCUGGGCAUCCCCGGUGGUGCUGGUUCCCAAAAAGGACGGCACCACCAGAUUCUGUGUGGACUACCGGAAACUCAGUGACAAAACUGUCACCGAUGCCUACCCCAUGCCCAGAGUGGAUGAGCUACUAGAUCGCAUAGCCAGGGGGAACUACCUAACUACCAUUGACCUCUGUAAGGGUUACUGGCAAAUCCCCCUGGCCAGGGAGGCUGUCCCCAAGUCGGCCUUCGUCACCCCGUUCGGUCUGUACCACUUUAAGGUCAUGCCGUUCGGGAUGAAGAAUGCCCCCGCUACCUUCCAGCGCUUGAUGGACAGACUCCUUGAUGGCUUCCAGGAGUUUGCCUGCGCAUAUCUGGACGACAUAGCGAUCCACAGUGAAUCCUGGGAAGAACACUUGGCUCAUGUGGGAAUAGUCCUAGACCAGAUUCGAGCCGCCGGCCUGACGCUAAAGCCUGAAAAAUGUCACUUUGGGAUGGCUGAGGUUCAGUACCUGGGUCACCGGUUAGGCUGUGGGAAACAACGACCAGAGCCAGCUAAAAUAGAAGCGGUUGCCAACUGGCCCACUCCCCACACUAAGACCCAAGUGCUAGCCUUUCUGGGUACCGCUGGGUACUACAGAAAAUUUGUACCGGAGUAUAGCGCCAUUGCCAAACCCCUGACCGACCUGACAAAGAAAAACCUUCCCCGACAGGUCCUGUGGUCUCCCCACUGUGAAACGGCUUUCCAAGCCCUCAAAACUGCGUUGAUUAAUGCUCCUGUCUUGGCUGCCCCAGCCCCUAAUCGUCGUUUUAUUGUCCAUACAGACGCUUCCAUGUUCGGGCUGGGAGCUGUCCUCAGCCAAGUAGGAGAUGAUGGGAAAGAACACCCGAUUGCCUACAUCAGUCGAAAACUCCUACCACGCGAAGUCAGCUAUGCAGCGGUAGAAAAGGAGUGUUUGGCUCUGGUGUGGGCACUAAAGAAGUUCACUCUAGUUACAGACCAUAACCCGCUGGUGUGGCUCAACCGGGUCGCUGGGGACAAUGGCAGAUUGUUACGCUGGAGCUUAUCCCUACAACCCUUUAAUUUCACAAUCACCUACCGACCUGGGAAGCAGAACGGCAAUGCAGACGGAUUAUCCCGGCAAACAGAUCUCAGCCCAGCAUAACCCCACGAGUCUGGACAGCCUUAGUCUGCCCCGAAAAGGGGUCAGACAGUGUCUGCCAGAGUGUUCCACAAAGAGGGAGCAUUGUUACAAAAGACUAGAAAUCACUAUGUUGCUGUUUUAACUCACCGAUUGAUACUGUUUGCCACUGCAUAAGUUAAGCAGAAAACCACACGAAUGGAUUACGCGAACCCUUAUGAAGGCUCCAUUCGUGGUACGAACGGGGGACCCCCCAGAAACUGGCGUGUCCCGCCACUUAACCCCGUCACCCCGCAAACUACCGAACGGUCGACCACCCGGCCCGCGGAGUGUGGCAGCCAUUAACCACCCAGGUGGCUGCGGUUUGCGGUUAACCACAACGUAAUUGAUAUGCCUGGGGGCAUCGACGUUCGCACCCAAAGUACCGAAGGGAAAAUACCGAACUAUCCACCGAACGACGACCCCCUACAGCGGGUCGCGUGGCGCUCAUUAACUGUGGUUUCUGCGGUUAACCGCAGGUCAAGUACCCUGCUCCCAGGUGGUCCUCAUUCUCUUACCGAACGAGCCCACUACCAGACAGACAGCGGGACUUCGCAUGAACUGAUACCGAGUUUAGUUCCACGAGUUAGACACGAAGUCCCGCUGCUCGCUAAACCAGCAGAAAACAUGGCCGCCAACAAAGACUAACAAUCUCAAAAUGCCGAACGGACUUUAUACGGCAGAAACAGUACACUCUGUUCGUGGGAUUAGAGUGCCAUUCGCCUGUUUUAUCUAUACGAACGCGAGCCUUCAGAUGAAUGGUAGAAUGAAUGGUUUUCCUGUAAUAAUGUACAAGUUAUGGAUUUUUAUGUAGUUUUCUGGGACAUAAUAAAACGUGGUCUUUUGUGCGCUUGGAGAUAAUUAGACUGUAAAACCGUUGGCCUCAUUAUCUCCAAGCUGGGCGGGUACUAAUUCAAAUGAUACAGUGUACUGUGAUUGGUUACCUGUUUGUACUGUACCUGUAUUCCAUCAGGUCCACAGGGGGCUGUCCUUGGACCUGAGGAAUCACAUAAAUUACCAUGCUAUGUGCCAGUAAAGCCAGUUCGUUUUGACCCUCAACUUGCAGCCUCGACUCAUGUUGUAGGGAUCCGGGAUAUUGAUGCUCAUAUCGUGCUUGGGGAUAUUCUACAUUUGCAGCCUACUACCCAAAGACCUCCGUUCGACUCUCUGCAGCGGGAACCAGGACAUCCAAGCGAUCAACCCUCCUGCUAGACCGGGGGCAAUCGUAACAGGGUGACGAAGGCCAAUUUCGGAAUAGCGUCCUCGGAUAGGGGAAUUUGCCAGUAGCCCUUACAUAAGUCUAUUGUUGUCAGAUAUUUCCCCCUAGCCAUCCGAUCCAACAGUUCGCCUACCAGGGGUAUCGUUGAGUCGUCGGUAGUCUACGCAGAAGCGGGUCGUGCCGUCCCGCUUCGGCACUAGCACUACCGGCGAAGCCCAAGGACUUUCGGAAUGUUCAAUGACCCCUAAGCGUAGCAUUUCAUUUAUUUCCCUCCGCAUUCUCUUCUUGGAAUGCCUCAGGGAUGCGGUAGGGGGGCUGCUGCAAGGGAGCCUAGCCUGGGGUCUCGACCCUGUGGACGGCUAAUCUCGUGUACCCGGGCACCCGAGAGAACGUAGCCUGUUUGGCUUCCAGAAGGGCAAUCGCCAGGGCCCGUUCCAGUGGUCCCAGCCGUUCCCCCAACUGUACCAACUCUAUAGCCCAUAACCUCUGGUCGCCCUCCAAUAGAUCCGGUAGGGGUAGGGUGUCUAGAUCCUCGGAUGGUGGCACACACACGGCUGCCACCUCCUUUUCUCUACCCAUGUAUUCCUUCAGCAUGUUGAUGUGGAAUGUGCGCUUUACAUUCUCAUCAUCACAGCUGGCUACCGUGUACGUAGUGUCACAUACUUUCUCAAUAAUUUUGUAGGGUCCCUGCCAGGCAGCCUGUAGUUUGUCCCGUCGGACUGGCUUAAGUAUCAUAACUCGCUGUUCUACCUGAAAACUACGGUGCCUGGCCUUCUGGUCGUACCAUACCCGCUGGCGCUGCUGAGCCGACUGGAGGUUUUCAUGCACCAUCUGGGUCAACGCCUCCAUACGGUCCCUCAGUUCCAGCACAUAUGGCACCACACAGGGGUCCCUGCUGACUCUGUGGCUCCCUCCCAAUGCUUUGAAUGCACUGAAGGGAAUUUUCCAUGGUUCGGGGUUAAAGCUGGAACUGCUCGGUGCGACCGCUGUAGUUCUCUGCGCCUCCACUAAGCGGAUUUGUAAUUCCCGUCGCUUAUUCGCAUUUUCAUUCACACUGUCAAUUAUGCGAAGGAUGAUUUCUGGUGCAGGGUUUAGCCCCAACAGCGCCAGCCGCUCCCUCAUUUCUCGGUCCACUUCACUUUCUUCUGCACGAACAGCCGGAGUUGCCGCAGCCACGCUUUCCCUGUCCAGCUCCAUUAGUUCGCUUACAAUACAGCACUUGGUCUUAUUGCUGCCGCUGCCCCUUGAACCUGCAAUAGGUCUUUCAGGGUGUUGCACUUGAACAGUAUUCAUGCAGUAAAAAAAACUCCUGCUCUGAGGAAAACAAACUGACAGUAAAAAGGGUCAGACAGAGUUUGAAAAUAUGACAGUUAUUAAGGGUUUAAACUGGUGUUCUAAGGGGGGGGGACAAAACAGUCAAACUAAGUCCAUAAACCAGAGGUUUUCUUCACUUAUACCAUAUGCAGGGCAGUAAUAAGUUUAAUGUGCCAGGCAUGGACUCCAUCUCCCACAACCUAAAGCUUUAGGUUUAGGAUGAAAAUGAUCAAAACUAUGUAAAUAAAUGUUCUUGGUCAUAUAUCCCAAAUAUUAAUGUUUUAAUACUUAUUAUAUUAAAUGAAAUGUUAUACAAGACUCUUGUCUUACAUGCUUCCCUAACUAAGGGUUUUCUGUGUACAUUCCCCUGUUCUAUUCAUGCCAUAUUCAGUGACAAAUUGGUCAUAUUAUACUAUUAAAUUAAAAUACCACUGUUCCUGCCUUCCUGCCCACCAACUAAGCAAUACAUUAUAUUUGGUACCUAGUUUCAAUGUUCAAACAAAAGUUAGACAUACAACUUGUCACCUUAAAUACACUAGGAAAGAUGUAAUAUAAGUUAAGAAAAGUAGGCAUGUGUUUUAACGAAUCAGUUUACAGAGGCCUAAUAACAUCAUUUUGUGUGCACUACACCGCUAAUAUGACAGAGUGGGGCAGAUUCGCUUAUACUGGGCAGUGGAAGGCGGACUUAGGGGAGACCUUAGAAGGAUCUGAAUGGCAGGACAUAUGGGAGGCUGACAAAACCACCUCGAUUUGCAACUCAAUACAGGAACAGUUCUGUACAAGACCAUGUUUCUCUGGUACACAAUGCCGGUCCAGCUGUACAACACGCAGAAAACUCCAGAUGACCUUUGCUGGUGGAGAUGUGGACAUAAUGAUACAUAUUUCCACAUGUGGUGAGGCUGCACAGUUGAAGAUACCUUUUGUAGAGGGGUGGGAGACUUUUAAGCCCAGGUGCUCCAGCAGAACAUUAAGAUUGACGCUUGAGUCUUUUUACUGUCUAGGCCAAAAAAAACGACUGGACGAAACCAGAACAUAAAUUGACUUUUAGCUGCCAGAAACAUGCCUGAAACCAGAAACUCCUUCCAUCAACCUUGUAAUACAAAAUUAAAGAUACCUGCCUUAUGGAAAAACAUAUAGCACAAGUCAGGGGAACUUCUAGGACAUUUAAAAGAGUUUGGGAACUGUAGCUAACUAGUGAUUUGAAUGAUUAGAGUUUGGGAGGGGAUUGCUUAUUGCUCCCCCACUUCGGCUAACAUUCUCACCAUUCCCACCUUUCCAAACACGGAUCCCUAGACUUUGUCUUGCAAGCAAACAUCAUUUUUGGCACCACAUAGUCCACUGCCCACCUCAACAAUUGAAUAUCCCAUUGCUCUUUGGUACAACUUCUAUAUGAGGACCCAUCUCUAUUUCUCUCUGUUGCUCUUUUUUAAUAUACUUCCACUAUCUUUAUCUAUGAGAUACGCUUACAAAAAAGGGUGGAGUUCAUACUUUACCUAGGUUGCUUAUCACUUUAUGAUACUAUCUGAUCUUGCCUCAUUAGCAUGAAGCACAUGCUUUUUAAUUUUUCUUUAUUACAUCGUUUUUAAGUUUUGUUAAAACCAUUAGUGAUGUCUGCAUAACUUAAAAUAUGUAAAUGUCAAUGCUUGGAUUACUCUCUACUUGAUAUGAUGUAUCACUGUUUUAUUUUUCAAUUAUUGUAAACAAUUUUGAGCAACUCGGAUGUUGCAACACCCAGACUUUUUAUUGUUUUUCUUUAUUGUGUGAGUGUGAUAACAAGCUGUAUAAUUUUGUCAAUACAAAAAUAAAGAAUGUAAAAAAAGUAGGAGUAACUCUAUAAAAAAGAAAUACAAAACUGCAUAAAAAUAGUGUAAUUUGAAAAUAAAUAUAGCUGCUAUCUACAAUGUGUAUGUAAUCAACUCACAAGAUGGGGAGCAUUUUAAAACACUCAAAAUAUAUGUUCUCAAUUCAGAUUUUUGCUAUUUCAAAUGUACAUCCUCAUUUUUUGUAAUUAUUAUGCAUACAUACUCCCAUAGUGUAGUAUGUACAAGCAAGCAUUGUAUGUAAAAAGUUAAAAGAAAGUGGGUGGAGCCAACUGAAGACUAGAACAAUCACACCCAUUUGAAAUCUUGAUACCUAAAUAAAGUAGCUUUCAGGUGGAAUCUUGGCAAAUAUAAGGCUGAAAUACCAGCAGGGUAACAUGGAUUGCAAAUCUAAAAUGGAAAAGAAGGUAAAGUGCUUAAUAGCCAACACAUUGAGGAUCUUCUCUGUGGUGCUCAACAGACAGCAUGGACCAAUAUAGUGCUGGGAGAUGAAGGGUCCUCCUUCUCCUCUGAAGAUCUUUCCUUUGAUCCAGGUGUGGGGCAUCAAUGAGUAUGGUACCAUUUGCUGCAGCCACAGCUUCAGGAGACAGGGAUCCGGUCACUGCAGCCCUCCUGAAAUCUAUGCUGGCUGAACUUCAGCUCCGAUAUAGCUAGCUUUCGGCCUCACUCGAUGGAACAAACACAACACUUACCCAGCUGAAAGCCACCACUACUGCAGGUUAACCACUGUGAAGCAAAAACUGGAGGACAGGCCCGGACUGGCCAUAGGGCACACCGGGCAAAUGCCCGGUGGGCCGCGGUGGCCAUGGGCCGAGGCCGGCAGGGGAGGUCCCAGGAUCUCCCCUGCCGGUCUAUGCAGGGCCGGCACUAUCCGAGCGCCGGCCCCGCUGUUUGCCAUGGAGGGCCGGUGGGGAGAUCAAAGAUCUCCCUCACCGGCCCAUUUAAACAGACCUGCGGCUGGGGAGGGAGGGAGAGGACCCUGCGGAGUUCUAUCUUAUAGCUCCGCCGGGUUCCUCUCACGAGAUCCGGCGCGUUGCCAUGGCAACGUGCCGAUCUCGCGAGAGUGAACUCUAGCCCUCAGGCUAGAGUUCACUCACCACUGGACCACCAGGGAUGAUGUCACCGUGCCGGUCCCCCUCCUCCCAGCUACCACGUGCCUGUCCCCCCUCCCAGGCUAAAGGUAAGAGGGAGGGGGGGGGAUUUAAUGCCUACUUAGUUUUUUGUUUUUUUUUCUUUAUUUAUCCACCAUAGUUUUUUAUUUGUUUGUUUACCCCCCCCACACACACACACACACAUUUAUACACAGCACUCUCACACAUCACACUCUGCACUCUCACACAUCACACUCAGCACUCUCACACACACAUCACACUCUGCACUCUCACACACAUCACACUCUGCACUCUCCCACUCAGCACUCUCCCACUCAACACUCUCACACACAUCAUACACAGCACUCUCACACACAUCAUACACAGCACUCUCACACUCUGAACUCUCACACACAUCAUACACAGCACUCUCCCACUCAGCACUCAGCACACUCAGCACUCUCACACACAUCAUACACAGCACUCUCACACACAUCAUACACAGCACUCUCACACUCUGAACUCUCACACACAUCAUACACAGCACUCUCACACACAUCAUACACAGCACUCUCACACUCAGCACUCUCACACACAUCAUACACAGCACUCUCACACAUCACACUCAGCACUCUCACACACAUCAUACACAGCACUCUCACACACAUCAUACACAGCACUCUCACACUCAGCACUCUCACAUGCAUCAUACACAGCACUCUCACACUCAGCACUCUCACACACAUCAUACACAGCACUCUCACACACAGCAUUCUCACACACAUCACACUCUGCACUCUCACACACAUCAUACACAGCACUCUCACACACAUCAUACACAGCACUCUCACACACAUCACACUCUGCACUCACACACAUCACACUCUGCACUCACACACAUCACACAUCACACUCUGCACUCACACACAUAACACACACAGCACUCUCACACACAACAAACACAGCACUCACACACAACAAACACAGCACUCUCACACAUACACAGCACUAUCACACACAGCACUCUCACACAUCACUCUCAAAGACAUAACACUCAGCACUCACAACACUCUCACACCCACACACACAGCACCCUCACACAAAUCAAUCACAUACAGCACCCACACAUACAGCACCCUCACACACACAACACCCUCACACAGCACCCACACCUCACACACAGGAUCCAUCACACACACAUACUGCACCCCUCACAUACACACACAACCCCCCGAUACACUGCAUCACACACAUACACAAUAUACACACUAGAUCCCUAUAUACACUCUGAAUCCAUUAUAUAUGCACGCUCACUAGAUCUCCUAUACAUAUUCUGGGUCCUUCAAACACACACACACUCUGGAUCCCCUAUACGCACACUAGAUUCCUUGUAAGCAAACACAUACUACAUUCCCUGAACACACACUCUCUACAAACACUACAUCACCUACACACACACACACACACACACACACACACACUAUAGCCUGUAUACAUACACUUGCUACAUCCCCUAAACACACAUUCUCUAAAGCCCCUAGCCACAUAUGCAUUACAUUACACCACAAACACAACACGACUAAAACCGACCUUAUUACACAAUACCAAACCACGACCAGCUCACUCUGCACACACGCAAUACCCCAAGCAGGCUCCAAACACAUGCACAAUACUCUUUCCUGGCCCUUUUGUCUCCUGGUAUCCAUUUAUAGAGAUACCAGAGACAAGUUGCAAGGAAACACAGUGCAAGCAUGUUAUUAAAUUUGCUUGCACUGUGCAGAACAAAUACAGGGCUUUUUUUCUCAUGCUAGAGCUCUUCAGCAGAGCUCUGUGCAUGGUCUGCCCUGGAAGAGCAUUGAACCAACAUGCUCACUUUGAGAGGGGGCGUGUUUGUCAUGAGUGAUGACAAAACACACCCUCUCUGCCCCGCCCCCUUCUUAGUGGGCCGCUGUGAUAAAAAAAUGCCCGGGCCGAAUCUUUUUCCCAGUCCGGCCCUGCUGGAGGAACUCCAAAAGCAACAGCUCCUUUCCAUCAAAAGAGUAGAGGCUAUGAAAGAAAUGCAGAGAUGCUAUAAUGUGAAGGUUAGACACAUACCAGAGGCUCUGGGCCUUGCUGAUCAACUGCACUUUAUUUGAUGGCUAUUAGCAGCAAUGUAACAACCUAAGCAAGUCAAACCAGUGAAACUGGGUGGCAUGUUUUGCAUACCGAAACCGGUAUUUCCUCAUCAACCUUUCAACCUCAUUAUCCGGUUCCAGUCACUCCAGGACAAGGCUCUACUUCUGGCCGCAGUAUGGGACAAAAUCCUGAUCCACUUUGAAGUCACUACACUACAAUUCUUCCUGGAGCUCACAAGGAACUCUCACAUGGCACAGGAUAUUGAAACCCCUCCUGCAAUACUUAUGCACUGGAGAAGUCCUAUACAGAUGGGGGACCCCAGGAUUUUGGAGUUUGCCCCAUGCUCAGCCAAUGCCACAACAUCCACCCAAGCAGAGACCUGAACUGUUCACUCCUAGGUUCAAUCUGUGAAAAAAAACUCUCUUCCUGUGAGGUAUAAUAAUGUGAAUUGUGUUUAUUGUUUAUGGUUUUUUUAUUAUUCUUUUCACUGCUUUUGUUAUUUACAUUUGCUAAUUGAUUUUAUGGUUAAAUCUUACUUCUCCAAAUUGGAGACGGUUGAAGGCCUUACCAACUUAAUAGCCUUUCUAGUGCCUUAGACAAAAUCUUGGUUCACUGCCUUGGCCUAUGCACUCCCCCACUUUUCCCCCUUAUUCCUAAGCCUGACUAUACAUUGGCAACCCACUACCAGAUGGGGGGGUACUUCCUCUCAGGGGUGCUGGAUAUCUGUUGCAUGUAACUUAUGUUAGCCCUGAGAGGAAUGCUAGAUGACUGCUAAUUUCAUCUUACCUUACUGUGUUUAUACUUAUAAAACCCUCAUUCUAAAAGUCCUCUUGUAUAAGAUUUGUAUAAGAUGCAAAAUUGCUCCCUAUUUUUUUCUGCGUAUGUCUUAUUAUCUGCUCACUCAUGUGAUUAUUGUAUACAUGUGAACUAAGCAAAAAUAAAGAAUUUUAAAAAAAAAAGUUAAAAGUAAGAAUUCAAAAUAAAAUUUUGCACCAUUAUCCUUGUGACAGACUUUGUUGCCACUAUGACAUUUUAGAAUACAAACUGUACCCGACACCCCGUUCGGGAGUGGACUUGCCCAGCCACCCCAGCAGUUAUAUUCCCGACUCCCCUAGUUCAGUGCCUUUGCCUCCCAAAUUCAUCCAAACCCUCGUUGUUGUUCGUGCUUAAAACACUGUGAACAGUAUUCACCUGUUAUAAGGCUCAAAUCUGUUAUAAGGCUCCAGGUGCUUUUUACAUACAGUAAUGAUCCCUUUCCCAAUGUGUCAGGAGAGAGCUUUUUGGAAAAAAUGUACCUGAUAGGGAGAGGAACAAUCACUUCCUGAAAGCCAGAAGGAAUUCCAAUAAUUGUGUACUCAGGAGCCCCAAAGCACCAAAUACCCUGGAACUCUUUUGGGCAUGGACCAUGUGUGCGGCCUGUUAAAUCAUUACCUCAGUGGCGUUUGGUCACUACCUACUACCUCACCCCCUUACCUAUUGUACCUAGUAACUGUUUCUCUACCCGUUCUAGUAUUUCUCUACAUAGGGAUAUCUCUGUGUUACUAGAGCUUCAUCUUAGGACUCCCUUGAUUCAAGGGAUUCCUCUAUUUUUGUCCAAGGAAAAGAGCAUUUGUCACACCAUCCUGGCAGGGAAACUGUCCUCCAAGGCUGCCGAAGCAUUCCGAGCCAUCCUGAACAAUGAGAUCCACAGCUAUGAGAGAGUAAAAGAAGCCCUGCUAGCUCAGUACCUGAUCACCCAGGAGGCAUACCGCUGAAAGUUUAGAGACUUGAAGAAAAGUGACAAAGACUCUUACACAGACUGGGCUUGUCGGAUGCACCAUGCUGCAUCACACUGGAUCAACAGGUGUCAAGUCACUUCUCUCUCUGACAUAUUACAUUUGUCACUUUUUGAGCAGUUUUUCAACCUGUUGCAUCUGGACAAAAAAAGACUGGGUUAGGGUCCCACAUCCCCUUACGAGAGGAAUGGGUUCCAUUCAGAAGUGCCAGUUGGUAGUACCCAGGAAAUAUUGACUGGAGCUCCUGAAAGUGGGGCACGAUGUACCUUUUGCUGGACACCUUGGUAUACGCUCAAUGUCUCAUGAGGUAACUAAGAAUUUCUUCUGGCCUGGGAUAUCCGACAGUACUGCCAACUUGUGACAUUUGUCAGAGAGUUGGGAAAAGUGCUGAUCAUCCUAAGGCAAUACUACUGUCUAUGCUGAUUAGGGAUGUGCAUGGACAAAAAAUUUGGUUCGGUUCUGAAAUUCGUGUAAGUAAAAAAAAUUGCUUUGGCAUUUCGGACUAAUGGCAUUUGGUUCGGUUCAGCACUUCGGUACGGCUGUACAUCGUCACUACGGAACUUCGGUGAUUCGGAACAUCGGCACUUCGGACAUUCGUAAGCAUCCGAAUGUCUCAAUGGCAUGAAAUUCUUACUAAUGUACAUUCGGAACAAAACAAAUUGCACAUGUCUAUUUUAUAUAUCCUCGUACAGGAAAUUAUGUCAUUGCACAAAAGGAAUUAGCUUAUUGGUCAAGAUUCUUGUCAUCAUUCAUAAUUUUCCCUCCCUCUCUCUUGUUUUGCCACUUUUCAGAAAUCCAAAUCACAUCGGCACUUCGAAGCUUUGGCACUUUGGAGCUUCAGCACUUCCGAACUAACGACCUUCUACACUUCAGACAUUCGUAAGCAUCCGAAUGGCAUGAAAUUCAUAAGAAUGUACAUUCAGAAUGAAACAAAUCACACUUAUCUAAUACCGAUUAUAGAGGAACCCUUUAGUAGAGUAGAGUAGACAUAAAAGGCCCCCUAGUUCAGCCUAGUCACUCUGGUAAGAAAUACAUUCUUACUGUAGUAGACUAUGCUACGAGAUACCCAAAAGCAGUGGCUCUAACUAAUUGUCAUGAUUACAGAAUGAUCCAGCACGUAGAAUUGUGUAACACAGCUGACUGAUAGGUAACGUAUACCAGACCUUGGAAUGGCCGGACUAACGUAUCAAAGAAUAGUCAGGAAUAGCCGAGGUCAAGGGAUACAGACCACUAUUGACCUCUGUAAGGGUUUCUGGCAGAUUUCCCUAGACAAAGAUAGCUAAGGAAAGAUAUUCCCAAGUCGGCUUUUGUCACCCCAUUCGACUUAUACCAAUUUUGGUUAAUGCCGUUCGAAAUGAAGAAUGCAGCAAUGUUUCAAGCCCUUAUGGGAUCUUUAUCAAUCUGCUGAUUUCUGAAAACCUUGAGUGCCUGGACUACUUUGUUCUCACUCUACGCCACUAUGUCAUCUAGAUAUGCACACGCAUAGUGUAUACACCAUCCUUUGGAAGGUAGUCAGGGCAAUUUUCAUUCCGAACGACAUAAACCAAAACUGGUAUAAGUUGAACAGGGGGAAACAAAAGCCGACUUGGGGAUAGCUUCCUUGUCUAGGGCAAUACAGCAACAAUUAGAUCCCUUAUGGGAUCUUUAUCAAGCAUGGAUUGAAACGUUGCUGUAUUCGGCAUGUUUUACCAAUAAAUCUGCUGAUUUAUGAAGACCUUGAGUGCCUGGACUACUUUGUUCUCACUAUGUGGAUUAGGGGUUUGCCAGCCCUAGGUACAGUGCACUGAGGUCUACAGGUGAUGAGUGCAGAUCCCUUCUUUGUUUGCAAUCAUAGUGGUUCAUUUAGCCCAUGUAGGGAUGAUUCUGGACAAGAUUAAGGAAGCCGGCUUAACCUUAAAGCCAGACAAGUGUGAAAUCGGUAUGGCUGAAGUACAGUACCUGGGACACUGGGUAAGGUUUGUGAAGCAAUGGCCAAAGACAGCCAAGAUUGAAACCGUGGCUACUAGAGUUGAGCGAACCUGAACUGAAAAGUUCGGGUUUGUAACGAACAUUAGGUUUUUUGGACCCCGGACCCUAACAUAUCACUGUAUGUUCGGGUUGGAGUUCGGUGUUCGGCGAUUUAAUGGCGCGUUUUCAAAGGCUGCAGGGCAGCCAAUCAACAAGCGUUUGACUCGUGUGCCCUUAGAAGACAUCACAGCCAUGCCUACUAAUGGCAUGGCUGUGAUUGGCCAGUGCAGCUUGUGACCCAGCCUCUAUGUAUAAGCUGGAGUCGCAUAGCGCCGCACGCACAUGCGGUCUUAUUAGUGUAGGGAGAGGAUGCUGCCGCUGAUAGGGACAGCUUAGGAAAUAAUUCUGCAAACUAGUACAUUAGUGGGGUAGGGUGUACUUCAUAUCUGAGAGUCACAUAGAAGCUACAAAUACAGCGUUUACAUCAGAGUUUUAAAAAGUAAUUUUUAUUUUGCUGCUAAAUAGUACAUUAGUGGGGUAGUACAUUAGUGGGGUGUACUUCAUAUCUGAGAGUCAAAUAGAAUCGUCAAAUACUGCUGUCACAUUGCAGUUUUAAAACUUAAAAUGUUUUGGGUGCUAAAAAGUACAUUAGUGGGGUGCACUUCAUAUCUGAGAGUCAAAUAGAAGCGUCAAAUACUGCGCUUACUGCGCAGUGGUAAACAUUCUAAUUGUUUUGCUGCUAAACUGCUAAAUAGUAAAUUUUAGGGCCUGUUCUUCAUAUCUGAGAGUCAAAUAGAAGCGUCUAAUAGUGUGCUUACUGCACACUUGUAAACAUUCUAAUUGUUUUGCUGCUAAUCUGCUAAAUAGUACAUUUUGGGGCCUGUUCUUCACAUGUGAGAGUCAAAUCGAAGCGUCUAAUAGUGCGCUUACUGCGCACUUGUAAACAUUCUAAUUGUUUUGCCGCUAAUCUGCUAAAUAGUACAUUUUAGGCCUGUUCUUCAUAUGUGAGAGUCAAAUUGAAGCUCCUAAUAGUGUGCUUUCUGAGUACUUGUAAACAUUCUAAUUGUUUUGCUGCUAAUCUGCUAAAUACUACAUUUUGGGGCAUGCACUUCAUAUCUUAGAGUCAAAUAGAAGCGUCUAAUAGUGUGCUUACAGCGCACUUGUAAAAAUUCUUAUUUUCUGGGUGCUAAUCUGCUAAAUAGUACAUUUUGGGGCCUGUUCUUCAUAUGUGAGAGUCAAAUCAAAGCAUCUAAUAAUGUGCUUACUGCGCACUUGUAAACAUUCUAAUUGUUUUGCUGCUAAUCUGCUAUAUAGUACAUUUUGGGGACUGUUCUUCAUAUGUGAGAGUCAAAUUGAAGCGUCUAAUAGUGUGCUUUCUGUGCACUUGUAAACAUUCUAAUUGUUUUGCUGCUAAUCUGCUGCUUAUUUUUUUUUGGCACUUAAUAGUAUAUUUGGGGUGUUCACUUCAUAUCUGAGAGUCAAAUCGAAGCAGAACUUUGAUUUGAAUUUACUACAUCGGUCACUUGUAAUAUUGUUUCACACCUACAACACUUGCUACACAGAUCUAAGUGAUAGAAAACAGAUUGAUAUUUUCUACACUAGAAACUACCAGAUAACAAGCUGCUAUAUUUAAACCAGUAAUCAAUAGCUAAGAGUUACUACAAUCCCAGCCCACAUUAAGAGAGACAUCCUGGAAGGCAAAGAUGUCAACCUAGCAUCCCUACUAAUUGCCUCCCAGGAUGUGGUUGAAAAUAAUCAGGACUGUAAGAAAUGCACUGCAGGCCGCAAAUGUUAAUUUAUUUGUAUGUCCCAAUAUUUUGUGGGCUACCACAAUUAGAAAACAAAACAAAACAUAAAAUGCAGUGUUGGCUACCUCAUCCUAUAUGUAUGAUGAAGUAUCUGUGGUGGUCAGAUCCAAAGACGCCAGGUUAAACCGGAAACUGACCAUCCCUGAAUUUGUGUUAGCUUUUGGUAUAUUUAGAGUUGUAAUUGUGAAGUGUACCCUAAUAGAAGGGAAUAGUUUAUCGCUACAUGCACAAGCUUGUGGACCUGGGGAACAAAUAUGGUGGGUCGGCUUUUUACGACUACCAUAGGUCUUUUUCCACCAAGGUGUCUGGCGCUCUCUCCCAGUAUGGUACCCGUAUCAACUGGAGCAGACUAGAUACAGAACUAUUCUGUAGACACCUCGCAGGUCUCAAAACACUGGCUUGUGCAUCCUGCUCUUCUACUACUCACACUACUAGUUUUUGAUCUCACACGGCAGCCGACCGUAAUCAGUCACCUAGCACCAGCUAUGCUGGUAGAACUGAGAGAACCACCAGAGACAAACUGGGUCGUCCCAUCAUUUUCUUUGGUAAAUCACAGGUGUGCAAUAAUUUCAAAGUAGGCACAUGUAGCUUUAGUGCAUGCAGGUUAUUGCAUAUUUGUUCACAUUGUUUCAGGGCACAUGCGAAAACCAUGUGUCCAAAUAAAAUUUUCCUUCUAUUUUUCUUUACUUUCAUUACUCCUUGGUGGGCCCUCUUUAUUUACAGGCCUACCAUAUCAUCAGUAUCGGCACACAACAACCGACUUUGCUCUUUUAUACUAUCCUAUGUUCUUACUUGAACCCUACUCCAUAUACAGCUAUUUGCCCCUUACACAAUCAUCAUAUUAGUUAAUGUAAUCAAACCUCAGUAUUUUGAUUUAACAUUAUCCCAUGAAUAUACCAAUACCCCCAUGUACCAGUUUUUCAGGUUUUGUAGGAAGUCAAAGGGGAAAAUAUAAUAGAUAUUUAUUUCAAAGUUGUAAAUUUGAUGAAGUGAUUUGCUGGGCCUACGGUAUUUUGCCAUUGAGACACUAUGGCAACCUGAUUAAUAACAUUCCACCAUUAUGCCACACAAUUCGCUAAAGCAGAAACACAGAGUAUUCCAAAUGGUGUAUUUAGAUGUUUGAUUUAGCCACUUUAUCGUGAAUGCAGGCCUCAUUUAGUGGUUAUACUUUUAUUUGUUUUGUUUUUCUCACAUACAUAAAUUCCAUUUUCACAUGACAUUUCAUAAUCCUAAUGUGUGUUAGUGUAAUUAAACCUCAGUAUUUUUACUUAGCAUCACCAAUAGUUCCCCCCAUGUACCAGUUUUCCAGUUUUUUGGGGGAAGUCACAGGACAAAAUAUAUCAGAUGCUCUUUUCAACUUGUAAAAUUGACAAAGUGAAUUUCUGGGAUUAUGUUGAUUUGAGAGAACAUGGUACCCUAAGAAAGAAGAUUGCCACCAAUGAUGGGAAACCAGUUUUAACAAGUAUCCUAAAUAUAGUAUUUUGAGUUGUUUGAUGUAGCCACUUUAUAAAAGCUGAGCUUAAUAUAAACAGGGACAGGCCAUGUUCUAGGGAUUCCAGAUGUCAGAAUAGUAGGUAUAACAAGCCAAUAAGUUGGUGCAGACAGCUAACAAUGAUUAAUGAGAACAAGUUGAGGUCGGAAAUUCAGAAUAUUAAAACAAACUGACAAAAUCACAUACAGACACUGAGGACCUCCUUGAAAAUGAGAGAAAUCUCAAUGUAUCCUUCCUGAUAGAUAGAUAGAUAGAUAGAUACAUACAUACAUACAUACAUACAUACAUUUAUAAAUAAAUACAUAGUGAUUCAAUGGUCCAGCUCUAUAUGGUAGACUCUGAAACAGUCUGUUAGGCAGAGGACAGAUAGAGAUGGGAAGGAAUGGCAGUAAUAACUGGAGUCCAUUUGAACUCUAUUUUAUAGCAAGCACAACACUUUCUCUGGGUUGACUUUUUACAGGGCGUGGGGGGAAUCGGGAAGAAAAGUGCUUGCCACAAAGUUUCUGGAAUCGGUUGGGGGACAGGAUAUAUAAAAUAUUGGCCAAACUUUUUUUUUAUUAUUGUAUACAACAUAUAUACUUUGUUAUACAUAGUUGUCAUCAGUAUUUUACAAGAAAUAUUUCCCAUUUUCCAAGACAUACUUCACUGAUAUACAAAAGAUAGAUGUGUGUAUAAUUUCUUUAAAAAAAAUAAAUUAUAAUAAGGGAGGGAAAAUAAAAAAGAUAUAUGAAGGGGAAGGGGAAAAGAGGAAACUGGAGCAGGAUAACAUAAUGGUUGAUCAUCAUGUCUUAUUUAAAAACUUGAAAUCAUGAUUGAUUGAUAGAAAUGUAUAUAGUUUAUAUGCUUAUUUUUGUUAUGGUAGGCAUUAUUGAUCAUCUCGAUCGAUGGGUACAGCUGUCUGAUCAUCUACAAAACCUGGUUAUGUAAUUUUCCAAGGGAGCACCUUGUUAUAAUAACCUAAAAAAAAUCUGUUUUUAUCUAUCUAUCCCAUUUGGACCAGGCUUCCUUCCAAAUGUUGUUUUUUUUUUUGUAGUUUAGCCAUUUGUUCAUAAAGUUUGUUUUUUCUACAAUUUAUAUACAUAAUGCUUUAGUUGGAGUGUUUUCUUUCAGCCACUCUCUACCUAUAGCUGUUAAAGCUGCUAUACUUAUAUGAUAUAUUAGAUGUUGUACUAUUAAAGUAAGAUUUUUAGGAAAGAUUUGUAAGCAAAAAUGUUUCAGGGAUAUUAGAAAGCUCCACUCCUGUGCACAUAUAUAUAAUUUUGCUAAUUUCCAUUCAGAAUUGUAUUAAUCUUGGGCAUGAUCACCAAAUAUGGGACAUCUCCAACAUGGACAUCUCCAACAUUUAUCUGAGGCUUGGGGGUUUGCACAUUUAAAUCGAACUGGGACCAUAUACCAUCUACAUAAUAUCUUCCUUGUAAGUUCUAUAUGAUUAAUCCACAUGGUGAGAGAUUUAUGACCUCUCAUAGCUUUCUUCCAUAAGGAGUCGCUUAAGGUGCAUCCCAAGUCUCUUUCCCAAGAUUUAAUAAAAGAUGGAUUAUGAAAACUAGAGUGAGCAAUAUCUUCUGCAAAUAAUAUUGCAGCUAACACAGUUAUAGGUAGGUUGGUCCCUUUUACGGGUUGGUCCCUUUUACGGCAAUGCUUGUCCCAUACUUGAAGUUUGAGAAUUGUAUUAGGAAGCAUAUUAGUAUAUUUUGGGCUGAAUUCGUUGGGUAUCCAUGCAAGUAAUAACAACUCUUGUUUAUUUGAAUGUUGUGCUUCUAUAUAGUCCCAAUAUUUGGAAGCAGUAUGAUUUGAAGAAGACAUUGAAGUGCUCAUAAUAGCUGCUUUAUAAUAAGAGUGUAUGCUUCCUUUUUUAUAAGGUUUAUAUAGUGUGGCAGCCGCUACCCUCGGUCCGUGUGUUGGCCCAUAUGAAAGAGUUAAUUAUGUUUUGUGUCUUUUUGAAAAAGAUAGAUGGAAGAUGUAUAGGAAGCGUUCUGAAUAAAUAUUGAAGUCUUGGAAGGACCAUCAUGUUAGUUGCAGCUAUUCUGCAUAUCCAUGAUUUAUAUUUCCCCUUCCAUUUUUGUAACUGAGUUUUUAUAUCUUUAAGUAAUUGUAACGGCACCCCGAGUAGGGAAGGGGAAACGUCACCAAAGCUGUUAUUUUUGUGAAGAAUGUGAAGUCAGCUACCGAACACUCCUAAGCGGCAAGCAGAAAUCAUACAGAUUAUCCCCCCAAGUAUGAGACGAGGCUCUGUAUUGAGGGUCAAGCAGGAUCUGUUUAAUGGGGGUUACAUGUCAGCCUUUUUUGCAGGUCUUCCAGGCUCCUUCCCAUAUGGUUCUUGUGGAAGACAGAGACAAUGUUUACAUUAGCCAAUCAUAUACAUUUACAAAAUGCAAACACUUCCACACAAACAGUACAACUCUUCCACUCUAUCCUGGAGAUAAUUGGGUUAAGUGCUUGAAGUAACUCAAUUACAUCCAGGCAUGGAGAAUAUCCCCAUUUUACAGUAAUGGUAAAAACACAAAAAAAUACAUAUAUCCAAAUAUACUGUACGGAACCCCCACAUUCAACGUAUCCCCAGAUAGCUUAGAUCUGAGCGCUCAAUAUAACCGAACAGCGCUCAGAUCCCAUACAUGUAGUUCAAUCGCCAUAGAGUUAAAGUCUUGUACAUUGUGUGUUUGACAAAAUGAAUGAGCUCCAUGGGUUGACUAUCUGGUACAGUUCCGUUCGUGCAUUGUCAAUUUACCGAACGGCAUGGUGUUUGUAUGAAUUUGGAACAGAGUGAUGGAUGAUCGGUGAUUUCAGCGUGUUCGUGGGAAUCAGUGUCCGAAAUCAGUUCCAUGAGUUUGACGAUGAACACCGCUGAGCGUUCGACUGUCCAAGAUGGAUGGCGCCACGUGUUCAUUCAUACGAACGAUGACCACCGGGCUGACCGUUCGGAAGUUGGAAGUGUCUGCAGUUAACCACAAUUUUAAUGAGGGCAGAAAGGUUAACGAGCAGCACACUUCCCUGAUGGGUGGCCUGCCAUUUGGUAGUUUGUUCGUAUUUGGAUGAAUGCAAGCAGAAAACAUACGAACAGCCAGAAAUAACCGAACAAACAGAUGAAUCAGGUUUUAAAUAAUAAUCCAAAGGCAGAGAGGUCUGCCACAGUAAUAUCAGAUAAUUUAUUUUAGAUACGUUUGCAAUCAACCUAGUAAAUGCUACCCCUAAAAAUUUAAGAUAAUCUUUGUGCCAAUCGUACGCAAAGGUUUGUGCCAAUCAUACGCAAAGGUUUGCUGCAAGUCUGCCAUUUUGUCUUUAGGAAUAUUUAUGCCCGUAGCUUGUGUUUUACUUAUAUUGAGCUUGUAAUAUGAAUACCUGCUAUAAUUUGUUAAUAUAUUAUGUACAUUAGGUAGGGAGACAUGUGGUUGCUCAAAGGUUAUCAAAAUGUCACCUGCAAAUAAGGUGAGUUUAUAUUCAGAAUCUUUGAUCUUAAUACCAUGAAUAUUUGAAUUUCUUUUAAAUAAAAGUGUCAGGGGUUCUAAGGCUAUUAUAUACAAUAAAGGGGAUAGAGGGAAGCUCUGGUGCAUCCCAUUUGUUAGGGGAAAUUGAUAACACAUAAAACCACUAUUUACAACCUUAGCUGUUGGGUUUGAAUAUGACGCCUUUAUUGCCUUGGGAAUCCACAUUUUUUCAGGACCGCGAGGAGGAAGCCCCAGUGCACCCUGAUGAAUGGGGGGGGGAGGCGCCCUUCUCGCAGCUCAUCAAAAGGUCCAGCACUUUCCUCCUAUCAUCUACUCUCUGUCUAUUCCCACAAACCCUACUUGGUUGCUAUGUAUCAGUUCUGGUUUAAUGCUAGUAAGCUUAGUUUACACUUUUGCCAAUAUCUGAGUUCAAGUGCAAUAAAGGGUGUAAAUUCUAAACUUUAUUUGGAGGUUUAUCAGGUUUAGGGAGGGUGACUAUAUGGGCUGCAAGCAUGUCCUGUGGCAUAGUCCCUGUUUUAAUUAUAUAUUUGAACGCAAGCUCCAAUUUAGGUGCCAGUAUUAAAACAAACUUUUUAUAAUAAAAAUUUAAAAAAACACCUGGCCCUGGAGAUUUGCCACUUGGUAAAAGUUUGAUAACUUGAUUUCAUUUCUUGAGUUGAAAUCGGGAUUGUUAAUGUUUCUUGUUGGGAGUUUGAGAGUUUGGGAAGUUUUAUAGAUGCUAGAAAGUUAUCUAAGUCUACUGAUGUAGGUUGAUGAAGAAAAUUAUAAGGUUUCAGGUUAUAGAGUUGACAAUAAUAAUUAGCUAUUUCAUUAUUAAUGUCAUGUUUCUGAGCAGGUCAGAGAGAAGACUUAUGCCUGGCUUACUUUAGGUAGUUUAUUUAAGUUAUUAGACAUAGUAUGAACAUGAAUAGAAAUUAUAGGAAAAAGAGAGAGAAAACAGAAAUAAAGGGGCGUAGGCAAUAUGCCCUAAAUAGAUUAUAAACAGGAAUGAAAGUAAAUAAUAAAAAAAAAACUAUAGAUAAAAGUAUAGGUUAAAAUAGAAGGACAAAUAAAACAGAACAAAUAUAUUAGAAGAAGUAUUGAUCAAGCAGGAAAAUAUAACCAUAUAAUAGUACUUUGAGACGGAGUCCAGAUUGGUGUUAUGCAGGUAGGUAUGAAGCAGACAAGCUGUAUUGGUCAGGCUGGUAGAAAUCAGGUGGGUAAGAUAAAGUGUACUUCAAGAUGGUAUUGAGCAAGGUUGGAAGUAAGCAAGAUUGAAGAGUAGUUCAGGCUGGUAUUGUACAGGUUUGUAAGUAAGUAGGAUAGAAGCAAAGAAGGUAAAUCCACAGGAGCUGGGAUCUGAAGUGUUUCAGGAUGAGCAUCAACUUCAAUGUAAAGUGAGUUGGGUGUUGCCUUUUUUAGGUUGCUCAAUUAGUCCUGGCAGGUGAUGAUUAUAAGGUCAAUUUUCAGAACUAGAGGCAAGGGAGGCCUGGAACUUGGUUUUAAAGGAACAGAAUAAAUAGAACAAAAAGCCUUGUUUGUCAGGAUAGGAUCCUAACAAUUAAUGUCUUGAGGGUUCAAAAUUGUAUUACUGUUUUUUUGAAACUAUAUUCAAUAUUUUUAAACUUGUUUGUUUCUGUCUAAGCCUAUUUGCCAACAUUUUCCCAGCCCUAUUGCCUUGUGUAUAAUGUGUCUGAGUUUUUGUAGUGCAUAUGCUGAUUUAUUGAGAAGUAGUUCAUUUAAUUGCUUAAUUGUAAUGCCAAUUUUUUGUUGGAGCAUGUUAGAUGGACUUAGAAAAAGAGUGCUAGUAGUAUCCCUAAGAUUACGGAGUAGUGAUAUAUAUAUUUAUUCUGCUUUUUACAUUUAAGGUGAGAGGCUUGGCUUAUUAACAACUCUCUCUUAUGGGCUUGCCAAGAUAUAGUUGGUGUAAUAUCAGGUGUUUCAUUAAGGGUGAAAUAAGAAUUUAUGUUUUCCUCAAGAUAUUUAGUAAAAUCUUCCUCUUGUAAUGAUGUGUCAUUUAAUCGCCAAGAUGUUUGGCCCCUAUGCUGAAAUUUAUCUCGUAACACGACUGACACUGCCGCAUGAUCUGACCAUAAUAUAUUACCUAUCGCAUAUUGUGAUAUAUUGUGACAUUAAUAUGAAAUCAAUCCUAGAAUAUGUUUUAUGGAUUUGGGAAUAAAAGGUAUAGUCUCCAUCCAUAGGGUGAGUCACUCUCCAUACAUCAUAGAGUCCAAAGUCCAUAUUUAGUUUGAUGAUUGCUUUCCUUUGUGAUUACAAGGUUUUAUGUUGAGGCGAAUCCUCAUUAAUUGUGGUGUUAACGCGGAUAUCUAGAACAUAAUUCAUAUUGCUACAUAGAAUUAGGAGAUCUAAUUGAUCUGGGGGGAUUUUAGUUAGAACCUUAAGAAAAAAGUUUCUUUGAUGUUCAUUUGGUCUAGUAAGUAAUGUUAUUUAGUACACGGUGUAAGAAAAGAAAGCAUGCCUGACUAUCUUUUUUUAACGAUAAUAGUUCAAAGGACAAAUAUUUAUUAAUUAAUAUUGAUGCACGUCGUGAUUUAGAUGUAUGAGUGGCAUUAAAUUGUAUUGGGUAGUCAGUGAGACCGAAUUUCAACACUUUGUUUACAAAAUGUGUUUCUUGAACACAUAUCACUUCGAUUUUAUUUUUCUGUGCAUCCUCCAUUAAUACUUGUCUUUUAUGAAGGGUAUUCAAACCUUUUAUGAAGGGUAUUCAAACAUCCAUUCAAACCUUUAGCAUUUUUUGUGUAUAUUUUCAUUAUGGUCUAAAAAGUUGUAUAGCUUAUCUGCGUAACUGAAAUGAAUAUUAAAAUAAAUAUUCUAAUAAAAAUGCACAACUUGACAGGUGAAAGCCAAGAGAAUUGCAAAUUGCAUAAUAAAUUUAUUUUUCUCUGUGAGUAAAUAUUUUGCUUCUUUAUCUAGAUUUUGAGGUGUUUUCUAAAUUCUGUUGAUCAUAGAAAACCCGCAUAUAUAAGCUUAUUAGCUUCAGUAGGGGAAGAAAAAAAACAGGGAUAAUUAAGGAGGAUGUUUUGGAGUUGCCAAAUGCAAAUAAAGUAUAUACAAAUGUUUUAAUAUAACAUCAAGAAAUGGGUAUGGCAUCCCGGUGGCUGCUUUUUUUAUACAUAUGAAUUAAAAAUUACAACCUGGCUGAAAUAGAUUGCAAUUUUCUUGUACUAAUUUUUCACUUCACCAAAUAAGACUGUAUACAUUGUGUAGUCUACAAUGCAAUGCACUGUCCCAGCUGUUCAGCCUUCUGAUUAACACUGGUACUAAACUUUUGUUGCGCAUUGUAGUCAACAUGUAAACAUCUUUCUUUUUUUAAACAUUCUGUGUUUAUUGAGUUUUCAUAGUCAAAAUGCAGUGUUACAGAAAGGAAACUGGUGUUAGGCAAAUCAUUAAUAACAUUCAACAGUUUCUGUUGUUUGUCAAGUACACUGUUUGUUGUCAGGUUAUCAAAGUCAUGCAGUAGAUUAAUGCGUCUCGUUGGUUUGCGUAGCAUGUGUGGUAGUUUGCAUAUGGGGUUUCCGUCUUGUGGCUAGAUUGUUUGCCUGUUUUGGGGUUAUUUUCAGUCAUUACAUUUCAUGUAGGCAACACAUAAUAAAACCAGAUUAUUAUAAAACAUAAAUAUAUGCAUAAUUAUAAAUAGAAACGAUUGUAACCAUUAGUCUCGGGGGUUGAGUUGUGGUUCAACUGAGCUUUCAAGGGGAUUCCAGUUUGGGGUCUCAGUUGUGUGUGUGGGCAUGAUGUGGGUCUGCCUUUUGUAGACCCCAGAUUUGCAGACAGGUACUUACUGGCAAAAAUUGACUUUAAAAAAUAAUUUCAAAUUUUCUUGCAUGUGCAAGAAAACAUCCAUGUAAGAGUGUCAUUUCCAAAAAUUUUAUAGUUUUUCAGAAUGAUACAAUUAAGAGUUUUUCAAAAUAACUGUCAAAUGUUGUGUUACAUUACAUAUGGUGCAGGAAUUGACCUAAAUUAGUGCAUCUAUUAUAUAUUAUUAUAUAUUACUAAUCUAGAAUUUGUGUAACAUAUAGCAUGUGCAUCAGACAAGAACAUACUUUCAUAGCAAUUAAUUCAAAGGAUACAAAGGAUAUUAUUAUGUGCUAUCUAUGAAUAGAACAAGAAAAUUUAAUCAUAAUUAUAGUCCACCAUAUUAUUAAUUAUUAAUCAACCAUGACUUACUUGCAUCUCCAUGGGAACAAGGUCAGACCAACACAGUUAUUUUCCCUUUUGUGAAUUAAUAACCCUAAAAAUAUGAUGUCAAAAGGUGAUAAUUUCCUGAAGACCACCACGCCUCUUUAUGUUCUUGAUAGGAGAUAACUUAUUCACCUAUAUUUGGUUUAUUAUAAUUUUCUUUAGGUUUUUUAUUGACCAGAGAUGAUUUAAUUCAAAUCUCUUUUUCCCAUGGAGACACUGGUUGGCCAUGACAUUUUUCAAACUUCAUCACAUCAGUAUGCUUCAUAAGUCAUUGAAAAGCAUGUAGUAACCAGCUGCAACAGGGGAAAAAAUCAUGAAAAUAAAUUGCAUGUGAAAAAAAAGUCAUAAAAAUUAUUUUUCGAUCUUAUUUUUAUAAAUAUAAGAAUAGACAGAAAAAUACAGUGAGAUAAAAGAACAGAACAGUGUGUAUUACUAGAGUGUAAUCAACCAACACAGUUGUAACAUAACAACUGUAAUUGUUUAACUGAGAAAAGUAAGGUUAAAUUAGUUUGUAUGAACAAUUUAUACAAAUGGUUUAAAGAAACACUGUAGUGUUAGGAAUACAUAUAUGUGUACCAAACACUACAGCCCCGAUGCCCCUUGUCAUUUAGGUCUCCCCCUCUGUAUAAAAGAAAAAAAGUGAAAUAAAUAAAAAUAAAACAUUUUCUCCAGCACCAAGUCAUUCUCGAUGCUGCCAUGACCUUCAACUUGGAUUGCGUCAUCCUGGAGGCAUGCCUAAAGGAUGACAAACCAAACUAAUACUCCUCAUAAAGGAGCAUUGGGGACCUUAGACUCAAGCCCGGCACUCACCAUGAUGUGAAUCAGAUUCUGCAUCAGAAUUCUGAAUCAGAUUCUGCAUCAAUCAUUUAACACAAUGAAAAAUAUCCAUAAAACCCAGUAAAAACAACACCAGUGGUAAAGGUAUAAAUUACCUAAUAAUAUGCAGAAAUAUAAAGAAGAUUCCUCGAAGACAUCUCAAACCAUAAAAUACAUCAUAAAUAAUCUGGAAAUAUAAAAUACAAAAAACUACAAUAGUGAAGUAAGUAGGAACACCAGGUAAAGUGGAAAUAUAAGUUGCAUUCACAAAGGUAGAUGAAAAAAAGGAUGCACUUGUAUGGACGCACCAUGAAUUUCAAUAUGAGUUUCACCACAGUUUUCAUCACAAAAGAACAAAGUCCACAUUAAAAAGUCCUCAAUAUAAGGGAGAAAUAUAAAAAAAUAUAUAUAAAGGGGAAAUAAGAGCAAGAUUCAGUACUAAUAAUAGUAAGCAUUCUCAGAAUGUAUAUUUUGCAUAUAAGCAAACCGCAUAUACUAUAGAAAAUUCAUGUAUGGAUGUGUCCCCAUUGGGUGUGACAUCAAUUGAUAUUUGUAGAUAUCAAUAAAUAGCAUAUGUAAAAACAUAUUUUAAAAAAUAUAUAUAUAAUUCGAUUUUAAAAUGUAUUUAUUGAUUAGUAAAAACUAAUAAAAAUUAAAAUAAUUGAAUUGAAUUAAACGGAUCAUCCAAACAACCAAUUAAAAAGCAACAUAGACAAAUUUUGAGACAAAGAGAGGGUUGGAGGUCACAAAAAACAAAUCAUAUCAAAAUCUACGUUUAAAUCCUCUGGCUUUAACCAUACAUCUGGCUUUAACCAUCCUCUAAAGCAUAACCAUACAUUAAAAAAUAGUUGAUUCUAGAAUAGGAAUUGUGAACAUUAGUGAUGUCGUGAACACAAAAUUUUCGGUUCGCGAAUGGCGAACGCGAACUUCCGCAAAUGUUCGCGAACCGGCGAACUGGGCGAACCGCCAUAGACUUCAAUGGGCAGGCGAAUUUCAAAACACACAGGGACUCUUUCUGGCCACAAUCGUAAUGGAAAAGUUGUUUCAAGGGGACUAACACCUGGACUGUGGCAUGCCGGAGAGGGAUUCAUGGCAAAACUCCCAUGGAAAAUUACACAGUUGAUGCAGAGUCUGGUUUUAAUCCAUAAAGGGCAGAAAUCACCUAACAUUCCUAAAUCACAAUGGAUAUGGAUUGAUACCUGACAUAUGACAUAUUGACACAGAGCAGAAUAGGGACUGUUCCCCCUACAUAGGGUCACUUGGCAGGUAUGGAUUGACACCUGUCCUCAGAGCCCCUGAUACACACUGACACAGAGAAGAAUAGAGACUUUUCCUCCUACAUAGGGUCACUUGGCAGAUAUGGAUUGACACCGGUCCUCAGAGAUCAUGAAACACACUGACACAGAGCAGAAUAGAGACUGUUCCCCCUACAUAGGGUCACUUGGCAGAUAUGGAUUGACACCUGUCCUCAGAGACCAUGAUACACACUAACACAGAGCAGAAUAGAGACUGUUCCCCCUACAUAGGGUCACUUGGCAGAUAUGGAUUGACACCUGUCCUCAGAGACCAUGAUACACACUGACACAGAGCAGAAUAGAGACUGUUCCCCUACAUAGGGUCACUUGGCAGAUAUGGAUUGACACCUGUCCUCAGAGCCCCUGAUACACACUGACACAGAUCAGAAUAGAGACUGUUCCCCCUACAUAGGGUCACUUGGCAGAUAUGGAUUGACACCUGUCCUCAGAGUUCAUGAUACACACUGACACAGAGCAGAAUAGAGACUGUUCCUCCUACAUAGGGUCACUUGGCAGAUAUGGAUUGACACCUGUCCUGAGAGCCCCUGAUACACACUGACACAGAGCAGAAUAGGGAAUGUUACCCCAACAUAGGGUCACUUGGCAGAUAUGGAUUGACACCUGUCCUCAGAGCCCCUGAUACACACUGACACAGAGCAGAAUAGAGACUUUUCCUCCUACAUAGGGUCACUUGGCAGAUAUGGAUUGACACCUGUCCUCAGAGACCAUGAUACACACUGACACAGAGCAGAAUAGAGACUGUUCCUCCUACAUAGGGUCACUUGGCAGAUAUGGAUUGACACCUGUCCUCAGAGCCCCUGAUACACACUGACACAGAGCAGAAUAGAGACUGUUCCUCCUACAUAGGGUCACUUGGCAGAUAUGGAUUGACACCGGUCCUCAGAGAUCAUGAAACACACUAACACAGAGCAGAAUAGAGACUGUUCCCCCUACAUAGGGUCACUUGGCAGAUAUGGAUUGACACCUGUCCUCAGAGCCCCUGAUACACACUGACACAGAGCAGAAUAGAGAAUGUUCCUCCUACAUAGGCUCACUUGGAAGAUAUGGAUUGACACCUGUCCUCAGAGAUCAUGAUACACACUGACACAGAGCAGAAUAGAGACUGUUCUCCCUACAUAGGGUCACUUGGCAGAUAUGGAUUGACACCUGUCCUCAGAGCCCCUGAUACACACUGACACAGAACAGAAUAGAGACUGUUCCUCCUACAUAGGGUCACUUGGCAGAUAUGGAUUGACACCUGUCCUCAGAGACCAUGAUACACACUGACACAGAGCAGAAUAGAGACUGCUCCCCCUACAUAGGGUCACUUGGCAGAUAUGGAUUGACACCUGUCCUCAGAGAUCAUGAUACACACUGACACAGAGUAGAAUAGAGACUGUUUCCCCUACAUAGGGUCACUUGGCAGAUAUGGAUUGACACCUGUCCUCAGAGACCAUGAUACACACUGACACAGAGCAGAAUAGAGACUGUCUCCCCUACAUAGGGUCACUUGGCAGAUAUGGAUUGACACCUGUCCUCAGAGACCAUGAUACACACUGACACAGAGCAGAAUAGAGACUGUUCCCCCUACAUAGGGUCACUUGGCAGAUAUGGAUUGACACCUGUCCUCAGAGACCAUGAUACACACCGACACAGAGCAGAAUAGAGACUGUUCCCCCUACAUAGGGUCACUUGGCAGAUAUGGAUUGACACCUGUCCUAAGGAUCCCUAAUACACACUGACACAGUGCAGAAUAGGGACUGUCCAGUAGGUGGGAGGGUCUGCUAGGGAGGGUGUGCUGCUAAUUGGCUGGAAUGUGUCUGCUGACUGUGAGGUACAAGGUCAAAGUUUACUCAAUGAUGAUGAAUAGGGGGCGGAUCGAACCGCGCAUAUGUUCACCCGCCGUGGCGAACGCGAACAUGCUAUGUUCGCCAGGAACUAUUCGCCAGCGAACCGUUCGGUGCAUCACUAGUGAACAUGGAUUUCUGCACAAAUUGCACAAAUUGUCAUAAAAUGUGAUCUGAUCAUCAUCUAAGUCACAACAAUAAUAACAGCAAGGCUUUUGGAGAUACUUUUAUAACCCUUUCCAGCUUUAUGCAAGUCAACAAUUCUUAAUCGUAGGUCUUCUGAGAGCUCUUUUGUGUGAGGUAUCAUUCACAUCAGGCAAUGCUUCUUGUGAAAAGCAAACCCAGAACUGGUGUGUGUUUUUUAUAGGGCAGGGCAGUUGUAACCAACACCUCCAAUCUCAUCUCAUUGAUUGGACUCCAGUUGGCUGACAUCUCACUCCAAUUAGCUCUUGGAGAUGUCAUUAGUCUAGGGGUUCACAUACUUUUUCCACCUGCACUGUGAAUAUUUACAUGGUGUGUUGAAUAAAAACAUGGCAACAUUUCAUUCUGUGUGUGUUAUUAGUUUAAGCAGACUGUGAUUGUUUAUUGUUGUGACUUAGAUGAUUAUCAGAUCACAUUUUAUGACCAAUUUGUGCAGAAAUCCAUAUCAUUCCAAAGGGUUCACAUACUUUUUCUUGCAACUGUGUAUGUAUAUAUAUAUAUAUAUAUAUAUAUAUACACCAUAUUGUGUAUAUUAUUUAUUAUGUGACCUGAGCUCCAGCGCAGUAUAGAACAGAACUUACUUGUAGAGUUUCUCAGGUACUGAAAUUAUCAUGUAGAUGGUGCAAAUGGCUCCCCAUUGGACUAUAUAUUCUUCAUAUCCUCCCCCAUCCUGGUUCACUCCAUGCUUUCCUUAGGGUUGUUGCAGGGUAUAGAUAAAGGUACCAUAAAAGUAUAUAGUGGUCCAUACACUUGCUACCCCUAGGGUCACAGCAAGUCCAAACCCCCAGUCACUAAAGGGGUCUCUCCAGGGGCUGUGUACUGGAGACUUCCCAAGGGAGAGAGGCUGAACUCCCAAGGGGCUAGAGGAACCAAUCCUCAGGUGAGCCAUAAAAGAAAAAGUUUACAUAGCUUAAGACUAACAUGUCCUAUAGGGAUAGACUGAGCGAGGAAGGGAUAGGAGGGGGUACCUAUACCUUUUAAUUUGAUUAAUUCCUGUCUAGGAAUAGGGAUAGGGAGGAGCUACCCAAUGUUGUGCUGCCAUGGAUAUGGACAGGAAAUAUAUAUAUACACACACACAACUGAAAACUGAGUGCAUAUUUGACAGUGUAUAGUUGAGAGGAUUAUAAAAUAUGUGAGAAAAAAGUCUAUGUUACAUAUUGAUAAACGUUAUUUUUUUUUUCUGCCCAGACAAAAUAUUCAUUUUUGUUUCCAUUAAAUAUAAUGCUAUCUAUGCAUAUUGAAUCAACAAAUACAUGUAAACAUUACUUUCCAUGAUAUCUAGAAUACUUGGAGUCUGGGGGUGGUUUUUCCUGGUAGUGAAGGGGUUUAUUAAUGCACUGAUUAAACCGUUUAGUAGAGAAUGCCUUCUUGUAAAUAAUAAUUUAUUACAACCUAUAUGUACACAUUGUGGUUUUAUAUUAAGGUACAUUAAAAGGAUAAAACGUAAUAUGUAAAGCUUCAUUCUGUUUUUAAGAAUUCUACAAAGUUAGUCUUUUAAAUAUAUUUAAUGGGUCAUGUUGGUUGAUCUUGAAAGUUCAUUAACAUGUUUUCAGUAUCUUGUGAAAUAUCUGUGGUAAAUAUGAUUUCUGAAUACCCACAGCAAAUGUGUCUAUUUGUCAAUGUACUUUAUAACUUCUGCCAUCAUGAGAGAAUCCCCAGCUGUGAAUCUUAGUUUGUUUGAUGUUGUGUGAAGAAAAGGAAACACAGCGUGUGGGCUCUCAAGCAGACAACGUGACUGAGGUAGCUAAGCUUGGUAGUCAAAUGUUGCAUUGCAGGCACUGAGCUAUCAGGUUAAUGUGACAGGGCUUGGAACCCUAAAUUAAAAUUUUAAGGCUAAUGCUAUGCAAGCACAAACAUAUAAAUGUAAUCUAUAUGUCAUAUACACAUAUUUAGAAAUUGGGUUAUUAAUGGGGAAACUAGUAACCUCAUUCCAGUCCUCAUUACAAUAAAUAACAUAGAAUGAACAGUAGCUCAUUUAAUAUUAAUAUAUAAUUACCUUACAAUUGUGCUUGGGGUGCAUUGCUGACUCUUUAUUGACAAAUAAAUAACAAUACUCGUACCUUACAAUUGUGCUUGGGGUGCAUUCCUGACUCUUUAUUGACAAAUAAAUAACAAUACUGGUCAAAGGUAACCUUUAUGCAUAGGAUUUACAAAAUAAAAAUUCAGGAUUCAUUAUUGGAAAUGGUAAUUUAUUAUGAUUGCAAUUCAUUAUGAUUGUAUUUCAUGAAAUUGUGUCAUGACUGUAAAGGCUUAUAUAUUUAAAAAAAGGUAAUUAGUUAAAAAUAAAUGCAUACAUACAUCAUAGACAUUCUUGAAAAUAUUAGAGCUAAUAUUUAAAUUGUAUCUUUAAUGACAAGGGAGAUACAAAUGUGUAAUCUGGUUGAAGCUGGGGUUUUGUAUCCUUCGCUUUGGUUGUCAAAAUUUUGUAAAUCCAUUUAAAUUCAUCCCACCUCACUGAUUAUUAUGUUGACACAUAACAUAAUUAAGUCAAGUGCAGUUGUCACAUAAUCUAAGUUAAGUCAAGUUCACCAUUUCACACAAUAUUUAAUAAGUAUAUACAAUAAACAGGGCAUACAAUUUCCAGCAUCCACUAGGCACUGGCAAGUAUGAAUUCACCCAUGAUGAAUGUGCCAUAAACCCUCCAGGUGUGCAGUGGAGAGUAACUAUUACUGGCUAGUUGCAUAGGACUUAACAUUUUAAGCCAGCCUAAUAAUAUAAAUAUGGAAAUAUAACUGCUCCCCCCUUUUCCCACUCUUCAUUUCUCACUUUAUUGUGAAUAAAAUCAACAUUUAGCAGCUGUUCCCUAACCAUAAUCAUCCUUUUUUUCAAUAGAUUAACUUAUUUACUUUUUUUUUUUUUUAGAGCCAAGGACAGAACACUGAAUCACAAAACAAAUAGUUUAACCAUUGUCCAUUUUGCGAUUCAGCCAUCUGACAAUUCAUAGCUAGGGAUUUUUGAUGAAUCGAGAGAAUAUCCUUUUGUCCUUAACAAACCUUGAUCUCUAUAGCAGUAAGAAAGGGCCAAAAAAUUGUGUUUCCUUGAAAGCAGGAUAAUGUAUAUGCACCAUAUUUAUUCUAGGUAGCACUCUCUGGAUUGUGAUAAGCUGGUUUGCCACAAAUAAUAUACCUUUAUAAUAGGGCACAUCACUAUGGACAUCAGUUUCGACAUAGGUGCAUGAAUUGCAAAAUCUCAAUGUUUAGCCAAAUAGACAGUAUACAGCAACAAGAAAUCACUAUAAUGAGUAACAAGUGAUAAGUAUGGAGUAGUGCCUCUCAAGGUGUUACCUAAUAAAACACCCAAAACAAUAAAGUGAACAAAAAAGUGAGGAGGAACCCAAACUCCCCCCCAAAAAAUAGUGAAUUCCAUUGAAAAGAAUGUGACAAAAAUACAACCUUAUAUAGGUCCAAACUAAUCUAUAAAGGAAAAAACUAUACAUAGUGUAAAAUAGUAUAUACAAAAUAUUUACAUAGGGAGGAGGUAAGUAGAAAACUCAUAAACUUAGAAAUUGCAUCAGACUUUUCCGUGGUAUUCAAUAUAUUUUUUUUUGGAGUUUGGAUUCCUCCUCACUUUUUUGUUCACUUUAGACAAAUAGAAACUCACAGCAUAUGAAAAAUGAACCUUGAAAGGUCUUUAUUAGGACUUUAGUAGGUUUCAUAAAUUCAUAAGGCCUCAGCUCAAAGCAAAGCAUCAUGAUCUAUCCACUAAGGCCACACCCUUGUCUCUUCCCAACGCUACUAUUUGCGUACUCCAACUCUUAACUCUUAGACUUAUUCCCAUUUGGAUCCUACAUAGACUCAAAACAUCUAACAUCUUGUCCUUCCCUGCAUUCUGACCCUAUAAUCACUUUGUAGAAGACUCCUAUUGUCGCUAUAUUUCCAUAUCAUAGUCAUCACAUUCCAACCCCAUUGAAAAAAGUGUAAUUGGAGGAAGUACCGGAAAAUGCAUUUCUAAGUACAAUAAAAUGAAAAAUUAGUGCUCUCUAUCUGAUAAUAGCUACAAUUCACCAACAAUGAGUUCCCAAACCCUUGUGAAAAAAAAAAUCAAAACAGAUAAAAGCAACUGGGUAAAUAGCGCUAGAGAUAUGAAAUACAUACGUAGAGGGAGAGAGCGAUAUCCAAAGAUGUAUAUCUUAAAAUAAAAAGGACACAAUAAUAGUGCAAUAUGCAAUUACAAUAGUGCAGAUAUUUGAAUAGUGCCAAAUAUUGCUAGAUGCUAUAUAAGGUCUAUUACUUGAGCCUGGAUGGAAAAAUCCCCAUCUAAGGAUCUUUGUAGAUAUCAGCACUACUUGACUCGCAAGUGGGUAGAGGUUAUCAUAUAUAAAGAGAAACAAAAUAAACCCAGUAGUACAGUAUGUAGGGCAACAAUAAUAGAAAAAAUGAUAAAACCUACUUACAUCACCUAGAGCAAUGACCUGUUCUAGUGUGUAGAACUUUAGGUGGAACAAUCCCCACUUAGAGAUACACGUGGACCCGGAUCAGCAGCAGAAAACUGGAUGUGAGGUGAGUAUAUAAAUGACUGGGUAUAUAUAUAUAGAAUUUAAAAAAAGUUCUUUAUUAUUAAAAUAAGUAAAUAAACACAAAAUUAAAAAGUGGUGAAUAAGUGGUAAAUAAAAAACAGUUCUAUGGUAUAGUCCUCCCUCCUCCUCACCUGAUGCAUUUUGCCAAAGCUUUAUCAAAAGUCCACUUUUGCACUAUUAUUGUGUACUUUUUAUUUUAAGAUAAAUAUCUUUGGAUAUCACUCUCUCUCUCUACAAAUGUAAUUCAUAUCGCUAGCGCUGUUCACCUAGUUGCUUUUAUCUAUGCAUUUCUAAGUAUUGGUGCUGUCGUAAAGACCAAAAAAUCUAAAUACAGAUAAAGGAAUAGCGCAUACACAAAAACAAAAUGCAGCUUUACAUUUUACAAGGCUACUUAAAAUCCCCAAUCAUGACAAACAAAUAUGUGUCACGGUACCCCAAUAUCGAUAGAUCCCACACUCAUUUUAAAAUGGGAGUUUAACAUGCUAACUUUCAAUACAUACUGUGUUAACUGUUUCCAGAGAAUCCUCAAUUUAUGUUUUCCUGUGGAAAGGGAGGCUCAUUACUAACAACAAAGUGAAAAUAUAAUGGAAUUCAAUAAAAACAGUGGAUACAAUAACUAAUUGGGCACUAUCCUAGUGCAAUACAUUAAAUUAAUUUCAAUAUUUGUUUUCCACCUCUAAUGUCAUUUUUAUGUCAGUGUAUAUUAUGAUUCUAGGUGUGAUAUAAUAGGUCAACUAAGGAUAAUUUAAAUGUAGGGAAUUGUAUUUGUUUGAUAAAGUUAAAUUCUAAGAUGUACUAUUUAACAUAUUAUAUUUAACGCUAUUUUGUUUAUUCUAAUUAUUAUGUGUUAAACCAAAAGAAGAAAAUAGUGAUCAAUCCUGAGCAUACUAUUACUAUGAUCCUUUUGAAACAUUAGCAAUUAGUGAAUGAGAUCCAAAGAGUGCACAAACAACAUUAUAUAUUUUGUUAAUUCAGUUCUUGACAGCUUAUGUAAAUGCUAGUUUACAACUUGACCACAAACAUAGUUAAGAGCAACUUUUAAUAUAAAUCUUCAUUGAGGGUGUUAUAAUAGGAUUGUGAGUUAUCCCAAAAUGUUAUCAUCUGGCAUUUAAGAAGGCUGAUGAACUCUAACACUGUCUGUGUUCAUUAAAACCGAGAUCUUUAUCAACUAUGUGACUAUAUAAUUACAAUCAAAUUAUGAAAUCAUCUGUGUUGAACUGUACAGAUCACUGAGCUUUUAUCUUAAAAUAUUUAGAGAAUGAUCUCAGCAACGCUUAGCCUACCAGUUGCAUUCCAUUUCCAAGUUUUUAGUUACUCACAGUAGGGUAUUUCAGAUAUAUUUAAGAAAUACAAAUAUUUAAAUACAGGGAUAUAGUUAGGAUGGUAAUACAAGGCCCAAGGGUGCGUUUUAUGGCAUCUCACAAAUGGGUAAUUAUGCACGAAACAGGUAAAUAUUUGUGAAGGGAGCCUAUCCUCACGUUUUUAGGCCUGAACAUGGGAAAUAGCCAAAUGCUAUUUCCCAUGUUAUGCUUAUGUGGACGUGCCGGUCUUGUGACCGGAAGCCGGGUACCGAGACCGGUAAGAAGCCGGGUGGCAGGCACGGAGGUCGGAGGCAGAGGAAACUGCUGGCGACAGGACUCCUGCUGGAAGCUUACAUUUUUUGGCGGGAACUUUGGACCGGAAGUGCUGGUUGCUAAGGAGAAGUCAAACAGCUUGAAUAACAGAGGUGGGUAGGGUCUAGGAGUUUAAAUGGGGGCCAUAACUCCUCCCACAAAUUCAGGUCUAAUGUCCUUUUAACACAUAUGAAAACCUCUUCCACCUGAAGUCUGUGGAUAGUUAAUCCAAUGUUAUACAAAAAUCUGCACACCAAUCAAGCCAUAAGACUUGCUUUUCCCACAGAAAUCACAAAUCUGCAGUGAUAUUACUAGCGCAAAGGAUUCUGGGUGGUCAUAUACAAACUAGCUUAACAAAGAAUGCCUCAUUCCAUUUUAAACAUGGAUUCCUUUUAGUCUGUGUUUGCUGUAUACAACAGCUAGGAACACAACUUAGGAAAAGAUGCAAAGCCAGUAAACCACUCAUGGAUAGCUGUUUCGUUGUUAAUGCAACUCAUCAGCAUGAGGUUGGUUACUGGUUUGCUUAUUGAGGCUUGGUAGUGCUUGGGAAGCAAAAUCCAAAUAGGUUAGGGUGGGGAAAAAUUGUGAUUGAAAAUCCCUUCCACCUGAAGUCUGUGGAUAGUUAAUCCAAUGUUAAACAAAAAUCUGCACACCAGUCAAGCCAUAAGACAGUGAUGUUACUACCGCAAAGGAUUCUGGGUGGGCAUAUAUCCUUUGCGGUAGUAACAUCACUGCAGAUUUGUGAUUUCUGUGGGAAAAGCAAGUCUUAUGGCUUGACCGGUGUGCAGAUUUUGUUUAACAUUGGAUUAACUAUCCACAGACUUCAGGUGGAAGAGGUUUUCAAUAGAGUUGAGCGGACACCUGGAUGUCCGGGUCCAGCGGGUACUUUGAAAAACAGUCUGGGUUCAGGCUCGAACUUGACCCCGAACCCCAUUGAAGUCAAUGGGGACCCGAACGUUUGGGCACAAAAAUGGCUCUAAAAAAAUUCCUGGAAAGGGCUUGAGGGGUGCAAAAUGAAGUAAAAUGGGGGUAAGAGUAGGACAAGUGCCCUGCAAACAAAUGUGGAUAGGGAAAUCACUUAAAAAUAACAUAAAAUAAGCAGCUGCUUAGUAGAUAACUCCCUAAUUCCCACGGUAUUAGAGAGCUAUCUACCAAAAGGCUGAAAGACCUAAAUUGGUCUUUCAGUCACAUUUACUAAUGCUAAGUAAAGAUUACUUAGUAUUAUUAAAUUCAGCCCCUACUCGCUAUACUGCCAGUGGCUGCUCACUGUUAAAAAAACAACAAAAAAAACCUAUUGCCCCACCCCUGUGCGAUGGGUGGGGGCCCUAAAUAAGAAUGUGGAGGGGGGACAUAAUUUCCUCCCCCAUGGCCCCCACCCCUGCGCAGUGGUUGGGGGCCCUAAAUAACAAUUAGGGGGUCCUACUGUCCUCCCCCACCCGGCCCCCACCCCUGAGCGUUGGGUGGGGGUCAUAAAUAAAAAUUCCCCCCAGGUGACUAGGGGUCCUCAAACCCCUAGUCACCCCCUCCCCCCAAAAAAAUUACCCCUACCUACCACCCUCAUUCUAAAAAUAAUGAGGGGGUCCCUUGUCUAAAUACCUGUUAAAAAAAAAAUAGACUUACUAUAUGUCUUCUUUCUUAUAAAAUCCCCAAAUAACCGACGAAUUCCAAAGAUCUUUCCCACGCUGUGUAAAAUGACACAGAGCACUCUGAUUGGUUAGCUUGAAAUCCAGCCAAUCAGAGUGCUCUGUGUCAUUUUACAUAGCGUAGGAAAAUUCCAAAGAACUUUCCCACGCUGUGUAAGAUAACACAGAGCACUCUGAUUGGUGGAUUUCAAGCCAACCAAUCAGAGUGCUGUGAAAGGUAAAUAUAGAGACUUACCUGUCAGUCUCUUUAUUUACCUGUCAGAGCACUCUGAUUGGAUGGCUUAAACCCACCAAUCAGAGUGCUCUGAGCCUAAUUGCAGGGCGAGGCAAGUCUUUAUAAGCCUUCCCCUACUCUGCAGAGUUCAGUCUGCGCGGAGCCCUCGACGGGUGAAGAAGGAUUUAUUUAUUUUUUCUUAAAGUUCGUCUGUUAUUCUGAAUUUUUAUUUUGCCUUUUUUGUGGCUGAAAAAAAGAAGAUUUUAGAAGAAAGAAGACAUCAAAUGGUAAGUCUGUUUUUUUUUUUUACAGGUACUUAGCUAAUGGUCCCUACCUCAUUAAUUUUAGGGUGAGGGGGGUAGGUAGGGGUAAUUUUUUGGGGGGAGGGGGUGACUAGGGGUUUGGGAUUUUUAUUUAUGGCCCCCACCCACUGCUCAGGGGUGGGGACCAGGGGGGAAGGACAGUAGGUCCCCCCCAAUUUUUAUUUAUGGCCCCCACCCACCGCCCACCACUCAGGGGUGGGGUUGGGGGGGAGGACAGUUGGUCCCCCCUUAUUGUUAUUUAGGGCCCCCACCCACCGCGCAGAACCAAGUGGGAAAUAGCAAGGCAGGCACAAAGGGUUUGCACCAGGUCUGGGGACACAGGGGACACCGUCUUAAAGGGGCCGUGUCCCCAACAAGUCUGGGACACGGCCUUAAAGGGGCAGUGUCCCAAUCUUCCUGAUGUCCCAAAAAAGGUGUUUAAAGGGCCAGCACCAGUCACAUAAAGAGUCCAUAAGCCCCAAUAUGCCCACCAACAGUCUUAAAGGGCCAUACACACCAAAUAAAAGUGCAUACAUUUUCACAAUAUCCCAGGGGCCAUAGUCAUGCGGGAGGAGGCUGGCAAAUAGGCUUCUCCACAACCCAGGGAAGCAGGGCACGGUGGCUACUUAAAGGGACGUUGGGGCCAGCAGUUUGUAACAAGGUGUCAAUCCAUACUGCCAAGGGACCCUAUGUGGGGUAAAUAUCCCUAUUCUGCUCUGUGUCAGUGUAUCAUGGUCUCUGGAGGACAGGUGUCAAUCCAUAUCUGCCAAGUGACCCUAUGUAGGGGGACCAGUCCCUAUUCUGCUCUGUGUCAGUGUGUAUCAGGGAACCUUAGGACAGGUGUCAAUCCAUAUCUGCCAAGUGACCCUAUGCAGGGGAACAGUCCCUAUUCUGCUCUGUGUCAGUGUGUAUCAGGGAUCCUUAGGACAGGUGUCAAUCCAUAUCUGCCAAGUGACCCUAUGUAGGGGGACCAGUCUCUAUUCUGCUCUGUGUCCGUGUGCAUCAGGGCCUCUGAGGACAGGUGUCAAUCCAUAUGUCAAGGUGUCAAUAUGUCAUAUGUCAGGUGUCAAUCCAUAUUGAUUGUGAUUUAGGAAUGUUAGGUGAUUUCUGCCCCUUUAUGGAUUAAAACCAGACUCUGUAUCAACUGUGUAAUUUUCCAUGGGAGUUUUGCCAUGGAUCCCCCUCCGGCAUGCCACAGUCCAGGUGUUAGUCCCCUUAAAACAACUUUUCCAUCACUAUUGUGGCCAGAAAGAGUCCCUGUGUGUUUUCAAAUUCGCCUGCCCAUUGAAGUCAAUGGCGUUUCGGGCGGUUCGCCGGUUCGCGAACAUUUGCGGAAGUUCGCGUUCGCCGUUCGAGAACCGAAAAUUUCGGGUUCGCGACAUCACUAGUCCCCAUAUAUCCCAGUGCCUCGGUGUCCCCAUGUCUCCCAGCGUCCCAAUGUCUCUCAGUGUCCUCUAGUGUCCUAGUGACAUGGGGACACUGGAAGACAUGGGGACACUGGAAGACAUAGGGACACAGAUACUAAGGGACACUGGAAGACAUGGGGACACAGACAUGCCCAUUUUUUGGGUAUGUGACAGACCCUCCGUCAAUCGAUGCUCCUAGUGCUUACCAAGGACCAUCAGCACUGCAUCAGACUCCAUAAGCACUGCAGAUCCCACAAACCACCGCAGCUUGGCUGGGAACUCGCCGUCCUCUACCCACCCUGGACCUACGACAAGGCUCCAGCUUCCAGUGGGUGAACCUCUUCUCCAAGAGAGAGUAGCAGGAACAAGCUUUUAAAAGAGCUUAGUUAUUAUAGCCCAGGGGAGUAUACAGUGUAUAGCAAUCCCCAAUGUAGAUGCAGCCUUUCCCCCCAUACAUGAGAUGAGGCUAUAUGUUGAGGGCAAAGCAGAUCUGAGGUUUUAUUGUCUUUUAUACAGUUUUCCCCACAAGGUUACCACCCAGGUGGACCUUCUGGAGCACAGGACACAAAAUCACAAAGCCAAUCAGAACAGUAUUGUACAGUUAGACACUACCAAAUAAUGUACACAAACCCUCCCCUCUGCCUGUGAUACAAUUAACAAAGACAAUAGACUAACUCAAUUAACUCUAAGCAGAAAAAAACAUGCAUUUUUACAAACCCCAAAAAGUAUCCCAAAAUACAACAUAUCCCCACAUCCCCUGAUAGCCCCAAUCACAUCCAAAAAUCACCCAGAUCGGUUCAGGGGUUCAGGAAUUUCCUGGAAGUCUUAUUUUUUCCCCACCAUGCACAUGGUCCCAUGCCCAAAAUAGUUUCAUACACUCGACGACAAAACACUGCUGGACAAUUUAAGAUGGCCGCCACCACAUGUUUGAAAGGGGCAUUAUGCUAUGUCCCAAUAUGCACAAAUAGUGUUUUUAAAAGGCAAUACACCCCAGGGGCCAUAGUCACAGGGCAAGAGGCUGGCAAGCAGGCCUCUCCAAAACCUAGUGCCGAGGUUACUUUCGCUACAUGGUAUGUUUGUCCCCUUUCGGCAGUUCUGUUUACGUGAUUUGGGUCAGUGUUCCACCCUUUUAACGCAUCCAUAGACUUACUGCUUAACUGGACACUGUUGUUAGGGGGUAUGGAUUUACUUGAAAGAUGAAAGCAUGAGAUUAGCAUAGGGUAUGUGUUUUCUCAAAGUUGCAUACUAUGAGUUUCCCUUCAGCACCAUCUCCAUCAUAUACAUAAGUGUUUCCCAACCCAGUCCUCAAGGCACACCUACCAGUCCAGGAUUUAGGGAUUACCCAGUUGUGUCUAAGGUGUUUUUUUUCUUCUUUGUAAAAACACCUUAGACACAACUGGGUAAUCCCUAAAUCCUGGACUGGUAGGUGUGCCUUGAGGACUAAGUUGGGAAACACUGAUAUACAUGACGCUUGGGAGGUAGGACUGUUUUAGUGUUUUUUGUCAAUAAGAUUUUGUGAUUAGGCCCAUCAUAAUUGUCAGCACCAGGCCCAUUGGGCUCUUAAUCUGGCCCUGGAGACAGGCAAUUGACAGUUGAGGAAAGCACAAGAAUGUAUCAGCUGACAGUCAGAUUCAAAGAGGGAAGAAGGCAAAUCGAAACAGAAAUGCAGACAAAUUGUUUUAGAGAGAGAGAUAAACAAAGCCAAUCAGGAAAAUUUAUGGAAGCUGACUGGAAGAGGCUAACAGAAAAGUUGACAGACAUCUGAGAUGAGAGAGACAAGUAGGCAGGGCGUGACAUAUUAAAAAAGCAAACAAACAGAGAAAGGAAAAAGGAAGCGAGGAAACCAGUGAGGAAGACAAGCAGACUAAAUGCUAAAACGAGCUUGAUGUAGUUAACAUAUCUUAUUUAUUGACCUUACAAACACGCCAGUCAAGCUGUGGCUGUCCCAGGAGGCAGAUGGCAGGCGUAGUUAUAUGGAUGGUUUGUGGGAGGCUGUUAAUCAUGAUGGGGGGGAAUUGCAGAACAUUGCAACCUUAUCAUAUUAUGAUUUAGUGAUUUGUGCAUGACAUGCCUCAGGGGACUCAGAGCUGUCAUUGAAACUAUGACAAAAGUCAGACUUGAGGCUUCUCAAGAGUAAACGUGGAGCUCCAUCCCCCAUAACAUAGCCUCUCCAAGGAUCUAUAACUGUUUAGUUUGUACUUUGCUUGUUGGCCUAGCAAGGAAAGAGUUAAUUUGAUUGGCUGGUAUUUUACUGACUUCUACUAGCAAUGAUUCAUAAAACCAUUUUUUCUUUAUUAUUUAUUAAAAUGUUUAAUGAAUUCUGCCUUUCUUCUGUUUGAAAAAAGAUAUAUAUAUAUAUAUAUAUAUAUAUAUAUAUUUUAUAUUUUCCCCUUCCCAUGACGCAUACAAUGCUGACAUCUGGUAGAAAAGAAUUGGAAGUGACAGUUUGGGUACAUUAUGUGUCAGUCCAGCACUGGAACAAUUAUCUUCUAUUCAGUGACUCUUCAGCAUCCUACCCAGAGCAAAUAUGAAUUGGCUCUUCUGUGAAACAACAUGUCUGAGCCAGGCUAUUGGCAUCUUUUAAAAUAACCCUUUCUUGGCUACUUGCUACAGCUUAUAUUGUAAAAAUAUACAAUAAAGUGUGGAUCCUAAUUAAAUCAUGUUAAUUUGCACUGGUAUUGAAUUGACCAUUUUCGCUAAUUAUAUUGGGUAUUGCAUUAAAAAUCAAGUAGAACUACUUUCAGGUUUUGUAGCAAAUUCAUAUAUGACUAUCAUACCUUCUCUUUAUGAAAAAUUAAUUCUUGUUAGCUGCACUGAAAUCAGUAUUAUUGUUAGUAUGGAUUUUUCAUAACCACUCUAGAAAAAGCAUAAUAUGGAAUGGCAUUUUAACUAAAACACUAUGCAUUUUUAGAAUGUCUGUUUUUUUAAUGAAUUUAACAUUCAGUAGAGAUUAGCUUAAUCCAGAUUUACAAUAUAUAAAAAGAAAUUACUUUACAUUCUAUAGAAAAUGUAAAAUAAAAACAGACAUAGGCCAAUUAGAAAACCUAGUUUUCCCAUUAGCCCAGGCAUAUCUCAGAGUAUUGUGUGUAUUGCCUUUGUACUAUCCUUCACAAUGAAGGCAAUUUUGGAGAGGGGAUGAUUUUAGUGGGUUCUGCCACACAAUGGCUAUCAUUUUAUUCUAUUGAUUGACAACCAUUUUGGAAUAUGUUGGCAUUUUACAAAUAAGUUUAUAAAUACAAAAUAAAUAUAAAAUAAAAUAAACUUGACUAUUUAAAUGUUGUAUACAUGAUAAUAAAAAAAGAAUAUAAGUGGAAGAAGUUUAUAAAGAAAAGGAAGGAAAAGAAGAAUAUUAUUUUCAGCUUGCUAAAAUAAUGUAGAACUUGCUGCAUCAUAUUUUAGAAUAUUUUAAUGGGUGUCUACAUAUAAAAAAGGACUACAACCAUUGGGGCUCGAUCGAUAUAGUGAGGAGGUUAUAUAUAUCCAAGGGAUCUCUUGUUAAACCUAGGGGAUUAGUAAAUUUAACCUAAUUAACUAGGCCCACUAUCCCAUCUUUAUGUUCACCCGGAUUGGAUUUUAUUUCUAUAGAUCGACCAAGGAAGCCAUGAGUCUUGAUAGUUCCAUAAGAAGAGACAAAAUUCCAUUCCAUUGUGUAUUGGUAAUCUAUUUGGUUUAAAAUUUCUUGCCAUAAAGGAGGAUGACUAGAUUUCCAAUUACAGGCGAUAGAGAUCUUAGAAGGUUAAAGAAUCUGUGUAAUAAGAGAUUUAUAUUUUUUCUCCAUUACCGGGAAAUCUAAGUUGAAUAAGAAAAGAGAUGGUGAAAGUAUUAUACUAACCUGAGUUAAAUCUGAUAUCAGAGAAGUUGUGGAGUUUUAACAUUGUUCAUACAUACCCACCAAGUAAUUUUGUGCUUAUGCAUUACCAAAUCAUACAUGUAAAUAUCAAACUUUAUUUCUAAUUAAAGAGAUUAUUUUUAAACUUUUUCACAUCUGAAGAACAGGGAACACAAUGACUUCCAAAGUCUGUAGUAGUUUAUACUAUUGAAUAUAAACUUUAUUUUCUAUUACAAUUUCCCUAUAUUCGGUUUCUGCUUUUACAUCUUAGCAUUUUAACCUUAUUUCAUUUAUUUGUAUUUGAUAUAUGUUUAAAAUGAAAGCUGUAUUGAACUCAUUCUGUGUACCUUGUGAACAAUAGCAGGGAAUCUUUAGAUCUGUGGGAAAAAUGGGGAUUCACUUGUGUUUGUGAUUCCGUGUGGCUUUGCCUUAAAGAGAGCAAUGUGGAUUAAAUGAUUUCAAAGACCAGUUGAGCCAAUUAUUUUAUGCCAAGCUUUUUACAAUUCUCACGUGUGAUACAGAAACAUAUUUCUAAGGUAAAUGCUCCUUAUUGUAAUAUAAAGCACAUUGGAGACCACUCUAAAUUCAUCCCUGCAUGUCUGCCCUUAUUAGAUGUUCCUAUUUAAAUUCAGGAUAAAGCAGCAGAGAAACUCCUCUCUGUAGGACAGUGAUGCAAAUAUAUGAUGAACUGGUAGUUGUUGGAUUUUAUUACAAGAAAAGGAAAAUGCUAGCCACUGUCCCUAAGUGUUUGAAGCUGGAAAUUAGAUUUUGUUUUUCUUUUGGAUGAUCUGAUUAACUAGAGGGAUCGUUUAAACAGCUUGCAAAGGGCUAUUUGAUGGAAAUUUCAUCUUUGGAGGACCUCAUUUAUGCAAGUGCCAGAACAUCCCCACCAGCUGCCCAUUUUCCUCAGCAGUCCCCCACAACAUAAGAGACAUGUCAUAAAAAAGCACAGAAUGGGUUUGCUGCAAACAAGGUUUUUUCAUCCUAUUUUAUCUUUUCACAGUCUUUAAUAUACAUAUAUUAUAGUCUGUGAGGCAUAAUGUUUUCAGAAACCUAGAGCACGGAAAAGACUGAUGAAACACUGCUUUCUAAAAGAACAGAUUUCUUUUUUUCAAAAGGUUAUUUGGUUCACUUAAUAAUUAGAUUUUUAAGGCAGCCCUCUUGUAUUUGUGUAAUAUGCGAGUGACUGUCAUCUUUAGAAUACAGAAUUCAUUAUAUGUAACUGUGCAAGGUGUGUAAUAAAUAGAUCAUCAUAUCAUAUAGUGUUACCUAAUGUUUUAUGUCAUGUAAUAUGAAGUACAGAUCUAGGCAUUGUAUAAUUUUUUUUUAUAUACACUUUCAAGCUAGAGUUGUUUUGCACUUGUAUGUAUGGCUUCCGUAGCCAGAGAUGAACAUUUUUUUUUAAGAAGAAACUUUUGGGAUAUUUUAAAAAUAACAAAAUAUAUUAUUUUAAGAUAUUUAAUUGAAAUACACAUGAAUCAAGAAAUACAUAUUUUGGAUCCAAGGGAAAUGUAUUCAACCAAUUUUUAAUAUUUAUACCACUUCAUCCCCGUUUCUGGGAAAUCUUAGUAAAUGUGGAUAAAUUAUUUUAUUAUGUGGGAUAAUACAGAUUUAAAUACUCUUAUAAAAAUAAGGAAAAAAUAGGGGUGGGACCUGAGCCUCAUGGUGGCUGUACAUUUGAGCUCUGAGCUCAAUCUUCACUUUAAGCUAAAUAUUUGCUUAUAGCUUGCCUCAUCAUUACAGUCUGAGACUCACCUAUUCCAGGAGCCAAUUGAGGUGCCUGGGAUUCACCUGUUUGAAAGUAUUUGGUGAAUUUGAAGGAGGAUUGAGUAAGGCCUAGUGGAAUCAUUUGACGGGUGAAGCGGUCGAUCUCCCACCCUAUGUGACUGCGCCCUCAGAGACUUACCCUGUGGUUCCCACCUCUGGACCAGUGGGGGUUUUCCCAGUCCCCUCAAGCUGAUAAUUCACUUCAGCAUUGAUGUCUGCUUAACUUCACAAGAUGGUGGCUCUACAUAUUCCUGAGAGUCCCAGUUCCAUGCAUCCCGAGAUGGAACCUUUCAACCACAUCAAGCCCUUUGAGAGGUAGCUGGAUAAGCUACCUGACUGCUUCUGGGCCUUCUUGGAGGCAAGUCAGGCAACCAGCUCUCCUUAUCCUUAGAGGGAGAAAUGGGAGAGCGAGGUUCAAUCAAUGAGUGGGCUUCCUUACUCAAGCAUAAAUAUCCACUGUUACCUGCCCACUUUGGCCAAGGGCUACCAGGUGCAAGACCCAAUUGCAUUGUCCACACAGACAGAGGACAGACCUCCUAAGAUGGCUACAUAACAUCAAAGCCUUCUGUAUGUCCCUUACACGAUAGAGGUGUUAAGAUCCAUAACCCAGAGGUUUGCAUCCUUAAUUGCUCAUUUCCUGUCUAGAAAUACCUCACUUUUUGAUGUGGUUGGUUAGCAUUUGACUCUAGACAGGUGUGCUUUGACCAUAUAUAAGGUGUUGAUAUUUCUGUUAUUCCUUUUUGUGGGUUAUGUUCUGUACAUAACAGCAAACAGGCAUAUAGGCUGAUAUUUCAUGCUUGACAAUAUAGGAUUUUAACUAUAAAAAUAGAAAAUAGAAAACAGAAAAAGCCUUUAUUAAAGAGGCUUUAUUGGGCAUUUUCUGUUUUAUCAUAUUAACUUUUAAUAUUGGUCCCUGAGGAAGUCCUCCACGGUGGACGGGUUUUUACUUAUUUGUUUUAAUAUAUGCCAAUAAAUAAUUUUGUACUUCAACAUAUACUUGGAGUUCCGGAAAUUUCUGGCUUCCAGAUUGGGACCACCACCUGGAGUCAGCUAUACCCCCCAUAACAGGGGAGACAACUUGAAGGCUUUCUUAUCACAUCAAAUUUGUGAGUGCAACCAUUAAACAUCUUGCUAUUUGAUGUUAAAACAAUGUUGUACUGUUUUGUUUUAUUUAUUUAUUUUAGUAAUUUCAGCUGGAUGCCUAUAUUUUGUAUUUUGUUUAUAUUCUGUUAUUGGUCACCAUAUUGGGAGGUAACUGAAGGAAAGCUGGGUAUUCAAAGUUAAGCACAAUUAAUUUAUUUCCACCAUACACAGGUGAAUAGGUGGAAGUUUUUUAUAUUAUAUAUCUAGGUAAAACACUGAUCACCGGAAUAUAAAAAGGGUUUAGGGAAAUUCUGACCUUUCUUGAUGAAAGGCACACUAUUGGGGGAAGUAUUACCUAAACUACCAGUGGUAAUAUAUAUAUAAAAAAAAUGAAAAUAUGUUUUCAGGUUUUGGUGUAUGAAACUCAAAAAUGCAGAACUUGUACUAGCAAAAAUAAUAAACAAAAGUCUAAGCUAGACAAAUCCAAUGGAGCAAGGCAAAGGCAGAGUCAGGCAAUCCAAGAUUCAAAGUCCAGGCAGCAAUGGUUCAGUAAUAGUAUAGCAAACUAAGGUCAGGUAACAGGUAGUCAUGAAACAGGUAACACAGGUAACAGAAUAACUGAGCAAUAAAGGCUCAGCUGUUCCAGGUUUAAAUAGGGUGCCAGACUGAAGAAUCACCUACUUUGACAAGCCUCCAUAACACUGUAUUGGUGUAUGGGGCUGUCCAUCACCUGGGCUGCCAUGGGAGGUAAUAAUGUUUUUAAAUUGAUUCCAAUGUAUAUAAAAUAUAGAAUGCACACUAUAACAAUCUCAAAAAAACUUAGCUUUAUUAUGUACAAAAAAGUACAAGAGUGAAAACAUAUAAGAAAAGAUAAACAAAGUGACAGAAGCAAGGGCAAACACAAUAAAACAAUAAUAAAUUACCACAAAAAUUCUUACAAGUUUAUAUGGUUUGCACCUGGCUGUUCUUAUACUAUUUUGUCUCUCCAUGUGCUGUUGUUUUAAAUUGAUUCCAGCCACACAGAGGGCUGUCCUGAAGCAUGGAAUGAUCAUGCACAUCUCCCAAUUGUCUAUCAUUACCUGGGAAAUGUAAUCAGAGUUUGAAGGUUACAAUCUGCCCCAUGAAUUUGCACAUGUUCAGGCAGUUGAGGCUUGGAGAUGCCACUGAAGCACCAAGGAGGCGAAGGUAAGUCAUGACAGUUGGCACCUAGUCACAUUAGAAAGGGGAAAGAACAUACAGGUUGUGAAGGUACAAAAGGUUUCAAAGGUUGCCGUAAAUGCAGGACAUGUUUCUCCAUGCAAUUGUGUGGGACUUCCUAUUUGACCAGUACUGCCAGUGGGAAGCGUUUUCCUGUUCAUCACAAUAUAGAUUGCAGGCAUUUAAAGUGAGAAACUAUGGAUGUGGUAUGUUAAGUGCAGGUAUUUAGUAAAAGCAUACAUUUCAUUUGCUAAGGAGUGGCUGUAUUGCAUCGAUGAACAACUGUAAUAUAGAAAGUAAAAUAAAAAGUGAAAAAAUUAAAAGAUAAAGUAAGGUAAAUAAAAAGUUAAGAAGUUAAAUGAGCAAAUACCAAAAGUGAUGGGAUAAUUCAUCAAAUGUUCUUAACAGGCAUGGAAAAACUACCUAACAUAUAAUAAUGUAGCCGGGAUUAAGGCAGUGACAAAGUUAUUUAUUGUUCUAGAUAAACUGUAAGGGAAUUUAAAGAAUUCCGAUUUCAGAAACUGAACUUAAUAUUGCUAGUGCAUGCAGGAAAGCAAUAGGAAGCUCAGUUGAACAGAUCUGCCACUUAGGUUAGGUCCACUCGUACACUCCAAUGGAGAAGUGUGACGAGACCAAUCUCGCCACAUUGCAUUGGAGAAGCC